CGCAUGCUCUUAUUUGCCAUCCCCUAACGUCCUUCUCUAUACAUGCACCACCAACCCAUAUUCUCGAUCCAUUAGGGGAUGGCAUAAGUUUCUUUUAGAGGCAGCAAGGGACAUUGUUUUCAGUUAUAGUCCUUGUCUUAGGACUUUCUCAAACUGUACCGUUCAAAUAACUGAAAACAGAAAAGUCUUUGGGCUUUAAGACUUGUAAGCCGUGGGUAAUAAAUCUUUGUCUUUGUCAAAGACAUGUGUAAGCCGUGGGUAAAAAUUUUUGUAAGCCGGAGGUUAGGAAUCUGUUUUCAGUUAUAGUCUUUUGUCUUAAGACUGAGCCGCAUGCUCUUAUUUGCCAUCCCCUAAUGCCCUUCUUUCUACAUGCACCACCAACCCAUAUUCUCGAUCCAUUAGGGGAUAUCAUAAGUUUCUUUUAGAGGCAGUAAGGGACAUUGUUUUCAGUUAUAGUCCUUGUCUUAGGACUUUUUCAAACUGUACCAUUCAAAUAACUGAAAACAGAAAAGUCUUUGGUCUUUAAGACUUUUAAGCCGUGGGUAAUAAAUCUUUGUCUUUGUCAAGACAUGUGUAAGCCGUGGGUAAUGUAAGCCGUGGGUAAGGAAUCUGUUUUCAGUUAUAGUCUUUUGUCUUAAGACUGAGCCGCAUGCUCUUAUUUGCCAUCCCCUAAAGCCCUUCUUUAUACAUGCACCACCAACCCAUAUUCUCGGUCCAUUUAACAAUCUUGCUAUAGGAGAUGGCAUAAGUUUCUUUUAGAGGCAGCAAGGGACAAUGUUCCCAAAUAAGAAUCUGACAGAACACUAUAAGAUUAGUGUCUGUCUAUGAUCUUUUUUGGGAUUUGAAAAACAAAAACAAAACCAAAACAAAACCAAAACAAUGUUCCCAAACAAGAAUCUGACAGAACACUAUUAGAUUAGUGUUUGUCUAUGAUCUUUUUUGGGUUUGAAAAACCACAAGAACGUCUAUAGCAAGAACAUUACAAGAACGUCUGUCUAAUCUCUUGGGUUUGAUAAAACCACAAGAAAACAAAAAGCUUUAAAAGUCCUGUUAAAAGAGGAAAAUCGUAGUCAAAUAAAAACAGUUCAAAACGGAAUCCUGAUUUCAAAAAUCUCAAAACAAAACCGGGAUAAAAGCGCUUGAAAAUAAACGGGAAAGUCUAAGGACAUACAGAGAAGAGAAAAGACAAUCAAAAAGCUGAGUUUGUGCCAAAGGUGUGCAGAGAGAAACAGGACGACAUAGAUGUUUUUGAUUUACCUCAGUUGAGCUAUGGGAGAGAACCACCGUAAGAGCACUCCUAAAUGUACAACGGCCGGUAUCAACUUGAAUAGAAAUGGUGUCGUUACCUGCAACAUAUUCACUUUAAUGUACAUGUCAAAAUAUUCGUUCUAUAACUGAAAUGGUGUGGAUGUGAACCAUACCAGGCUUAGAGCAGUUGUUCCCAGAAGCAGGAGGUACAGUUUGCUCUGCGAAUAAACACAAAACCCUUCACUGUUAUCACUCCACCAAAAGCAAAAUUAUGAGCAACCUAUUAUGGGUACCACACAGUCGGGAAGAUAUAACCGUAGUUGCACAACACAGUUUCAUUUGAUUGCUUACCUCAAUAAGGUGAAGAUUAGAUGCUCGACUUAGCAGAACAAAAGCAAAUUCCCCAAUCUGCGCAAGCGACAUUCCAACCUAUAGAGAAGAAAACUGUAAGGGCUCUCACUACGAGUAAGGUUUGGAGCAAUGUGAAAGCAAAAAGGAAGGGUUCACUUCUUACAAGUACUGCAGUUUUGUUAUUGUAUCCAAAGACCUUAACAACGAUUGCAACGACCACGGUCUUUAUCACUAUCACCAGUAACACAGCUGCUACCAGAAUAUCAACAUGGUUCCACAAGAAGUGCAUAUGUAUCAACAUUCCAAUACUAGCAAGGAACAGCGCUGCAAAAAAAUUGCGGAUUGGUUCUACCUGAAAGGGAAGCACAGGAAUGAUAAGAAGAGCUCUAUGUGGCAAAAAAGAGAAAUGCAUUUCAUAAAGUCACCAACAGAUAUAUAGCACAAAAGACACUUGUGGCAUAAGAAUGUUCAAAUAAAAUGCGAAAAGAUCCACAAGUCCGAAAGAGUCAAAAUUGACUUCUUACUUGUUCAAGAGUAUGCUGGGCGAGAUCCGUUGAUGAGAUCAUCACUCCUGCCGCAAAGGAACCCAGCUCAAGACUUAGACCGAGCUUGUCACUACACUGAAGAAACCAAAACAAUACUGAGUUUAUGAACUGAAAAUUUGAGAUAGCACAUGUGCAAAAAGCCAAUAGAUAAGAAGAACAAAGGAUCAGACUGACCCAAGCAACAAGCAAACAAAAUGCUACAGCGGCCAACUGGUAGAGCUCGUUAGUCUGUCAAAGAUUGACGAACGCUUAAGUUGAUAAACAUUUUAAAGACCAAAAACGGAAGCAAGUAAAAAUAUGUGUAUACCUGAGAAGAAAGGCUUGUCAUAAGUUUUAGAAACCAAGGUACCCAGGUACGUGACAGUACAAACAAAGCAGCCAAAAACGCAAUCAAAAUAGCCAACCUUGAAAGAAAUUACCGCACGGUCAAAAGAAAUGAAAUAUCAAAAACUUGGUUUCACUGAACAACAGUAUAACAAGUGAAAAAGGAAGCAGGAUAUUGUCGACAUUUUCACAGAACUUCCAGUAAAAUAGAAAACAUACGAUUUAGCCAUGGACAACAUUCCUUGAAGGACACCAGAUGUGCCACCAAGAACCGGAAGGAGAGCAAAAAGCAAACCCACAGCACAAUCCUAGAGAUUCAUGAAGCCAUAUAUUAAAAAUCUAAUGAAAGCAACUGUAGGAUACAACAUACUAAUAGCUGAAAUCCAGUAGCAUACAAAAGAGUAAGCGGAAACAGUAGCCUGUACAAAUCAUAUUACUAUGCUAUUGUUUGGAGAGUGACUGAGAUACCUGAAGGAUAAGUGUUCCAACGGUUAUCUGGCCAUGUAGAGCACUUAUGCUCUUUUUUCCAUUAAAAAUUUCAACACCUGAUAUAAGAAUCAUGGCAAGGUAAAAAUAACAUAUGAGGAUCACCCCUAAAGAGAAACUUAGGGAAACAUAACUGGUACAACAAAAGAAAGAAUUUAAUACAGUGAGAGCACAUGGAGUAAAUUAUAACAGUUUAGAAUACAAAAGUGAUCUUAGAAUAUACCACCGCUGUUGACGACAUCGAAAGAAAAGCACCUACGAAUAUUCCUUCUGUUAGUUUACCACCGCAUAACUGCAAUGCAAUGAAGAAGCAGCCAAGUCAACCCAAUGCAUUCCUUUUCAUGAUUUAUACACAAUAAGCCUAAUAACUCAUUCUUACUCAAUUGCUAUUACUAUUUACAAACUAGAACAUACCGAGGCUGUUAUCCCACUCAAGCACAUGAACAAAAAUAUUUGAAGAAGACCUCCUGGAAUAGCUACUGCACGAACUACACGAAGCUGCGACCACAAAGUACAAUAAAUCAAUGACUAUCUCAAAAGUUUCAAAAGAACAAAGAAACCAGAAAAGUGUAAGAGGGUGGAAACAUGCAAACCUUUGCUGCAGAAAAUUCUAAUCCUAAAGCAAAAAGAAGAAAGAUUACACCAAACUGAGCUACUGUUUCAACCUGUGCUACACAAAAGAAUAUAUAUAUCAAGUCUUGUCGACCAUUAACAUAGCCAGUCAAUCUCUUAAUCAUGAAAACUUCCGUCGAAAUGCAAUAUGAAGACAAAAAGGAGGAACUUUGAAGAGCUAAAGCUGAUGUAAGCUACCUGCACCAUUUCACUAACAAAGCUUAACCCACCCGGUCCAAUGAUAGAUCCAGCCAACAGAUACCCAGUAAUGACCUGCCAAGUAAGUAGUACAGAAAUUAAAUAUGGCCGUCACUGUUCGAUGAUUCAAAGGCCAACAAAAUCAAUUCUAAGCUCUUGGAAAGGUGAAUACUCAAAUGGUAACGGAAUAAUGUUGAAAGUUACAAGCUCUGCAAAGGAAGCGUGUACUCACCGGUUGACCAGCACAAGCAAAUGCAAUUCCACCACAAGUAGCAGAAACAAUGACGACGACCAAAUCUGAUAUCAGCCUACAAAUAUAUCCAGUUAAGAGAGGCGUCCCAAACAAAAAACGGUUAGGUAGAUUCUUACAAAUGAUAAAUGAUCAAAGACCUUUCCUUACGAAUGCUAUAUUUACCUUAAAUCUAGCUGCAGUACAGGGUACUUGGACUUUGGAUUGGACAUGAUAAAAACGUUGUCCUGGAUUGGAAUUGAAAAUUCACAAUUCAGGAAUGUUGUCACAAACGGGUAGAUAACAGGUGUACAUUCUCUCUUAACCAAUAUAUAGUACAAUUCUUCAAAGACUAUGAAAGCUUACCUUCCUAUCUAUCAGUCUUGGAGUAUCUUCUACGCCAUUCUCGUUAUCCAAAUUAAAGAAUGAUCUAGCAUAAAAGGCACUGAUUAUAUUACCGCCUCUGAAACAAAGCUAGAUAGCAGCCACAACUUUCACAAAUCGAGUCCAAAAAGGGUAAAGCAAGCAUGAUUAUAAAGAGACUCACUUCUCCUCCUUGGUCUUGGUCUCAUUUUUCUUGGGCUUCACUCGAGCAACAGUUUCCAGAACAGCCUAAAGAGCAGAACAAAUGGUUUAAUAAAAAGAAGGAAAAAAAAAACAAGAAAGACUGAGUAGUGUACCGUCUAAAAGCAAUAAGGCCACAAAUGAAGUGGCGAAAACAAAGAUUACAAUUAACCAACCUGCUGAUCAGCAACGCUAUUAUUAAAGCUUCCUGGAUCAGGAACUGCAAAAGCAAAACAAGACAAAAGCAAUUCACAAACCACUUAUUCAAAGAGUUCAAAUAACAUCUUGUAUAUCCUCUAGGACGAGACCAGACCAAGUGAUAUAAUCCAAGAGUUUUAAGCACUAUGCCAUUGGUCAAUAACUUUUAUCAUCUCAAUAUGCAAUUCAUUAAAUUCUAUAAGCCAUGAGUAAUCUAAAAACUCCAAUGCAGAUGUGAGCAUUAGCUAAAAUCAAUGAUAAAUCCCUAAGGAGUAGAAUCAAUUUUCACCAAAUCUAAAACUGAAAACAAAACCCUAGUGUAGCAAACGAACCAUCGUUCUGGUCAUUCUCCGGAAACUCCUUCUCAAGUGCCCUAUCGAUCAUAUCGGCGAAACUGUCCUCCUUAGGUUUCGCGUUCGUCGCAUUGGACUCGGCGGCGUUUCCGUUGAUCUCGCGUGUGGCAACUGACUCAGUCCCGAUAUCGGACUCGGCGGAGAAGGCAAGAUGGAAACUACAGAUCAGGAGAAACGCCAGAAACCUCAUCGUUUCCACGGAGAUGAAUUCGCCGAUUUUACACCGCCGCAUCUCAGUGACGGUGGUGGCGCGGCGGAGCGAUUAAGAAAUAGAGAGAGAGAGAGAGAGUGAUUGUGAAAGAUAGAUUCUGCUUCCUUCUUCUUCUUCUCUCUCUUUCUGGUGGUUAGAGAGCGAGAAAGAAAACAGAUCGAAGGAAAAUUAAUUAAUACUAUUAAAGUAAAAAGGGUAACAUUUGCUGAAUAUGCACAUUAAAUACGUGUAAAUUAUAUUCAACUGUUAUCGUUUUUUUUUUUUUUUUGCUUGUACUAAAUAGCUUAAUUUUGGUGAAGAAACCAGCAAAUUUUCAUUUUAUUUUAAUAAAUAAAUGAUAUCUCAUUCAACUUUAAUGUUACUGAAUGAUACAUGGAGAUAAUAAAUAAUACUCCAAGUAAAAAUUUUUUAGAUUUUUUUCUUGUUCCACAAAAAUAGAUUUUCUAUAUUGUUAAGGUAUUUUUUUAUACUUUUAAAAAACAUUAAUUGAGAAUAUUUGAAUUGAUAAAAUUUCAUUGGUGGAAAGUUGUUGAAAAGUGUAUAAUAAAGUAAAAAAAAUUAAAUUAUAAAUGUUUAUUAAAUUAUUAAUAAGCGUGCAUACUAUAAAAAUUUUAUCAAUUCAAAUAUUCUUUUGAUCUUACUUUCGGGAACAAAGAGAGUAUUCUUUUGAUGGUACUACGGAUGCUACAACUUUAGGAUGGUGCUGUUGAUCAUCUGGACUAAAAAGGAUGACAAAGAGGAAUCCCAAGCCCUUAAUCUUGAACUGUACAUAGAGUGAUAGAUUACUAACUUAGAUUAUAGAAUGUUUUAGUCAUUUAUUUUGUUAUAGUAUAUAUAUAGUUGAGUUGGUAUACAAUGUUUGCUAGCUGGGCCGGGAAAUGUCCAGUGUUUAUCAAUUGGCAUACAGUUGCAUAUGAGCUGAAAAGCUUUGGAAGUCCAGUUCCUCGGAUUCGAGUUGAUCAAAACAAAAAGUAUAUAUAUGAAGCUGGUUUUUAUUAUUCUUGAUGAAUAAUUUACACAUGUAGUCACGAUAAAUGCAUGGUUUCGUGUACAACUCUGUGAUGAUAGUACUCUACGUAACACUUGGAUCAACUGUAUACAAUUCUACAUGCAAUACGAUAAGAUUUUCAGUAAACUUUGCGUUUACAUACUUAACCCUUAUUACAACCUUCAAAAGAAUAUUGUGAAUAUUAAACUCUAAACCUAAUUAAUACUCAAACAUUUGUCCAAGGAAUUUUCACAAGAUAAAACAAGUUAUAUCAUAAAUAAUUUGUACUUGGCUAUACAAAAAUGAUACGUCUUUAAAAAAUGGGUAUUGUCCCACUAAACUCAAUGUGCCGUCACGGUUGAAUCCGCUUGACCACCAAAAUAGAUUUGUCGGUGUGAUUUUUAUAAAUCCCUUAUAUAUUAACCGAGAAACAAUACAACAUUGUUUUGUAGACACGUGUCACCAUAAAAAUGAAAUUCAAAAUUCUUAGAGAAAUAGGUUGGUCCAUCUUACUUACAUUAUACUAACUAUUAAAUUGAUAAAUAGCGUACAGAAGAAUAUUAUCGCACUUUCCUUAAAAAAAGCUACAAAAUUUCCUAAUAUGAUUAACAUAUAUAAAAGAAUUAAUGAUUAUGAAUAAUAAAUAUUUGAUAAGAAUUUUAGUAUCUUAGCUCUUUUUUAUUUAAUUUGACAUUAUUAAAAGAUAUUAAGCAACCACAUUAACUAUAUAAUAAAAACAUGAUUUUUUUAUAUGUUAUAUUUUUAAUGGAUAAUUCUCCUAAACAGACCAUUUUCAAGUUUUGAUCACAAAAAUAGACCAUAAGGAAAAAAAUGACCAAAAUGUUUCAUUUAAUAGGUAAAAGAACCAUAAUACCCUAGAUAUAUAUAUAUAUAUAUAUAUAUAUAAAAUUAUAGUUUUAGAUUAUAUUUUUUAAAUUCGAACUUUUUUAUAAUAAUUUUUUUAUAAUUUUUUUCGAAAUUUUUUUUAAUAAAAUUUUAAAUCUCAAUCUCAAAUCUCCAUCUCUCAACUCUAAACCCUACGGUUUUGAUUAGUUAAUCCUAGGGGUAUAACUGUAGAUCUCUUUAAUGAAACAUUUUGGUUAUUUUGAUCCUUAGGAUCUGUAUUUGUGACAUAAACCUUUUUAGUGCUAUUCUAGGGUAUUUCCCAUUUUAAUUUUUAAAACGACUAUAAAUUACUAAAAUAGUUAAAUGUCUCACACACUAAAAUUUUGUCAUCAAUGGUUUAAUUUUUUUGGUGAUAAAAAAAUACAAAUGAUCAUAAAUUGUAUGAAUAUGACUAGACAUUCAUAUUAUAUUUUAAUAUUUUUUUAAAUUAAAUUAUAUAGCAUAGAAAAAUACUCAAGUAUGAUAAUUUCUAAAUUUGUAUUAAAAAUAUUAAAAUCUUAUUAUUUUAAUUUUAAAAUUUGCAUUCAAAAAAUCGCACAUUAGAAAUUUUGUGUUUAUCGUAUGAAUAUGAUUCUAAAUAAUAAAUAUUUAUAUUAAAAUAUACUAUAUAUAUAUCCAUGUCAUUAAAAUUUAGUUAUAUACUAUAUAAAACAAAUAAAAUAAUGUUUUGAUUUAUUUACCAAAAAAAGUAUCAUAAAUUAGAUGUAUUGUUUCGAUUUAUAUGCUCACUCUGAUUUAAUUAUAUACAUAAUAAAUAAAUGAAUAUAAAUAAAUAAUAAUAUAUAAAAUUUAUUUUUAUAUAUAACAUAAUUGUGCGGGUCUUAAGUCAUAUGAUAAUCUAGAAUACUUAUACACUAAUCAGCAUCCCAACCAUUAUAUAAGAAGUUGUAAAAUAUGAAAUACAUAUUUAUAAAAUAUCUAAUUCAAAACCAAGAGCGCCCAUAGAAGUGAGAUAGAUUUUUAGCUUAAUCCCGCUUAGACUCACAUGGACUUUUCCAUUGUCGGAUUGAGCCAUCAACCAAACAUAUUUUAGCUGAAUUAAUUUAUUCUAUUUCUCGAGACUUAUUAAUUAAACAAUUAGAUAAAAGAAAUGUUAUUCCUCAAAUCUGUUUUCAAGUAGGUGAGUAGAUCGAAACCCAGAACAACCUCUUUUUUUUUGCUUAAAACCCCAAGAACUACUUAUAGACCUAACUUUAACAACAACAAUACAAAAGAAAUGUACUAAGCACACAAUACAAAACGAAGCAUGAUGGUCUAACUAACUCCAGCGAAUAUAACUUAUGAGCGAGUGGUAAGGAAAAACACUUUCCUUGUAAAGAAGAAAGAAAAUUCACAUUAAUUAGGUUAGAAGAAAUCAUAAAAGAAAAUUCAAAACUUUUGAUCACAUGGUUGUGUGGACUAAACUUGGACUUUUCUUUAAUCAUAUAGUUCAUUUUUCAUUUUCAAGGAAGAUCGAUACUUUUACUUAUGUUCUUUUUAUUUAAUUGUAAUGACACUCCCAGAGUUAAAAACCAGUAUUGAAAGAAGCAAAUGGUUUUGCCUCUCCAAGUAGGCAACUAUGCCUCCCAAAGAAAAAGAGACAUCAUGCUCACUCCAUGCCUAUAAAUACUCCUCAAAUCAAUAACUUAUCCAUUCAAAUUGUGUCUGAGAACAAAAAGGCAAAAAAAAAAAAAGAAGAAGAUGGGUUUAAUCAAAGAGAAAGAGAUGGAGAUUCCAGUCAUUGAUUUUAGUGAACUGGAUGGAGAAAACAGAACCAAGACUAUGUCUCUUCUUGAUCAUGCAUGUGAUAAGUGGGGCUUCUUCAUGGUAUGUACAAAUCUUUAUCCACAAAUCAAGUUCUUAAGUAUGCAUAUGUAAACGUUCCUAGAUCCAGUUCUAGUGUAGACCCUUAUUAAAUGCGGGCUGAUGAAUUUUCAGGUUGAUAAUCAUGGAAUUGAUAAAGAAUUGAUGGAUAAAGUAAAACAGCUGAUUAACUCUCAUUAUGAGGAGCAUUUGAAAGAGAAGUUUUACCAGUCAGAGAUGGUCAAGGCUUUGAGUGAAGGCAAAACGUCAGAUGCUGAUUGGGAAAGCACUUUCUUCGUUUGGCAUAAGCCGACUUCAAACAUAUCCAAAGUCUCCAACAUUUCAGAUGAACUCAUGUAAGUAACUAAAAAAAUUAUAUAUCCAAAUUUUUACCAAUUUCUUUAUUUGGACAAAGUUUUUACCAUUUAUAUGUCUUGCCUAUUAUAAUUAACAAUGUGUGGGGAUGAAACUUAUAUUGCAGCAAGACAAUGGAUGAAUAUGUUUCUCAACUGCACAAGUUUGCAGAAAGGCUCUCUAAACUCAUGUGUGAAAAUCUUGGUCUCCCUCGAGAACACAUAGUGAAUGCGUUCUCCGGUAUAGAAGGUCCAGUUUUUGGGACAAAAGUGGCUAAAUACCCAGAAUGCCCUCAUCCGGAGCUCAUUAGAGGGCUGAGAGAACAUACUGAUGCUGGAGGGAUCAUAUUGCUCUUGCAGGAUGAUCAAGUGCCUGGUCUUGAGUUCUUGAAAGAUGGGAAGUGGGUUCCUAUCCCACCAUCGAAGAACAAUACCAUUUUUGUCAAUACCGGUGAUCAAGUCGAGAUAUUGAGUAAUGGGAAGUACAAGAGUGUUGUACACCGUGUGAUGACGAUGAAGCAAGGAAGUAGACUGUCGAUAGCUACAUUUUACAAUCCAGCUGGGGAUGCCAUAAUAUCUCCAGCUCAAGAGAUGUUGUACCCAAGUGGUUACCGAUUCCAAGACUACCUUAAGCUUUAUUCAACCACUAAGUUUGGAGACAAAGGCUCUAGAUUUAAUACCAUGAAGAAAAUGGAGAAUGGGGAUUCCGUCUAGGAUGCAUCGCCUGAACGUAACGCUGCUUUUGUAUUUCACAUGAAACUCUAUUUCUAUUAAAACUUUGUCUUCUUGUUGUGUUUCUUUCAUAAAGGAAUAACAAUUAUGCCAGGAUCAUGCUGAUUCAACUAUUUUGCUUUGUUAAGAAAAAAUAACUCUUUUUACUCAAGUGAUUUUGUACUAGGCAAGUCGUUGAUGGCAACUUUAAAAACAUUAGUUUGAACUUUGAAGGUCUUUUAUAUUGUACUUUUAUUUUUAAGGAUGUCCUUAAGAUAUUAGUAUGUUUUGGCUAAAAAGUUAUAUAUCGUUUAAUUCUGUUUAUCUUUUAAAACAACAAAAACACAAAAGAUAUUUCAUGUUAAGCGAUAAUUCAAUAUGAUUAAGAGAAUGAUAACCUAGUUAGUAAUUAGUAAUUACCAACAUCCGUAUGGUCAUAAAAGAGAACCCAAGAUAAUGAAAAAAAAAUGUCAAACCAUAAAACUUGGACAAUGGUGAAACAAAAACAGUUUUUAUUUAAGUUUUCGUAGGAUCAAACUCCCACGGCUGCUUCUUGUAAUAGCAGACCACAAACUAAACCAAGUGGUCUUAUUUGUAGCAACUUCUUUUUCUUCACCUUUUAACUUGGCAUGUAACUGAGCAAAUUCCAGCAAAUUUUUUUUUUUUUUUUUUGCUUGUACUAAAUAGCUUAAUUUUGGUGAAGAAACCAGCAAAUUUUCAUUUUAUUUUAAUAAAUAAAUGAUAUCUCAUUCAACUUUAAUGUUACUGAAUGAUACAUGGAGAUAAUAAAUAAUACUCCAAGUAAAGAUUUUUUUAGAUUUUUUUCUUGUUCCACAAAGAUAGAUUUUCUAUAUUGUUAAGGUAUUUUUUUAUACUUUUGAAAAACAUUAAUUGAGAAUAUUUGAAUUAAUUAAAUUUCAUUGGUGGAAAGUUAUUGAAAAGUGUAUAAUAAAGUAAAAGAUAAAUUAAAUUAUAAAUAUUUAUUAAAUUAUUAAUAAGCGUCCAUACUCUAAAAAAUCUUACUUUUGCGAACAGAGAGAGUAUUCUUUUGAUGGUACUACGGAUGCUACAACUUUAAGAUGGUGCUGUUGAUCAUCUGGACUAAAUAGGUUGACAAAGAGGAAUCCCAAGCCCUUAAUCUUGAACUGUACAUAGAGUGGUAGAUUACUAACUUAGGCUUCGAAUGUUACGAACUGCCUCGCUCCGCAGUUAACAGUAACAAAAAUCUCUACAUAUACUAUAUAUCUAUACGUUUUUAUAACUGUUAAAACCGCACCGCAAUUAAUGUAUGUAGCGGCUAGAGGCUUGUUCAAAAUGAAUCCUCCAAUGAUUAUAGUGCCUAAAUCCAUUGAGGAAGGCAUCGAGACUUUGCUCGAGGUUCCUAGAGCUAAGGCACAAUCCUGUUAGCUUGGACAUAGGAGGACAACCUCUAGCAUCCAACUACCCAUUGCCGCCCAAGGUUUGUGGUUUUUUUUUGUGUGUGUUGUUUGGUGGCAUAGUGAUACAGUAGCUUCAUCAGGUGUCAGUAGAACCAUGAGGAGAAUUCUUUCAGUGGAGUUGGCUUUUGAACCAAAGAUUGUAUAUGUGAGAAAAACAUCUAAAGUUAAAAUGUGUCAAAGGUUACGACAUCCUCAUUCAAAUAGCUAAUGAUAACAUGGGUUUGUCAGUGUUGGUUCUUCUCGGUAGAUAUAUGCUUAAGUUCCGUUUCUUAGGUCAGCAAAAUGGUGCAACGACAUCUGACAUGAGGGAAUAAGUAGGUGGGGGAUCUCACGAUAUCUAAAAAUCAUUAUUUUGCAUUUUUUUCUGAGAGCAUUCUGAUUAGCUACACCGUGUGUUAUCCUUAGGCUAUGCUCUAUUAUUGUCUUGGUGCGUCACAUUCUCAACUUGUAAACUAGAGUGUUCAUAUUUUUGUUCUAGGGUGGAUUGUCAAUGUAUGUAGCGGCUAAAAUUUUCUAAUCUUUUAUAUAGUUUCCUUGUAAAAGGUAUCUUAUUGCUUGGUCAAAGACUGCUGGCAUUAUGAUACCAGUUAGAUUCAUCAGGUGUCAGCAGAAAUAUGAGGAGCAUCCUUUCAUUAGAGUUGGCUUUUGAACCAAAUAUUGUUUAUAUGAGAAAAAUCAUAUAUUACCAAGGGGGUAUAGGAGUCCAGCAUCCAAAAGCUAGAUUGUGUUAGGUUAUAGUGUCCUCAUUCAAAAUUGUGUUGGUUCUUAUCGGUAAUCAUAUGCUUAAGUUUCGGUUUUCAGGUCAGCGAAUAAUGCAACAUCAUCUGACAUUAAGGAGUAAGAAGGUGGGCUCGUAAGAUAUCUAAAAAAGGUUUCUCUUAACAACCUCAGUAUUCUCUGAAGAUUGUGGGCUUAAUCCACUUCAAGAUUCUGCAAACGAGACUGCUUCUUCCAUGAGGCAAGUGUCUAUUGUUUUCUCUGAUAUGUCGUCACUCUUUUGUCAUCAUUGAGGUUUAGGCCCUUGACAGAGGCAAAGAGGCAAGAGAAGGAGGACGUUAAUUAAACAAUUAGAUAAAAGAAAUGUUAUUCCUCAAAUCUGUUUUCAAGUAGGUGAGUAGAUCGAAACCCAGAACAACCUCUUUUUUUUUGCUUAAAACCCCAAGAACUACUUAUAGACCUAACUUUAACAACAACAAUACAAAAGAAAUGUACUAAGCACACAAUACAAAACGAAGCAUGAUGGUCUAACUAACUCCAGCGAAUAUAAGCGAGUGGUAAGGAAAAACACUUUCCUUGUAAAGAAGAAAGAAAAUUCACAUUAAUUAGGUUAGAAGAAAUCAUAAAAGAAAAUUCAAAACUUUUGAUCUCAUGGUUGUGUGGACUAAACUUGGACUUUUCUUUAAUCAUAUAGUUCAUUUUUCAUUUUCAAGGAAGAUCGAUACUUUUACUUAUGUUCUUUUUAUUUAAUUGUAAUGACACUCCCAGAGUUAAAACCAGUAUUGAAAGAAGCAAAUGGUUUUGCCUCUCCAAGUAGGCAACUAUGCCUCCCAAAGAAAAAGAGACAUCAUGCUCACUCCAUGCCUAUAAAUACUCCUCAAAUCAAUAACUUAUCCAUUCAAAUUGUGUCUGAGAACAAAAAGGCAAAAAAAAAAAAGAGAAGAAGAUGGGUUUAAUCAAAGAGAAAGAGAUGGAGAUUCCAGUCAUUGAUUUUAGUGAACUGGAUGGAGAAAACAGAACCAAGACUAUGUCUCUUCUUGAUCAUGCAUGUGAUAAGUGGGGCUUCUUCAUGGUAUGUACAAAUCUUUAUCCACAAAUCAAGUUCUUAAGUAUGCAUAUGUAAACGUUCCUAGAUCCAGUUCUAGUGUAGACCCUUAUUAAAUGCGGGCUGAUGAAUUUUCAGGUUGAUAAUCAUGGAAUUGAUAAAGAAUUGAUGGAUAAAGUAAAACAGCUGAUUAACUCUCAUUAUGAGGAGCAUUUGAAAGAGAAGUUUUACCAGUCAGAGAUGGUCAAGGCUUUGAGUGAAGGCAAAACGUCAGAUGCUGAUUGGGAAAGCACUUUCUUCGUUUGGCAUAAGCCGACUUCAAACAUAUCCAAAGUCUCCAACAUUUCAGAUGAACUCAUGUAAGUAACUAAAAAAAUUAUAUAUCCAAAUUUUUACCAAUUUCUUUAUUUGGACAAAGUUUUUACCAUUUAUAUGUCUUGCCUAUUAUAAUUAACAAUGUGUGGGGAUGAAACUUAUAUUGCAGCAAGACAAUGGAUGAAUAUGUUUCUCAACUGCACAAGUUUGCAGAAAGGCUCUCUAAACUCAUGUGUGAAAAUCUUGGUCUCCCUCGAGAACACAUAGUGAAUGCGUUCUCCGGUAUAGAAGGUCCAGUUUUUGGGACAAAAGUGGCUAAAUACCCAGAAUGCCCUCAUCCGGAGCUCAUUAGAGGGCUGAGAGAACAUACUGAUGCUGGAGGGAUCAUAUUGCUCUUGCAGGAUGAUCAAGUGCCUGGUCUUGAGUUCUUGAAAGAUGGGAAGUGGGUUCCUAUCCCACCAUCGAAGAACAAUACCAUUUUUGUCAAUACCGGUGAUCAAGUCGAGAUAUUGAGUAAUGGGAAGUACAAGAGUGUUGUACACCGUGUGAUGACGAUGAAGCAAGGAAGUAGACUGUCGAUAGCUACAUUUUACAAUCCAGCUGGGGAUGCCAUAAUAUCUCCAGCUCAAGAGAUGUUGUACCCAAGUGGUUACCGAUUCCAAGACUACCUUAAGCUUUAUUCAACCACUAAGUUUGGAGACAAAGGCUCUAGAUUUAAUACCAUGAAGAAAAUGGAGAAUGGGGAUUCCGUCUAGGAUGCAUCGCCUGAACGUAACGCUGCUUUUGUAUUUCACAUGAAACUCUAUUUCUAUUAAAACUUUGUCUUCUUGUUGUGUUUCUUUCAUAAAGGAAUAACAAUUAUGCCAGGAUCAUGCUGAUUCAACUAUUUUGCUUUGUUAAGAAAAAAUAACUCUUUUUACUCAAGUGAUUUUGUACUAGGCAAGUCGUUGAUGGCAACUUUAAAAACAUUAGUUUGAACUUUGAAGGUCUUUUAUAUUGUACUUUUAUUUUUAAGGAUGUCCUUAAGAUAUUAGUAUGUUUUGGCUAAAAAGUUAUAUAUCGUUUAAUUCUGUUUAUCUUUUAAAACAACAAAAACACAAAAGAUAUUUCAUGUUAAGCGAUAAUUCAAUAUGAUUAAGAGAAUGAUAACCUAGUUAGUAAUUAGUAAUUACCAACAUCCGUAUGGUCAUAAAAGAGAACCCAAGAUAAUGAAAAAAAAAUGUCAAACCAUAAAACUUGGACAAUGGUGAAACAAAAACAGUCUUUUUAUUUAAGUUUUCGUAGGAUCAAACUCCCACGGCUGCUUCUUGUAAUAGCAGACCACAAACUAAACCAAGUGGUCUUAUUUGUAGCAACUUCUUUUUCUUCACCUUUUAACUUGGCAUGUAACUGAGCAAAUUCCAGCAAAUUUUUUUUUUUUUUUUGCUUGUACUAAAUAGCUUAAUUUUGGUGAAGAAACCAGCAAAUUUUCAUUUUAUUUUAAUAAAUAAAUGAUAUCUCAUUCAACUUUAAUGUUACUGAAUGAUACAUGGAGAUAAUAAAUAAUACUCCAAGUAAAGAUUUUUUUAGAUUUUUUUCUUGUUCCACAAAGAUAGAUUUUCUAUAUUGUUAAGGUAUUUUUUUAUACUUUUGAAAAACAUUAAUUGAGAAUAUUUGAAUUAAUUAAAUUUCAUUGGUGGAAAGUUAUUGAAAAGUGUAUAAUAAAGUAAAAGAUAAAUUAAAUUAUAAAUAUUUAUUAAAUUAUUAAUAAGCGUCCAUACUCUAAAAAAUCUUACUUUUGCGAACAGAGAGAGUAUUCUUUUGAUGGUACUACGGAUGCUACAACUUUAAGAUAGUGCUGUUGAUCAUCUGGACUAAAUAGGUUGACAAAGAGGAAUCCCAAGCCCUUAAUCUUGAACUGUACAUAGAGUGGUAGAUUACUAACUUAGGCUUCGAAUGUUACGAACUGCCUCGCCCCGCAGUUAACAGUAACAAAAAUCUCUACAUAUACUAUAUAUCUAUACGUUUUUAUAACUGUUAAAACCGCACCGCAAUUAAUGUAUGUAGCGGCUAGAGGCUUGUUCAAAAUGAAUCCUCCAAUGAUUAUAGUGCCUAAAUCCAUUGAGGAAGGCAUCGAGACUUUGCUCGAGGUUCCUAGAGCUAAGGCACAAUCCUGUUAGCUUGGACAUAGGAGGACAACCUCUAGCAUCCAACUACCCAUUGCCGCCCAAGGUUUGUGGUUUUUUUUUGUGUGUGUUGUUUGGUGGCAUAGUGAUACAGUAGCUUCAUCAGGUGUCAGUAGAACCAUGAGGAGAAUUCUUUCAGUGGAGUUGGCUUUUGAACCAAAGAUUGUAUAUGUGAGAAAAACAUCUAAAGUUAAAAUGUGUCAAAGGUUACGACAUCCUCAUUCAAAUAGCUAAUGAUAACAUUGGUUUGUCAGUGUUGGUUCUUCUCGGUAGAUAUAUGCUUAAGUUCCGUUUCUUAGGUCAGCAAAAUGGUGCAACGACAUCUGACAUGAGGGAAUAAGUAGGUGGGGGAUCUCACGAUAUCUAAAAAUCAUUAUUUUGCAUUUUUUUCUGAGAGCAUUCUGAUUAGCUACACCGUGUGUUAUCCUUAGGCUAUGCUCUAUUAUUGUCUUGGUGCGUCACAUUCUCAACUUGUAAACUAGAGUGUUCAUAUUUUUGUUCUAGGGUGGAUUGUCAAUGUAUGUAGCGGCUAAAAUUUUCUAAUCUUUUAUAUAGUUUCCUUGUAAAAGGUAUCUUAUUGCUUGGUCAAAGACUGCUGGCAUUAUGAUACCAGUUAGAUUCAUCAGGUGUCAGCAGAAAUAUGAGGAGCAUCCUUUCAUUAGAGUUGGCUUUUGAACCAAAUAUUGUUUAUAUGAGAAAAAUCAUAUAUUACCAAGGGGUAUAGGAGUCCAGCAUCCAAAAGCUAGAUUGUGUUAGGUUAUAGUGUCCUCAUUCAAAAUUGUGUUGGUUCUUAUCGGUAAUCAUAUGCUUAAGUUUCGGUUUUCAGGUCAGCGAAUAAUGCAACAUCAUCUGACAUUAAGGAGUAAGAAGGUGGGCUCGUAAGAUAUCUAAAAAAGGUUUCUCUUAACAACCUCAGUAUUCUCUGAAGAUUGUGGGCUUAAUCCACUUCAAGAUUCUGCAAACGAGACUGCUUCUUCCAUGAGGCAAGUGUCUAUUGUUUUCUCUGAUAUGUCGUCACUCUUUUGUCAUCAUUGAGGUUUAGGCCCUUGACAGAGGCAAAGAGGCAAGAGAAGGAGGACGUUAAGAUCUUCUUAAGUCGUUGGUCUUAUUUUCCAUCCACUAAUGGCUUUUUUAUGGGUUGUUGGUCGUUAAUUCCAAUCAAACAAGUCUUAAACCUCCUACAUUUUCUUUGUCUCUGUCCAGACAUUAGUAACCGUGGGUAAUGAAUCUGUUUUCAGUUAUAGUCCUUGUCUUAAGACUUUCUCAAACCAUAACCAUUCAAAUAACUGAAAACAAAUUCUCUCAAGCCGUGGAUACUAAAUCUUUGUAAGCCGUGGGUAAGGAAUCUGUUUUCAGUUAUAGUCCCUGUCUUAAGACUUUCUCAAACUGUACCAUUCAAAUAACUAAAAACAGAAAAGUCUUGUCUUUAAGACUUGUAAGCCGUGGGUAAUAAAUCUUUGUCUUUGUCAAGACAUGUGUAAGCCUUGAGUAAGGAAUCUAUUUUCAGUUAUAGUCUUUGUCAAAGACUGAGCGGCAUGCUCUUAUUUGCCAUCCCCUAACGCCCUUCUUUAUACAUGCACCACCAACCCAUAUUCUCGGUCCAUUUAACAAUCUUGCUAUAGGAAAUGGUAUAAGUUUCUUUCAGAGGAAGCAAGGGACAGUGUUUUCAGUUAUAGUCCUUGUCUUAGGACUUUCUCAAACUGUACCAUUCAAAUAACUGAAAAAAAAAGUCUUUGGCCUUUAAGACUUGUAAGCCGUGGAUCAUAAAUCUUUAUCUUUGUCAAGACAUGUGUAAGCCGUGGGUAAUAAAUCUUUGUAAGCCAUGGGUAAGGAAUCUGUUUUCAGUUAUAGUCUUUGUCUUAAGACUUUCACAAACUGUACCAUUCAAAUAAUUGAAAACAAAAAAGUCUUUUGUCUUUAAGACUUGUAAGCCGUGAGUAAUAAAUCUGUCUUUCUCAAGACAUGUGUAAGGCGUGGGUAAGGAAUCUGUUUUCAGUUAUAGUCUUUGUCAAAGACUGAGCGGCAUGCUCUUAUUUGCCAUCCCCUUACGCCCUUCUUUAUACAUGCACCACCAACCCAUAUUCUCGGUCCAUUUAAUAAUCUUGCUAUAGGGGAUGGCAUAAAGUUCUUUUAGAGGCAGCAAGGGACAAUGUUUUCAGUUAUAGUCCUUGUCUUAGGACUUUCUCAAACUGUACCAUUCAAAUAACUGAAAACAGAAAAGUCUUUGGUCUUUAAGACUUGUAAGCCGUGAGUAAUAAAUCUUUGUCUUUGUCAAGACAUGUGUACGCCGUGGGUAAAAAUCUUUGUAAGUCGUGGGUAAGGAAUCUGUUUUCAGUUAUAGUCUUUUGUCUUAAGACUGAGCCGCAUGCUCUUAUUUGCCAUCCCCUAACGCCCUUCUCUAUACAUUCACCACCAACCCAUAUUCUCGAUCCAUUAGGGGAUGGCUUAAGUUUCUUUUAGAGGCAGCAAGGGACAAUGUUUUCAGUUAUAGUCCUUGUCUUAGGACUUUCUCAAACUGUACCGUUCAUAUAACUGAAAACAGAAAAAUCUUUGGUCUUUAAGACUUGUAAGCCGUGGGUAAUAAAUCUUUGUCUUUGUCUAAGACAUGUGUAAGCCGAGGGUAAUAAAUCUUUGUAAGCCGUGGGUAAGGAAUCUGUUUUCAGUUAUAGUCUUUUGUCUUAAGACUGAGCCGCAUGCUCUUAUUUGCCAUCCCCUAACGCCCUUCUCUAUACAUGCACCACCAACCCAUAUUCUCGAUCCUUUAGGGGAUGGCAUAAGUUUCUUUUAGAAGCAGCAAGGGACAUUGUAUUCAGUUAUAGUCCUUGUGAUAACCCGUCCUUCGGGAUAAAAUGGUCGAGCAAGGGAAAGUCAGAAUCUGGAGCCAAGCUUUUGGGAGAUUACAUAUUUGGAGUAAUGUUGAGUUUUGAUCACACAAAACUUAACAAGGUUCGGAGAAGACAGAAGAUUGGUCGAGCAUCAACUUGAUGAUCGAACCGCGGGCGGUACGGGCCAACCGAGAAGUUCGAAGUAGGAUGUGGUCGAAGAAUGGAUCGUGAGUGAACCAUGAGACAUAUUAAGCUGCUCUACCUUUCUUAGAAGAGUCUUAGAUUGAUCAGACGAAGAUUUUGGAAGAAUCACAUUUUUGGAAGCACGACGGUUUAGAAGCUCGACGUUUCAGAAACCCGACGUUUCUUAGCCACUAAGUUUUCCGCGAAACUUCACAUCUAUGAUCAGAAUAUUAUUUCAGAGAUAUUAUAAUUUGGAAGCAUGACGGGAGUAAGCAGGACGGGAAGCAAGCACGACGGGAAAACCCGAAGUUGGUCGAAAACCCUAAUUUCGGUUUUUCGAAAUUAUUGGAAGAAGCCGGAGGCUCGGGAAAUAUUUUUAGAGGAUCUCAGUAUUCAUCUGGAGUUUAUUAAAAAUAUUUAGAGAAUCAGAACGGGAGCGGAAAAAUAUUCGGGAUUGAUCGCGGGACGAAAAUUUACCAGAAAGACCGAAAUCGCACAAAUCAACCGGGAAGCUCGAGGUGGCCCUAUCUGAGAGAUCAGGACGUGCUGUCCUUCAUCCAAGCAUCUUAGUGUCUCCGUAGCACGAUAUGUCUCCGCAGGAUGAAGCCUCACAUGCAGCAUGACACCCAAAGCACGACAUGACCUCGUCUUGACACCCAGAGGCCCGUGUGUCGCGAUGCAUGAGCUCCAGCCAUGCUGAAUGACAUCUGGACGUGGUGCUGGCUUCUGGCAUGCAGAGGAGUCAUGCAUGGUGACAUUUGGACGCCCGUGUGUCGCCGCGCAUGCGACCGGAAGCAUGCGGGACGACACACAGGCGAUGGAGUGGCACCAUUUCAAUGGUUGGCCAUAUCUAUAUAAACCCAGCUCCCCCAGCUCGUUUCAUUCAUUCCACACACUCAAACAUCACUCUAAAACUUGGGCUAGAGAGAGAAAGUGAAGUAGAAAAAGGAAGUGAAGGAUUUGGAGCUGUUUUGAAGAAGUUAGAGCAUUUUUAAGAGCCAUUGUUCUACCGAAAGUCCGAGAAGAAGAUCCAGAAGUCCGAGGAGGUUCUGUCCAAGUCCUGAUUCGUCCAUACCAGUCCAUUGAAGACAGAGGCAUUGGUUUUUGGCUAGGCUUUCUCCGAUCAACCAGCUGCAAGAACACUGUGAGUUGGUUUGUUUGAGUUCCACUUGGAACUUAGGAUAGAUCGAGUUGCAUAUAGAGUAAUAAUAUCACACUGAUGCAUGAUAGAGUCCUAGGGUUAUUUUUAUUUAUGAAUUGGACUCAGUUUAGCAUGGGCUAAGCUGAGAUAUAAUGGAAUUAAGACUGAGUUAUAACCUGACUAGGACUAGGAUGAAUGAUGCAUCAACCGGUAUAGUGUGAUAAAUUAUGGCGUAGCUGAAUUGUUAGGAUUGAGAUGCAUGUUUUCCUUUAUUUAUUUAUGGGUAGUUUAGUAAUGGAGUAGACCUGCCUUAGAGAUAUUAGGACUAUUGAAUGCUUGGUUUGGUAGUGAUUGUUGUUGUGCAGGGAUGGUAUUGUUCAGGCGAUCUUAGGCCAUAUAGGCCGAUUUCCUUCCAUGUCGAGUUUAGUACUACCAAUCCUAUGCCAUAUAGGCUGGACUACGAGUACUGGUGUUAGUGUCGUAGACUCCUUAGUGUAUUUAAGUUUGUGGUAGGAGUCUUGGUCUUAUUAGGAUUAGUGUGUUGUAGCCGACAGUAUGAGCGUAACCCGUCCAUACUAGGCUUGUUUAGGGGUGAUUAGUGUUUCCUCAGCCUCGUACCCAGCGGGUUUAAGGAAACCCCUUAUUCGUUGGAUCGGGAAGACUCAGAGAGACGGGAUCAUGGCCUAUGGCUGAGUUAUUACACGACGGUGUAAUGUGGCAGUGACCCGAAGGACUGUGGGCUGUCGCGCGGUGACCCGAAGGACUGUGGGCCGCGGUCGGUUGAAAGUUCCUUCUUCUGGCCUUUGUGGUAGGGAGAUAGGAUAUUGCCGAUGUUGAGGAGGAACACGAGAUCACCAGGGCCCAUGUUAGAGUAUUGAGUUUAGAGUUAGAAUAGUGUGUCGAGUUAGUUUUAUUGUGUCGUCUUGAGGGUGAGGAACCCUCGAGAUAGUGUUAGCACCGAGAUACGGUGUUGAUCGAGUCUUGAUUGUUAGAUUAGGGAUCCGUUGAGUAGAUGGUCGUUUGGCCAUGUCUAUUAUUAGUAUUAUUAGAUUAAGGUCGAGCAUACCUUAAUCGGUGCGGUUUUGGGGAUUAGCCUUAAAGCUUUAUUUUCUGCGCUUAGGCUAGAUUGAUUGUUAUUUUUGGGUUGUCUGAGCUAGCUACUAGGUUUAGGUAUUUAGGUAUCCAGCUCACUGAGUGACCUUCUGUUACUCACCCAACUCUCGUUGUCCUUUUUGCAGGAGUUUAGUUUGUAGGAGAUUAGACGCGUAGGCCACCGGAAUAGAUUUGCAGUGCAUUUGGCUACGGUUUGAUUUUUAUACGAUUUAUGUUUCCGUUGCGUUUUAUCGGAUUUGGGAUCCCUAAAGUAUUGCAAAUAUUCUUAAAAGUCUUGGAUUUAAAUCUUAAAAAAAUUAACGGGUCCAAUAUGAUAUUGGUUUAGUCCGAACCAACACAACGUUAGGUCUUGGUACGGGUUGAAAAGCCUUAAGCCUCGAUCUAACGGAACCGUUAACUCAUGGUACAGGUUGCAAAGCCUUAAGCCUUGAUUUAACGGGACGUGUUAGUGGAUGAACUAGUCUAGGUUGCGGAAUAAAUCUGUGACUCGGACCGGAUCGUCCCUAGCUCGUCACGUAGCGCUUCCGGACCAUGGUGUUGGGUUGGACGGUCAGUCAUGUUCUUGUUUGAUUGUUGGCUGGCCGGUUGGCCUUUCAUCUCCAAUCCUUGGUGUUGGUUGGUCCGUCGGUCAUGUUCUUGUUUGAUUGUUGGCCGGUGGGUCGACCUAUGCCUAGGACGGUUCGGGGGUGUUACAGAGGUGGUAUCAGAGCAUGGUUACGAUUAUGCUCACUGGUUCCCGUGGUUUUUCAAAUGUUUUCAAUGUUUUUCGAGUCAAAAGGAGUCGCCAAUGCACUCUUUAGGAAUCCGGUCGUGUCCAAUCGUUUAGGAGGGGUAGGAGAGAUUUUAUUUUAUUAUUAGCUUGUUGUCUAACCCAUAUAUAUUGCGACAUGAUUCCGCAGGUUGCUGUACUGGUGUGGUAGGGUGGAGAUUUGGAGUUACGGAGGAUUUCGACGUUUCGCCUAGUCCUAUACUUGCCGAUCUUUUUCAGCCGCAUGAGUUUGAUCAGAUCGUACCAGACAUGUUUCCGACACCUAUCAUCAUUUCUGAUGAUGACACCGAGCCUGAUGAUGCGGUUCCGACACCCUUUAUUGUCAUUUCUGACGAUGAGACCAAUGCGGAUGAUCUUGUUCCGCAGAUGCCUACGGUAGCACCACCGAGCCCCAUCACUAUCUUGUCUACGGGUACUACUGGAGAUACGCCGAGUUAUGAUCCUGCUGAGGAUCAGGGCACUUCGCCACCUACUCCAGAUGUGUCGACACCAUCAUAUGGUCCCUUACCUUUGUCUCCGGGAUUACCCGAUCCUACUCUCAGCCCGACGAUUGACAUACAUUAUGAGAUGGGUCUGGAGGGAUUUUACGAUCUGCCGAUGGAGAGUAUUGGUGACAGCCAUGAUGAUCCAUUACUUUACUAUCCAGACAUCAUGAUUCCUGAUGAGCCAGCAAACUAUCAGUCCAUGGAGAGCGUUGGACACCCUGAUGACGACCCAUUCCUUUAUGAUCCAGACGUGAUGAUGAUGGACCAGCCACUUCCUCAGCCGGCGGACUUAUCUUUUUCUCAUACUAUACCUGCGAGUGGAGAGCCUUCCAGCUUUCCACCCAUGGAGCCAUCCACGACCUACUCACCAUUAUCUCAGCCAUUCUAUGACUACGGAGAGCCUUCCAGCUUUCCGACGAUGGAGGUACCCAAGACUGAAUUACCAUUUUACCAGACCACUUAUCAGACCGGAGGGCCAUCUAGCCUUCCAGCGAUGGAUGCAUCUUUUGAUCUUGGAGGAUCUGCUUCUUCUGGUGAUCCUUACGCACCUCAGUCCUAUCGAUGUUUUUGGUGUCAGAGCAGGAUAUGUGGAUCCACACGGAUUCCCAUAUCAUACUUAUCUUGGUAGAUCGGAUCUGUACCCGAGGUGUUUUACUUGUGGAGGCAUAGCACAUUCGACUGGCGUGUGCACGAGCUACGACGAGCCAGCAGCGAUACCCUACCUACACAGUGCGCAACCAGCAGGGGAUUCGUCCGAGUGGGGCUACUGCCCCAACUGCGACAUGUUGCUUUAUAUAUGGCGUUCUUAGACGUGUAGGACCGGGUAAGUAGGGUACAGACUUUUUGUGGUGAUAUAGCGGUGUAUAGACUUUUGUAGUGUUUUGUGACAGCUGAUGUCUUUUGUUGUAUGAUAUAUCAUCAGUAACGAUAAAGGAUGUUUUUCUGUCAAGUAUAUGUAUAUAUUUGAUGGGAGGAUAUGUUUUAUAGUGAAGGUGGUUAUCAUUUGCGUUUUUCUAUUUAGUAAUUACGUAACCAUAUCAUUCAAGUAUGCAUGUUCUUGCAUAUUUGAAUUAUGUGGUUUACAAGAUGAAAAAUAGUGAUCGCUUGGACAUAUGGUUUUACAAAACAUUUACAACUGUUUAAAUAUCACACAAAUCGUUGGUACAGUAGAGUCUUAGUUUUUAGGCCGCAUUUUUUUAGGGCUGGUUAGUGGAACAUAGAAUUGCUAGGUUGUUGGUUAGAAUUGCGGUUAGAUUACCCGGUUAGAAUCGUUAGGUUGCUGGAUAGAUUUGGUAGGUUGCUGGUUAGUUUUGGAUUAGAUUGUUAGGUUAGUUGUUAACUAACUUGCAUGUGAAGUGUUCUUUUGAGUUGCAGCUUGUGUGUUCGUUGAUCGGAACUUUAAGGAAUGGAAACCUUAAAGUGAAAAGAGUUCAAGGCUAAAAACCCAAAAUGAAGAGAGAGAGAUUUAGAGGGACUGGACAGUGGUAUGGACUGGACAAGUAUGAGAAAGACUUCGUUGAGAAAGGACUUCAUCAGUUUUGGGAAAAGAAAGGUUUCAGUGAUCAGAAGCAAAGAUGGUGCGCGUUAUGGCAGAGUAAAUGCAAGAAGACGAUUCAGUAUUCAUCAAGUGAAGAGUUUUGUGGCAACUUUGAGAAGGAGACUCAUGGGAGAGCAGUAGAUACGGUGAAGCAAUAUGAAGAUGAAUUCAGCAUGAGAGUGAAGCGAUAUGGAGAUGAGUUAAGAAUGAGUGAAGCAUGGGAAAUCAAGAAGUGAAGGACGGAUUCAAGACUAAAGGAAUGCUUUGAGAUGUAUCAAGACGGAGUGAGUUCAGAACCAGAAGUUUGGGUGGAGACCAGAGAAACCGAAAGGAGGAAACCAAGGGCAAACCGAUAAAGAAGCACAUCAAGUGAUCAAGACCGCGAGACAAGUGAUCCAAGGAGAAAUUUUCAUCAAGGGGAUGAACAUGUCGUGAAGCUGAGCCAUUGGACAACUAAGAAUGCGAGGACGAAUUCUAUUAAGGGGGGAAGAAUGUGAUAAUCCGCCCUUCGGGAUAAAAUGGUUGAGCAAGGGAAAGUCAGAAUCUGGAGCCAAGCUUUUGGGAGAUUACAUAUUUGGAGUAAUGUUGAGUUUUGAUCACACAAAACUUAACAAGGUUCGGAGAAGACAGAAGAUUGGUCGAGCAUCAACUUGAUGAUCGAACCGCGGGCGGUACGAACCGAGAAGUUCGAAGUAGGAUGUGGUCGAAGAAUGGAUCGUGAGUGAACCAUGAGACAUAUUACGCUGCUCUACCUUUCUUAGAAGAGUCUUAGAUUGAUCAGACGAAGAUUUUGGAAGAAUCACAUUUUUGGAAGCACGACGGUUUAGAAGCUCGACGUUUCUUAGCCACUAAGUUUUCUGUGAAACUUCACAUCUAUCAUCAGAAUAUUAUUUCAGAGAUAUUAUAAUUUGGAAGCAUGACGGGAGUAAGCAGGACGGGAAGCAAGCACGACGGAAAAACCCGAAGUUGGUCGAAAACCCUAAUUUCGGUUUUUCGAAAUUAUUGGAAGAAGCCGGAGGCUCGGGAAAUAUUUUUAGAGGAUCUCAGUAUUUAUCUGGAGUUUAUUAAAAAUAUUUAGAGAAUCAGAACGGGAGCGGAAAAAUAUUCAGGAUUGAUCGCGGGACGAAAAUUCACCAGAAAGACCGAAAUCGCACAAAUCAACCGGGAAGCUCGAGGUGGCCCUAUCUGAGAGAUCAGGACGUGCUGUCCUUCAUCCAAGCAUCUUAGUGUCUCCGUAGCACGACAUGUCUCCGCAGGAUGAAGCCUCACAUGCAGCAUGACACCCAAAGCACGACAUGGCAUCGUCUUGACACCCAGAGGCCCGUGUGUCGCGAUGCAUGAGCUCCAGCCAUGCUGAAUGACAUCUGGACGUGGUGCUGGCUUCUGGCAUGCAGAGGAGUCAUGCAUGGUGACAUUUGGACGCCCGUGUGUCGCCGCGCAUGCGACUGGAAGCAUGCGGGACGACACAAAGGCGAUGGAGUGGCACCAUUUCAAUGGUUGGCCAUAUCUAUAUAAACCCAGCUCCCCCAGCUCGUUUCAUUCAUUCCACACACUCAAACAUCACUCUAAAACUUGGGCUAGAGAGAGAAAGUGAAGUAGAAAAAGGAAGUGAAGGAUUUGGAGUUGUUUUGAAGAAGUUAGAGCAUUUUUAAGAGCCAUUGUUCUACCGAAAGUCCAAGAAGAAGAUCCAGAAGUCCGAGGAGGUUCUGUCCAAGUCCUGAUUCGUCCAUACCAGUCCAUUGAAGACAGAGGCCUUGGGUUUUGGCUAGGCUCUCUCCGAUCAACCAGCUGCAAGAACACUGUGAGUUGGUUUGUUUGAGUUCCACUUGGAACUUAGGAUAGAUCGAGUUGCAUAUAGAGUAGAAAUAUCACACUGAUGCAUGAUAGAGUCCUAGGGUUAUUUUUAUUUAUGAAUUGGACUCAGUUUAGCAUGGGCUAAGCUGAGAUAUAGGCCGUGUUCGUUUGCUGGUCGCUAGCGUCAGCGACCAAGUUCAGCGACCAAACGCUGUUCGUUUACCGGUCGUGAGUUCAGCGACUGAUCUCAGCGACCAAACGCUAGCGAUCAGCGAUUUAAAAUUUUGGACGCUGGAAAUUUCAGCGGUGCGACCAAAAUCGUGCGACUAGAAAUUUUUUUUUUUUUUUUUUUUUGAACACUCGAAAAAAUAAAAAAAAACUUAAAAAGACAAAACUACCCUAAAUAUAUUUACAGAAUCACAAUACAUUGCCAUUAACCCUAAUACAAACUCACGCCAAAAAAAAAAACCAGAAACUUCUCUCUCUCUCCCCGAUCUAUUUCCUGCGGCCAUACUUCUCUUCUCUGCUCAAGCUCUCUUUCUCUCCGAUCUAUUUCCGGCAGCCACAGAGAACCUUCUCUGCUCAAGGUCUCUCUCUCUCUCUCUCUCUCUCUCUCUCUCUCUCUCUGCGUUUUGUGUGAGGAUAAUGGAACCUUUAGAUUAAUUAAGUUGACUGUUGGGUUUUUUGAUUCUUGAUAUGGGUUGCUUUUAGAUUUAAGAUUUUGAUUAUCAAAUCUUUGUUUUUAAUCCGAUUAUCAGACAUGGGUUUGAGUUCCUGUGAAUGUUUUCAGACAUGGGUUUGAGUUCUUUUUGGUAUGUGACGAAGUGUUCUUGCAUUUGCUUUCAAGUAGUUUAUAGUUUGGUCUGAAUAAAGCUUCGAUGUUUGGAACAAGAGUCAAAUUUUGUGUGCUUUUGAUAGAUUGUUGUUUCAGUUUAGUAGUAGUGAUGAAAUAUGUGUCUGCAAGUCUCAUCAUUUAUGUCUGUAUUAUCUUCUCAGGUUGGACAUAAAUCACAACAAGACAAGAUAAGAAGAAUGGCUGAUGAUGUAAGUGUUUUAGGCAGUUCUAGUUUCUUAGAUCUUUUGUGAUAGUUUUUUCUGCUAGUUUAGCUUGUUUGUCUAUUGAUGAGACUUGUUAUUUAGAAAUGGACCGAUGAAGAAGUUAGGUAUUUCUUUGCUCUUUAUGCUGAUGAGAAAAAGAAAGGGAACAGACCAAGGAGUGGCAUGAAUCUAGCUGGAAGAGAGUUCAUCGUAAAUAAGUUUGAAGAGAAAUUUGGUAAGAGAUGGAUAUGGGACAGGUUUAAGAACAAGGUUGAUAUUAGUAGAAAAGCAUAUGUCAAGUUCAAGAAGCUUACCCACAAUAGAACCGGGCUUGUCUAUGAUGCUUUGGGAAGGUUGGAGAUGUCGGAUGCUUGGUGGGAUCAACGCAUUGCGGUAAGUAUCUUUCUCUUAGUCUUCAGUGCUUUAAUAAUGUCAGUAUUAGAGUUCUCUUUCUGCUUAGAGUGAAAAAUAUUAGACAUUGAAUCAGUAUUAGCUUGAAAAAAAUAUUAGACAUUGAAAAAUACUGUAUGUUUCAAAUAUACUAAUUUUUUUCUUCUUAAACAGGAAUGGCAAGGUGCAAGAAAGUAUAAGACCAAAGUGCCUCCAAACAUGGAUGUGUUUGAAGCAGAGUUUGGUGCUGUUACUGUAACUGGAGCAGAAGGAUGGUGUGCUCAGCAAGGAGAAGCUAGCUUAGAUUCUAGAGUAGAUGUAGAGAAGGAUGACGAGUCUGAUUCAGUUGACACUGGGAUGCCAGCACCAAGAGAAGGAACAAGUAGAGCUGGAGGUUCAAAAAGAAAGCGUAAGGAAUUUGAUCAAGAGCCUUAUGUUCUAAGGAAUGCAAUUCUGGCUGAGAAAAAUAAGAUAGCAGAAAAGAUGGUAGAGAUAAUGGCAGAGGAUCGUGUGGUGUUGCAGCAGGAUCGCAAAUUCCGUGUGCACUCUGUGUUGGAGAUACUUAAUGAGCUACCUGGAAUUAUAAAGUGGUCACCAUUUCACAUUGCUGCAGUUAACCAUCUCAAAGCUGUUGAAGAAAACAGAAUGGCUUUUAUGUCUUUCUCUAGUGAUGAUGAUAAGAUUAGCUAUCUUGAAAAUAUGAUUGGAGUUAAGAUAUAUGAAGGAUUGUAGUGUCUGUUUCAGUAUGACUGUUUUAAUAUGACUCAGAUUGUAGUGUUUCUUUUAAGUAUGACUUUUGUUUCAUUUUUUUGGUAUGAAUCAGAUUGUAGUAUUUUAAUGUGAUAGUACCAUUAUUCUCGUGUCUGCCUGCUCAAAUUGGAAGUUGGUUUUUUUUAAUGUGAUAGGAAGUUGGGUUUUUUUUUUCUGUCUCGCAACUUAUAUAUAUAUAUGUGAUUUUAAUGCUUUGCAGAUGGUUAGGUGGUACUUGGAUGAUGAUGAUGAGGAUGAUGAUUAUGAGGAAGAGCAUGAAGUUGAUGUGCUUAAGCCAGAGAGAUUGCUUCAUAGAACAGAUCGAGGUGCUGGAUGGAAUCAUGUUCAGCAGCUUAUGCACGGGUCAGAUCAACAGUGCUAUGAUAUUCUUCGCAUGAAUCAGAGGACAUUUCAAGAUCUGUGUAAGAUGUUAGCAACGAGAUAUGGGUUACAAGAGACGUUGAAUGUCUAUAUUGAAGAAGCGGUUGCAAUGUUCCUUGAAGUGGUGGGUCAAGAUAAGACAGUACGGGUUAUUGCACAAAGAUAUCAACGUUCGUUGGAUACAGUCAAAAGGAAACUUGGUGAGGUUUUGAGUUCUCUCUUGAAAUUUGCUGCAGAUACACUAAAACCAGAAGAUGGUGAGUUCACAAGAGUAUGUCCUGCUUUGAGAAAUGAUGAUCGAUACUGGCCAUUUUUUAAAGACUGUAUUGGAGCAUUGGAUGGAACUCAUAUCUCAGUCCGCCCUCCUAAACGAAAUGCAGAAGCAUACAGGGGCAGAAAACAGGAGCCAACCAUGAAUGUCCUUGCUAUAUGUAACUUUGAUAUGAAGUUCAUAUAUGCUUAUGUGGGUGUGCCGGGUAGAGCCCAUGACACAAAGGUAUUAACUUAUUGUGCGAGGAAUGAGCCUUUUUUUCCACAUCCGCCAAAUGGAAAGUAUUAUUUGGUUGAUGCUGGAUAUCCCACAAGAACAGGGUAUCUUGGUCCGUAUCGUAGAGUUCGGUAUCAUCUCGAUCAGUUCAACAGAGGAGGACCGCCAACGAACACUCGAGAGGUGUUCAACCGGAGACAUUCAAGCUUGCGAUCAGUGAUUGAGCGGACAUUUGGAGUGUGGAAAGCAAAAUGGAGAAUUCUUGACCGUAGGCAUCCAAAAUAUGGUUUGAUCAAAUGGAUAAAGCUAGUGACGGCAACGAUGGCUCUACACAACUUCAUACGUGAUUCACAUCGAGAAGAUAAUGAUUUUGUGCAUUGGCAGAGAAGAGAAGAAUAUCAUACUCAUGGUGAUAAUGAUGAAGAAGAAAGAGAUGAAGAGGAAGAUGAAGAAGAAGAAGAAGAAGAUGGUGAUGGUCAUGGUGGACAUAUUCCAUAUGAGCCGACUGGUGAUAGAGCCAUGGAAGGUUUACGUGAUCAUAUUGGUAAUGAGUUGAGUAGAGGAUAUCGAUUACCUUAUUAGUUUAUUUGAUUUGAAUUUGUACUGAUUAUUAUUAUAAGUUACUCGUAUGAUCACUCAUAAACAAAAGUGAACUUGUACAAGGAAAAAUAUAAGAAAUUGAAACGAUUAAACAUAUUGCAUCCAUGGUGUGAUUUAUUACACUUUACAGUUUUAAUGAUUUAGCCACGUUUUUGACGAAACCUAAGUACACAAGAGCAAAUGUAUGUCAAAAGUAAAUAUUUGGUCGCCAGCGAUACAGAAACGAACAGCAUAGCGACAACCGCUGCGAUCAAUCGCGCGACAUAGAAACGAACAGCAUAGCGACAACCGCUGCGAUCAAUCGCGCGACCUUCAAACGAACAACUAUCAGCGACAUCAUGUCGCAGUCGCUGGUCGCUGACUCUGGUCGCUGACGCUGGCGACCACGAAACGAACAGGGCCAUAAUGGAAUUAAGACUGAGUUAUAACCUGACUAGGACUAGGAUGAAUGAUGCAUUAACCGGUAUAGUGUGAUAAAUUAUGGCGUAGCUGAAUUGUUAGGAUUGAGAUGCAUGUUUUCCUUUAUUUAUUUAUGGGUAGUUUAGUAAUGGAGUAGACCUGCCUUAGAGAUAUUAGGACUAUUGAAUGCUUGGUUUGGUAGUGAUUGUUGUUGUGCAGGGAUGGUAUUGUUCAGGAGAUCUUAGGCCAUAUAGGCCGAUUUCCGUCCAUGUCGAGUUUAGUACUACGAAUCCUAUGCCAUAUAGGCUGGACUACGAGUACUGGUGUUAGUGUCGUAGACUCCUUAGUGUAUUUAAGUUUGUGGUAGGAGUCUUGGUCUUAUUAGGAUUAGUGUGUUGUUGCCGAUAGUAUGAGCAUAACCCGUCCAUACUAGGCUUGUUUAAGGGUGAUUAGUGUUUCCUCAGCCUCGUACCCAGCGGGUUUAAGGAAAUCCCUUCUUCGUUGGAUCGGGAAGACUCAGAGAGACAGGAUCAUGGUCUAUGGCUGAAUUAUUACACGACGGUGUAAUGUGGCAGUGACCCGAAGGACUGUGGGCUGUCGCGCGGUGACCCGAAGGACUGUGGGCCGCAGUCGGUUGAAAGUUCCUUCUUCUGGCCUUUGUGGUAGGGAGAUAGGAUAUUGCCGAUGUUGAGGAGGAACACGAGAUCACCAGGGCCCAUGUUAGAGUAUUGAGUCUAGAGUUAGAAUAGUGUGUCGAGUUAGUUUUAUUGUGUCGUCUUGAGGGUGAGGAACCCUCGAGAUAGUGUUAGCACCGAGAUACGGUGUUGAUCAAGUCUUGAUUGUUAGAUUAGGGAUCCGUUGAGUAGAUGGUCGUUUGGCCAUGUCUAUUAUUAGUAUUAUUAGAUUAAGGUCGAGCAUACCUUAAUCGGUGCGGUUUUGGGGAUUAGCCUUAAAGCUAUUUUCUGCGCUUAGGCUAGAUUGAUUGUUAUUUUUGGGUUGUCUGAGCUAGCUACUAGGUUUAGGUAUUUAGGUAGCCAGCUCACUGAGUGACCUUCUGUUACUCACCCAACUCUCGUUGUCCUUUUUGCAGGAGUUUAGGUUGUAGGAGAUUGGACGCGUAGGCCACCGAAAUAGAUUUGCAGUGCAUUUGGCUACGGUUUGAUUUUUAUACGAUUUAUGUUUCCGUUGCGUUUUAUCGGAUUUGGGAUCCCUAAAGUAUUGCAAAUAUUCUUAAAAGUCUUGGAUUUAAAUCUUAAAAAAAUUAACGGGUCCAAUAUGAUAUUGGUUUAGUCCGAACCAACACAACGUUAGGUCUUGGUACGGGUUGAAAAGCCUUAGGCCUCGAUCUAACGGAACCGUUAACUCAUGGUACAGGUUGCAAAGCCUUAAGCUUUGAUUUAGCGGGACGUGUUAGUGGAUGAACUAGUCUAGGUUGCGGAAUAAAUCUGUGACUCGGACCGGAUCGUCCCUAGCUCGUCACGUAGCGCUUCCGGACCAUGGUGUUGGGUUGGACGGUCAGUCAUGUUCUUGUUUGAUUGUUGGCUGGCCGGUUGGCCUUUCAUCUCCAAUCCUUGGUGUUGGUUGGUCUGUCGGUCAUGUUCUUGUUUGAUUGUUGGCCGGUGGGUCGACCUAUACCUAGGACGGUUCGGGGGUGUUACAGUCCUUGUCUUAGGACUUUCUCAAACUGUACCAUUCAAAUAACUGAAAACAGAAAAGUCUUUGGUCUUUAAGACUUGUAAGCCGUGGGUAAUAAAUCUUUGUCUUUGUUAAGACAUGUGUAAGCCGUGGGUAAAAAUCUUUGUAAGCCGUGGGUAAGGAAUCUGUUUUCAGUUAUAGUCUUUUGUCUUAAGACUGAGCCGCAUGCUCUUAUUUGCCAUCCCCUAAAGCCCUUCUUUAUACAUGCACCACCAACCCAUAUUCUCGGUCCAUUAGGAGAUGGCAUAAGUUUCUUUUAGAGGCAGCAAGGGACAAUGUUUUCAGUUAUAGUCCUUGUCUUAGGACUUUCUCAAACUGUACCGUUCAAAUAACUGAAAACAGAAAAGUCUUUGGUCUUUAAGACUUGUAAGCCGUGGGUAAUAAAUAUUUGUCUUUAUCUAAGACAUGUGUAAGCCGAGGGUAAUAAAUCUUUGUAAGCCGUGGGUAAGGAAUCUGUUUUUAGUUAUAGUCUUUUGUCUUAAACUGAGCCGCAUGCUCUUAUUUGCCAUCCCCUGACGCCCUUCUCUAUACAUGCACCACCAACCCAUAUUCUCGAUCCAUUAGGGGAUGGCAUAAGUUUCUUUUAGAGGCAGCAAGGGACAUUGUUUUCAGUUAUAGUCCUUGUCUUAGGACUUUCUCAAACUGUACUGUUCAAAUAACUGAAAACAGAAGAGUCUUUGGUCUUUAAGACUUGUAAGCCGUGGGUAAUAAAUUUUUGUCUUUGUCUAAGACAUGUGUAAGCCGAGGGUAAUAAAUCUUUGUAAGCCGUGGGUAAGGAAUCUGUUUCCAGUUAUAGUCUUUUGUCUUAAGACUGAGCCGCAUGCUCUUAUUUGCCAUCCCCUAACGCCCUUCUCUAUACAUUCACCACCAACCCAUAUUCUCGAUCCAUUAGGGGAUGGCUUAAGUUUCUUUUAGAGGCAGCAAGGGACAAUGUUUUCAGUUAUAGUCCUUGUCUUAGGACUUUCUCAAACUGUACCGUUCAUAUAACUGAAAACAGAAAAAUCUUUGGUCUUUAAGACUUGUAAGCCGUGGGUAAUAAAUCUUUGUCUUUGUCUAAGACAUGUGUAAGCCGAGGGUAAUAAAUCUUUGUAAGCCGUGGGUAAGAAAUCUGUUUUCAGUUAUAGUCUUUUGUCUUAAGACUGAGCCGCAUGCUCUUAUUUGCCAUCCCCUAACGUCCUUCUCUAUACAUGCACCGCCAACCCAUAUUCUCGAUCCAUUAGGGGAUGGCAUAAGUUUCUUUUAGAGGCAGCAAGGGACAUUGUUUUCAGUUAUAGUCCUUGUCUUAGGACUUUCUCAAACUGUACCGUUCAAAUAACUGAAAACAGAAAAGUCUUUGGUCUUUAAGACUUGUAAGCCGUGGGUAAUAAAUCAUUGUCUUUGUCAAAGACAUGUGUAAGCCGUGGGAAAAAAUUUUGUAAGCCGGAGGUUAGGAAUCUGUUUUCAGUUAUAGUCUUUUGUCUUAAGACUGAGCCGCAUGCUCUUAUUUGCCAUCCCCUAAUGCCCUUCUUUCUACAUGCACCACCAACCCAUAUUCUCGAUCCAUUAGGGGAUAGCAUAAGUUUCUUUUAGAGGCAGCAAGGGACAUUGUUUUCAGUUAUAGUACUUGUCUUAGGACUUUUUCAAACUGUACCAUUCAAAUAACUGAAAACAGAAAAGUCUUUGGUCUUUAAGACUUUUAAGCCGUGGGUAAUAAAUCUUUGUCUUUGUCAAGACAUGUGUAAGCCGUGGGUAAUGUAAGCCGUGGGUAAGGAAUCUGUUUUCAGUUAUAGUCUUUUGUCUUAAGACUGAGCCGCAUGCUCUUAUUUGCCAUCCCCUAAAGCCCUUCUUUAUACAUGCACCACCAACCCAUAUUCUCGGUCCAUUUAACAAUCUUGCUAUAGGAGAUGGCAUAAGUUUCUUUUAGAGGCAGCAAGGGACAAUGUUCCCAAAUAAGAAUCUGACAGAACACUAUAAGAUUAGUGUCUGUCUAUGAUCUUUUUUGGGAUUUGAAAAACAAAAACAAAACCAAAACAAAACCAAAACAAUGUUCCCAAACAAGAAUCUGACAGAACACUAUUAGAUUAGUGUUUGUCUAUGAUCUUUUUUGGGUUUGAAAAACCACAAGAACGUCUAUAGCAAGAACAUUACAAGAACGUCUGUCUAAUCUCUUGGGUUUGAUAAAACCACAAGAAAACAAAAAGCUUUAAAAGUCCUGUUAAAAGAGGAAAAUCGUAGUCAAAUAAAAACAGUUCAAAACGGAAUCCUGAUUUCAAAAAUCUCAAAACAAAACCGGGAUAAAAGCGCUUGAAAAUAAACGGGAAAGUCUAAGGACAUACAGAGAAGAGAAAAGACAAUCAAAAAGCUGAGUUUGUGCCAAAGGUGUGCAGAGAGAAACAGGACGACAUAGAUGUUUUUGAUUUACCUCAGUUGAGCUAUUGGGAGAGAACCACCGUAAGAGCACUCCUAAAUGUACAACGGCCGGUAUCAACUUGAAUAGAAAUGGUGUCGUUACCUGCAACACAUUCACUUUAAUGUACAUGUCAAAAUAUUCGUUCUAUAACUGAAAUGGUGUGGAUGUGAACCAUACCAGGCUUAGAGCAGUUGUUCCCAGAAGCAGGAGGUACAGUUGAAUAAACACAAAACCCUUCACUGUUAUCACUCCACCAAAAGCAAAAUUAUGAGCAACCUAUUAUGGUACCACACAGUCGGGAAGAUAUAACCGUAGUUGCACAACACAGUUUCAUUUGAUUGCUUACCUCAAUAAGGUGAAGAUUAGAUGCUCGACUUAGCAGAACAAAAGCAAAUUCCCCAAUCUGCGCAAGCGACAUUCCAACCUAUAGAGAAGAAAACUGUAAGGGCUCUCACUACGAGUAAGGUUUGGAGCAAUGUGAAAGCAAAAAGGAAGGGUUCACUUCUUACAAGUACUGCAGUUUUGUUAUUGUAUCCAAAGACCUUAACAACGAUUGCAACGACCACGGUCUUUAUCACUAUCACCAGUAACACAGCUGCUACCAGAAUAUCAACAUGGUUCCACAAGAAGUGCAUAUGUAUCAACAUUCCAAUACUAGCAAGGAACAACGCUGCAAAAAAAUUGCGGAUUGGUUCUACCUGAAAGGGAAGCACAGGAAUGAUAAGAAGAGCUCUAUGUGGCAAAAAAGAGAAAUGCAUUUCAUAAAGUCACCAACAGAUAUAUAGCACAAAAGACACUUGUGGCAUAAGAAUGUUCAAAUAAAAUGCGAAAAGAUCCACAAGUCCGAAAGAGUCAAAAUUGACUUCUUACUUGUUCAAGAGUAUGCUGGGCGAGAUCCGUUGAUGAGAUCAUCACUCCUGCCGCAAAGGAACCCAGCUCAAGACUUAGACCGAGCUUGUCACUACACUGAAGAAACCAAAACAAUACUGAGUUUAUGAACUGAAAAUUUGAGAUAGCACAUGUGCAAACGGCCAAUAGAUAAGAAGAACAAAUGGAUCAGACUGACCCAAGCAACAAGCAAACAAAAUGCUACAGCGGCCAACUGGUAGAGCUCGUUAGUCUGUCAAAGAUUGACGAACGCUUAAGUUGAUAAACAUUUUAAAGACCAAAAACGGAAGCAAGUAAAAAUAUGUGUAUACCUGAGAAGAAAGGCUUGUCAUAAGUUUUAGAAACCAAGGUACCCAGGUACGUGACAGUACAAACAAAGCAGCCAAAAACGCAAUCAAAAUAGCCAACCUUGAAAGAAAUUACCGCACGGUCAAAAGAAAUGAAAUAUCAAAAACUUGGUUUCACUGAACAACAGUAUAACAAGUGAAAAAGGAAGCAGGAUAUUGUCGACAUUUUCACAGAACUUCCAGUAAAAUAGAAAACAUACGAUUUAGCCAUGGACAACAUUCCUUGAACGACACCAGAUGUGCCACCAAGAACCGGAAGGAGAGCAAAAAGCAAACCCACAGCACAAUCCUAGAGAUUCAUGAAGCCAUAUAUUAAAAAUCUAAUGAAAGCAACUGUAGGAUACAACAUACUAAUAGCUGAAAUCCAGUAGCAUACAAAAGAGUAAGCGGAAACAGUAGCCUGUACAAAUCAUAUUACUAUGCUAUUGUUUGGAGAGUGACUGAGAUACCUGAAGGAUAAGUGUUCCAACGGUUAUCUGGCCAUGUAGAGCACUUAUGCUCUUUUUUCCAUUAAAAAUUUCAACACCUGAUAUAAGAAUCAUGGCAAGGUAAAAAUAACAUAUGAGGAUCACCCCUAAAGAGAAACUUAGGGAAACAUAACUGGUACAACAAAAGAAAGGAUUUAAUACAGUGAGAGCACACAGAGUAAAUUAUAACAGUUUAGAAUUACAAAAGUGAUAUUAGAAUAUACCACCGCUGUUGACGACAUCGAAAGAAAAGCACCUACGAAUAUUCCUUCUGUUAGUUUACCACCGCAUAACUGCAAUGCAAUGAAGAAGCAGCCAAGUCAACCCAAUGCAUUCCUUUUCAUGAUUUAUACACAAUAAGCCUAAUAACUCAUUCUUACUCAAUUGCUAUUACUAUUUACAAACUAGAACAUACCGAGGCUGUUAUCCCACUCAAGCACAUGAACAAAAAUAUUUGAAGAAGACCUCCUGGAAUAGCUACUGCACGAACUACACGAAGCUGCGACCACAAAGUACAAUAAAUCAAUGACUAUCUCAAAAGUUUCAAAAGAACAAAGAAACCAGAAAAGUGUAAGAGGGUGGAAACAUGCAAACCUUUGCUGCAGAAAAUUCUAAUCCUAAAGCAAAAAGAAGAAAGAUUACACCAAACUGAGCUACUGUUUCAACCUGUGCUACACAAAAGAAUAUAUAUAUCAAGUCUUGUCGACCAUUAACAUAGCCAGUCAAUCUCUUAAUCAUGAAAACUUCCGUCGAAAUGCAAUAUGAAGACAAAAAGGAGGAACUUUGAAGAGCUAAAGCUGAUGUAAGCUACCUGCACCAUUUCACUAACAAAGCUUAACCCACCCGGUCCAAUGAUAGAUCCAGCCAACAGAUACCCAGUAAUGACCUGCCAAGUAAGUAGUACAGAAAUUAAAUAUGGCCGUCACUGUUCGAUGAUUCAAAGGCCAACAAAAUCAAUUCUAAGCUCUUGGAAAGGUGAAUACUCAAAUGGUAACGGAAUAAUGUUGAAAGUUACAAGCUCUGCAAAGGAAGCGUGUACUCACCGGUUGACCAGCACAAGCAAAUGCAAUUCCACCACAAGUAGCAGAAACAAUGACGACGACCAAAUCUGAUAUCAGCCUACAAAUAUAUCCAGUUAAGAGAGGCGUCCCCAACAAAAAACGGUUAGGUAGAUUCUUACAAAUGAUAAAUGAUCAAAGACCUUUCCUUACGAAUGCUAUAUUUACCUUAAAUCUAGCUGCAGUACAGGGUACUUGGACUUUGGAUUGGACAUGAUAAAAACGUUGUCCUGGAUUGGAAUUGAAAAUUCACAAUUCAGGAAUGUUGUCACAAACGGGUAGAUAACAGGUGUACAUUCUCUCUUAACCAAUAUAUAGUACAAUUCUUCAAAGACUAUGAAAGCUUACCUUCCUAUCUAUCAGUCUUGGAGUAUCUUCUACGCCAUUCUCGUUAUCCAAAUUAAAGAAUGAUCUAGCAUAAAAGGCACUGAUUAUAUUACCGCCUCUGAAACAAAGCUAGAUAGCAGCCACAACUUUCACAAAUCGAGUCCAAAAAGGGUAAAGCAAGCAUGAUUAUAAAGAGACUCACUUCUCCUCCUUGGUCUUGGUCUCAUUUUUCUUGGGCUUCACUCGAGCAACAGUUUCCAGAACAGCCUAAAGAGCAGAACAAAUGGUUUAAUAAAAAGAAGGAAAAAAAAACAAGAAAGACUGAGUAGUGUACCGUCUAAAAGCAAUAAGGCCACAAAUGAAGUGGCGAAAACAAAGAUUACAAUUAACCAACCUGCUGAUCAGCAACGCUAUUAUUAAAGCUUCCUGGAUCAGGAACUGCAAAAGCAAAACAAGACAAAAGCAAUUCACAAACCACUUAUUCAAAGAGUUCAAAUAACAUCUUGUAUAUCCUCUAGGACGAGACCAGACCAAGUGAUAUAAUCCAAGAGUUUUAAGCACUAUGCCAUUGGUCAAUAACUUUUAUCAUCUCAAUAUGCAAUUCAUUAAAUUCUAUAAGCCAUGAGUAAUCUAAAAACUCCAAUGCAGAUGUGAGCAUUAGCUAAAAUCAAUGAUAAAUCCCUAAGGAGUAGAAUCAAUUUUCACCAAAUCUAAAACUGAAAACAAAACCCUAGUGUAGCAAACGAACCAUCGUUCUGGUCAUUCUCCGGAAACUCCUUCUCAAGUGCCCUAUCGAUCAUAUCGGCGAAACUGUCCUCCUUAGGUUUCGCGUUCGUCGCAUUGGACUCGGCGGCGUUUCCGUUGAUCUCGCGUGUGGCAACUGACUCAGUCCCGAUAUCGGACUCGGCGGAGAAGGCAAGAUGGAAACUACAGAUCAGGAGAAACGCCAGAAACCUCAUCGUUUCCACGGAGAUGAAUUCGCCGAUUUUACACCGCCGCAUCUCAGUGACGGUGGUGGCGCGGCGGAGCGAUUAAGAAAUAGAGAGAGAGAGAGAGAGUGAUUGUGAAAGAUAGAUUCUGCUUCCUUCUUCUUCUUCUCUCUCUUUCUGGUGGUUAGAGAGCGAGAAAGAAAACAGAUCGAAGGAAAAUUAAUUAAUACUAUUAAAGUAAAAAGGGUAACAUUUGCUGAAUAUGCACAUUAAAUACGUGUAAAUUAUAUUCAACUGUUAUCGUUUUUUUUUUUUUUUUGCUUGUACUAAAUAGCUUAAUUUUGGUGAAGAAACCAGCAAAUUUUCAUUUUAUUUUAAUAAAUAAAUGAUAUCUCAUUCAACUUUAAUGUUACUGAAUGAUACAUGGAGAUAAUAAAUAAUACUCCAAGUAAAAAUUUUUAGAUUUUUUUCUUGUUCCACAAAAAUAGAUUUUCUAUAUUGUUAAGGUAUUUUUUUAUACUUUUAAAAAAUAUUAAUUGAGAAUAUUUGAAUUGAUAAAAUUUCAUUGGUGGAAAGUUGUUGAAAAGUGUAUAAUAAAGUAAAAAAAUUAAAUUAUAAAUGUUUAUUAAAUUAUUAAUAAGCGUGCAUACUAUAAAAAUUUUAUCAAUUCAAAUAUUCUUUUGAUCUUACUUUCGGGAACAAAGAGAGAGUAUUCUUUUGAUGGUACUACGGAUGCUACAACUUUAGGAUGGUGCUGUUGAUCAUCUGGACUAAAAAGGAUGACAAAGAGGAAUCCCAAGCCCUUAAUCUUGAACUGUACAUAGAGUGAUAGAUUACUAACUUAGAUUAUAGAAUGUUUUAGUCAUUUAUUUUUAUAGUAUAUAUAUAGUUGAGUUGGUAUACAAUGUUUGCUAGCUGGGCCGGGAAAUGUCCAGUGUUUAUCAAUUGGCAUACAGUUGCAUAUGAGCUGAAAAGCUUUGGAAGUCCAGUUCCUCGGAUUCGAGUUGAUCAAAACAAAAAGUAUAUAUAUGAAGCUGGUUUUUAUUAUUCUUGAUGAAUAAUUUACACAUGUAGUCACGAUAAAUGCAUGGUUUCGUGUACAACUCUGUGAUGAUAGUACUCUACGUAACACUUGGAUCAACUGUAUACAAUUCUACAUGCAAUACGAUAAGAUUUUCAGUAAACUUUGCGUUUACAUACUUAACCCUUAUUACAACCUUCAAAAGAAUAUUGUGAAUAUUAAACUCUAAACCUAAUUAAUACUCAAACAUUUGUCCAAGGAAUUUUCACAAGAUAAAACAAGUUAUAUCAUAAAUAAUUUGUACUUGGCUAUACAAAAAUGAUACGUCUUUAAAAAAUGGGUAUUGUCCCACUAAACUCAAUGUGCCGUCACGGUUGAAUCCGCUUGACCACCAAAAUAGAUUUGUCGGUGUGAUUUUUAUAAAUCCCUUAUAUAUUAACCGAGAAACAAUACAACAUUGUUUUGUAGACACGUGUCACCAUAAAAAUGAAAUUCAGAAUUCUUAGAGAAAUAGGUUGGUCCAUCUUAUUUACAUUAUACUAACUAUUAAAUUGAUAAAUAGCAUACAGAAGAAUAUUAUCGCACUUUCCUUAAAAAAAGCUACAAAAUUUUCUAAUAUGAUUAACAUAUAUAAAAGAAUUAAUGAUUAUGAAUAAUAAAUAUUUGAUAAGAAUUUUAGUAUCUUAGCUCUUUUUUAUUUAAUUUGACAUUAUUAAAAGAUAUUAAGCAACCACAUUAACUAUAUAAUAAAAACAUGAUUUUUAUAUGUUAUAUUUUUAAUGGAUAAUUCUCCUAAACAGACCAUUUUCAAGUUUUGAUCACAAAAAUAGACCAUAAGGAAAAAAAUGACCAAAAUGUUUCAUUUAAUAGGUAAAAGAACCAUAAUACCCUAGAUAUAUAUAUAUAUAUAUAUAUAUAAAAUUAUAGUUUAGAUUAUAUUUUUUAAAUUCGAACUUUUUAUAAUAAUUUUUUUAUAAUUUUUUUCGAAAUUUUUUUUAAUAAAAUUUUAAAUCUCAAUCUCAAAUCUCCAUCUCUCAACUCUAAACCCUACGGUUUUGAUUAGUUAAUCCUAGGGGUAUAACUGUAGAUCUCUUUAAUGAAACAUUUUGGUUAUUUUGAUCCUUAGGAUCUGUAUUUGUGACAUAAACCUUUUUAGUGCUAUUCUAGGGUAUUUCCCAUUUAAUUUUUAAAACGACUAUAAAUUACUAAAAUAGUUAAAUGUCUCAUUACUAAAAUUUUGUCAUCAAUGGUUUAAUUUUUUUGGUGAUAAAAAAAUACAAAUGAUCAUAAAUUGUAUGAAUAUGACUAGACAUUCAUAUUAUAUUUUAAUAUUUUUUUAAAUUAAAUUAUAUAGCAUAGAAAAAUACUCAAGUAUGAUAAUUUCUAAAUUUGUAUUAAAAAAUAUUAAAAUCUUAUUAUUUUAAUUUUAAAAUUUGCAUUCAAAAAAUCGCACAUUAGAAAAUUUGUGUUUAUCGUAUGAAUAUGAUUCUAAAUAAUAAAUAUUUAUAUUAAAAUAUACUAUAUAUAUAUAUAUCCAUGUCAUUAAAAUUUAGUUAUAUACUAUAUAAAACAAAUAAAAUAAUUUUGAUUUAUUUACCAAAAAAAGUAUCAUAAAUUAGAUGUAUUGUUUCGAUUUAUAUGCUCACUCUGAUUUAAUUAUAUACAUAAUAAAUAAAUGAAUAUAAAUAAAUAAUAAUAUAUAAAAUUUAUUUUUAUAUAUAACAUAAUUGUGCGGGUCUUAAGUCAUAUGAUAAUCUAGAAUACUUAUACACUAAUCAGCAUCCCAACCAUUAUAUAAGAAGUUGUAAAAUAUGAAAUACAUAUUUAUAAAAUAUCUAAUUCAAAACCAAGAGCGCCCAUAGAAGUGAGAUAGAUUUUUAGCUUAAUCCCGCUUAGACUCACAUGGACUUUUCCAUUGUCGGAUUGAGCCAUCAACCAAACAUAUUUUAGCUGAAUUAAUUUAUUCUAUUUCUCGAGACUUAUUAAUUAAACAAUUAGAUAAAAGAAAUGUUAUUCCUCAAAUCUGUUUUCAAGUAGGUGAGUAGAUCGAAACCCAGAACAACUCUUUUUUUUUGCUUAAAACCCCAAGAACUACUUAUAGACCUAACUUUAACAACAACAAUACAAAAGAAAUGUACUAAGCACACAAUACAAAACGAAGCAUGAUGGUCUAACUAACUCCAGCGAAUAUAACUUAUGAGCGAGUGGUAAGGAAAAACACUUUCCUUGUAAAGAAGAAAGAAAAUUCACAUUAAUUAGGUUAGAAGAAUCAUUAAAAGAAAAUUCAAAACUUUUGAUCACAUGNNNNNNNNNNNNNNNNNNNNNNNNNNNNNNNNNNNNNNNNNNNNNNNNNNNNNNNNNNNNNNNNNNNNNNNNNNNNNNNNNNNNNNNNNNNNNNNNNNNNAGGGUGAGGAACCCUCGAGAUAGUGUUAGCACCGAGAUACGUGUUGAUCAAGUCUUGAUUGUUAGAUAUAGGGAUCCGUUGAGUAGAUGGUCGUUUGGCCAUGUCUAUUAUUAGUAUUAUUAGAUUAAGGUCGAGCAUACCUUAAUCGGUGCGGUUUUGGGGAUUAGCCUUAAAGCUAUUUUCUGCGCUUAGGCUAAUAUGAGAUUGGUUAUUUUGUGGUGUUAGCAGCUACUAGGUUUAGGUAUUUAGGUAGCCAGCUCACUGAGUGACCUUCUGUUACUCACCCACUCUCGUUGUCCUUUUUGCAGGAGUUUAGGUUUAGGAGAUUGGACGCUAGGCCACCGAAAUAGAUUUGCAGUGCAUUUGGCUACGGUUUUGAUUUUUAUACGAUUUAUGUUUCCGUUGCGUUUUAUCGGAUUUGGGAUCCCUAAAGUAUUGCAAAUAUUCUUAAAAGUCUUGGAUUUAAAUCUAAAAAAUUACGGGUCCAAUAUGAUAUUGGUUUAGUCCGAACCAACACAACGUUAGGUCUUGUACGGGUUGAAAAGCCUUAGGCCUCGAUCUAACGGAACCGUUAACUCAUGGUAACAGGUUGCAAAGCCUAAGCUUUGAUUUAGCGGGACUGUUUAGUGGAUGAACUAGUCUAGGUUGCGGAAUAAAUCUGUGACUCGGACCGGAUCGUCCCUAGCUCGUCACGUAACGCUUCCGGACCAUGGUGUUUGUGUUGGACGGUCAGUCAUGUUCUUUUGUUUGAUUGUUGGCUGGCCGGUUGGCCUUUCUCCCCAAUCCUUCUGUUGUUGGUCUGUCGGUCAUGUUCUUGUUUGAUUGUUGCCGGUGGGUCGACCUAUACCUAGGACGGUUCGGGGGUGUUACAGUCCUUGUCUUAGGACUUUCUCAAACUGUACCAUUCAAAUAACUGAAAACAGAAAAGUCUUUGGUCUUUAAGACUUGUAAGCCGUGGGUAAUAAAUCUUUGUCUUUGUUAGACAUGUGUAAGCCGUGGGUAAAAUCUUUGUAAGCCGUGGUAAGGAAUCUGUUUUCAGUUAUAGUCUUUUGUCUUAAGACUGAGCCGCAUGCUCUUAUUUGCCAUCCCCUAAAGCCCUUCUUAUACAUGCACCACCAACCCAUAUUCUCGGUCCAUUAGGAGAUGGCAUAAGUUUCUUUUAGAGGCAGCAAGGGACAAUGUUUUCAGUUAUAGUCCUUGUCUUAGGACUUUCUCAAACUGUACCGUUCAAAUAACUGAAAACAGAAAAGUCUUUGGUCUUUAAGACUUGUAAGCCGUGGGUAAUAAAUAUUUGUCUUUAUCUAAGACAUGUGUAAGCCGAGGGUAAUAAAUCUUUGUAAGCCGUGGGUAAGGAAUCUGUUUUUAGUUAUAGUCUUUUGUCUUAAACUGAGCCGCAUGCUCUUAUUUGCCAUCCCCUGACGCCCUUCUCUAUACAUGCACCACCAACCCAUAUUCUCGAUCCAUUAGGGGAUGGCAUAAGUUUCUUUUAGAGGCAGCAAGGGACAUUGUUUUCAGUUAUAGUCCUUGUCUUAGGACUUUCUCAAACUGUACUGUUCAAAUAACUGAAAACAGAAGAGUCUUUGGUCUUUAAGACUUGUAAGCCGUGGGUAAUAAAUUUUUGUCUUUGUCUAAGACAUGUGUAAGCCGAGGGUAAUAAAUCUUUGUAAGCCGUGGGUAAGGAAUCUGUUUCCAGUUAUAGUCUUUUGUCUUAAGACUGAGCCGCAUGCUCUUAUUUGCCAUCCCCUAACGCCCUUCUCUAUACAUUCACCACCAACCCAUAUUCUCGAUCCAUUAGGGGAUGGCUUAAGUUUCUUUUAGAGGCAGCAAGGGACAAUGUUUUCAGUUAUAGUCCUUGUCUUAGGACUUUCUCAAACUGUACCGUUCAUAUAACUGAAAACAGAAAAAUCUUUGGUCUUUAAGACUUGUAAGCCGUGGGUAAUAAAUCUUUGUCUUUGUCUAAGACAUGUGUAAGCCGAGGGUAAUAAAUCUUUGUAAGCCGUGGGUAAGAAAUCUGUUUUCAGUUAUAGUCUUUUGUCUUAAGACUGAGCCGCAUGCUCUUAUUUGCCAUCCCCUAACGUCCUUCUCUAUACAUGCACCGCCAACCCAUAUUCUCGAUCCAUUAGGGGAUGGCAUAAGUUUCUUUUAGAGGCAGCAAGGGACAUUGUUUUCAGUUAUAGUCCUUGUCUUAGGACUUUCUCAAACUGUACCGUUCAAAUAACUGAAAACAGAAAAGUCUUUGGUCUUUAAGACUUGUAAGCCGUGGGUAAUAAAUCAUUGUCUUUGUCAAAGACAUGUGUAAGCCGUGGGAAAAAAAUUUUGUAAGCCGGAGGUUAGGAAUCUGUUUUCAGUUAUAGUCUUUUGUCUUAAGACUGAGCCGCAUGCUCUUAUUUGCCAUCCCCUAAUGCCCUUCUUUCUACAUGCACCACCAACCCAUAUUCUCGAUCCAUUAGGGGAUAGCAUAAGUUUCUUUUAGAGGCAGCAAGGGACAUUGUUUUCAGUUAUAGUACUUGUCUUAGGACUUUUUCAAACUGUACCAUUCAAAUAACUGAAAACAGAAAAGUCUUUGGUCUUUAAGACUUUUAAGCCGUGGGUAAUAAAUCUUUGUCUUUGUCAAGACAUGUGUAAGCCGUGGGUAAUGUAAGCCGUGGGUAAGGAAUCUGUUUUCAGUUAUAGUCUUUUGUCUUAAGACUGAGCCGCAUGCUCUUAUUUGCCAUCCCCUAAAGCCCUUCUUUAUACAUGCACCACCAACCCAUAUUCUCGGUCCAUUUAACAAUCUUGCUAUAGGAGAUGGCAUAAGUUUCUUUUAGAGGCAGCAAGGGACAAUGUUCCCAAAUAAGAAUCUGACAGAACACUAUAAGAUUAGUGUCUGUCUAUGAUCUUUUUUGGGAUUUGAAAAACAAAAACAAAACCAAAACAAAACCAAAACAAUGUUCCCAAACAAGAAUCUGACAGAACACUAUUAGAUUAGUGUUUGUCUAUGAUCUUUUUUGGGUUUGAAAAACCACAAGAACGUCUAUAGCAAGAACAUUACAAGAACGUCUGUCUAAUCUCUUGGGUUUGAUAAAACCACAAGAAAACAAAAAGCUUUAAAAGUCCUGUUAAAAGAGGAAAAUCGUAGUCAAAUAAAAACAGUUCAAAACGGAAUCCUGAUUUCAAAAAUCUCAAAACAAAACCGGGAUAAAAGCGCUUGAAAAUAAACGGGAAAGUCUAAGGACAUACAGAGAAGAGAAAAGACAAUCAAAAAGCUGAGUUUGUGCCAAAGGUGUGCAGAGAGAAACAGGACGACAUAGAUGUUUUUGAUUUACCUCAGUUGAGCUAUUGGGAGAGAACCACCGUAAGAGCACUCCUAAAUGUACAACGGCCGGUAUCAACUUGAAUAGAAAUGGUGUCGUUACCUGCAACACAUUCACUUUAAUGUACAUGUCAAAAUAUUCGUUCUAUAACUGAAAUGGUGUGGAUGUGAACCAUACCAGGCUUAGAGCAGUUGUUCCCAGAAGCAGGAGGUACAGUUGAAUAAACACAAAACCCUUCACUGUUAUCACUCCACCAAAAGCAAAAUUAUGAGCAACCUAUUAUGGUACCACACAGUCGGGAAGAUAUAACCGUAGUUGCACAACACAGUUUCAUUUGAUUGCUUACCUCAAUAAGGUGAAGAUUAGAUGCUCGACUUAGCAGAACAAAAGCAAAUUCCCCAAUCUGCGCAAGCGACAUUCCAACCUAUAGAGAAGAAAACUGUAAGGGCUCUCACUACGAGUAAGGUUUGGAGCAAUGUGAAAGCAAAAAGGAAGGGUUCACUUCUUACAAGUACUGCAGUUUUGUUAUUGUAUCCAAAGACCUUAACAACGAUUGCAACGACCACGGUCUUUAUCACUAUCACCAGUAACACAGCUGCUACCAGAAUAUCAACAUGGUUCCACAAGAAGUGCAUAUGUAUCAACAUUCCAAUACUAGCAAGGAACAACGCUGCAAAAAAAUUGCGGAUUGGUUCUACCUGAAAGGGAAGCACAGGAAUGAUAAGAAGAGCUCUAUGUGGCAAAAAAGAGAAAUGCAUUUCAUAAAGUCACCAACAGAUAUAUAGCACAAAAGACACUUGUGGCAUAAGAAUGUUCAAAUAAAAUGCGAAAAGAUCCACAAGUCCGAAAGAGUCAAAAUUGACUUCUUACUUGUUCAAGAGUAUGCUGGGCGAGAUCCGUUGAUGAGAUCAUCACUCCUGCCGCAAAGGAACCCAGCUCAAGACUUAGACCGAGCUUGUCACUACACUGAAGAAACCAAAACAAUACUGAGUUUAUGAACUGAAAAUUUGAGAUAGCACAUGUGCAAACGGCCAAUAGAUAAGAAGAACAAAUGGAUCAGACUGACCCAAGCAACAAGCAAACAAAAUGCUACAGCGGCCAACUGGUAGAGCUCGUUAGUCUGUCAAAGAUUGACGAACGCUUAAGUUGAUAAACAUUUUAAAGACCAAAAACGGAAGCAAGUAAAAAUAUGUGUAUACCUGAGAAGAAAGGCUUGUCAUAAGUUUUAGAAACCAAGGUACCCAGGUACGUGACAGUACAAACAAAGCAGCCAAAAACGCAAUCAAAAUAGCCAACCUUGAAAGAAAUUACCGCACGGUCAAAAGAAAUGAAAUAUCAAAAACUUGGUUUCACUGAACAACAGUAUAACAAGUGAAAAAGGAAGCAGGAUAUUGUCGACAUUUUCACAGAACUUCCAGUAAAAUAGAAAACAUACGAUUUAGCCAUGGACAACAUUCCUUGAACGACACCAGAUGUGCCACCAAGAACCGGAAGGAGAGCAAAAAGCAAACCCACAGCACAAUCCUAGAGAUUCAUGAAGCCAUAUAUUAAAAAUCUAAUGAAAGCAACUGUAGGAUACAACAUACUAAUAGCUGAAAUCCAGUAGCAUACAAAAGAGUAAGCGGAAACAGUAGCCUGUACAAAUCAUAUUACUAUGCUAUUGUUUGGAGAGUGACUGAGAUACCUGAAGGAUAAGUGUUCCAACGGUUAUCUGGCCAUGUAGAGCACUUAUGCUCUUUUUUCCAUUAAAAAUUUCAACACCUGAUAUAAGAAUCAUGGCAAGGUAAAAAUAACAUAUGAGGAUCACCCCUAAAGAGAAACUUAGGGAAACAUAACUGGUACAACAAAAGAAAGGAUUUAAUACAGUGAGAGCACACAGAGUAAAUUAUAACAGUUUAGAAUUACAAAAGUGAUAUUAGAAUAUACCACCGCUGUUGACGACAUCGAAAGAAAAGCACCUACGAAUAUUCCUUCUGUUAGUUUACCACCGCAUAACUGCAAUGCAAUGAAGAAGCAGCCAAGUCAACCCAAUGCAUUCCUUUUCAUGAUUUAUACACAAUAAGCCUAAUAACUCAUUCUUACUCAAUUGCUAUUACUAUUUACAAACUAGAACAUACCGAGGCUGUUAUCCCACUCAAGCACAUGAACAAAAAUAUUUGAAGAAGACCUCCUGGAAUAGCUACUGCACGAACUACACGAAGCUGCGACCACAAAGUACAAUAAAUCAAUGACUAUCUCAAAAGUUUCAAAAGAACAAAGAAACCAGAAAAGUGUAAGAGGGUGGAAACAUGCAAACCUUUGCUGCAGAAAAUUCUAAUCCUAAAGCAAAAAGAAGAAAGAUUACACCAAACUGAGCUACUGUUUCAACCUGUGCUACACAAAAGAAUAUAUAUAUCAAGUCUUGUCGACCAUUAACAUAGCCAGUCAAUCUCUUAAUCAUGAAAACUUCCGUCGAAAUGCAAUAUGAAGACAAAAAGGAGGAACUUUGAAGAGCUAAAGCUGAUGUAAGCUACCUGCACCAUUUCACUAACAAAGCUUAACCCACCCGGUCCAAUGAUAGAUCCAGCCAACAGAUACCCAGUAAUGACCUGCCAAGUAAGUAGUACAGAAAUUAAAUAUGGCCGUCACUGUUCGAUGAUUCAAAGGCCAACAAAAUCAAUUCUAAGCUCUUGGAAAGGUGAAUACUCAAAUGGUAACGGAAUAAUGUUGAAAGUUACAAGCUCUGCAAAGGAAGCGUGUACUCACCGGUUGACCAGCACAAGCAAAUGCAAUUCCACCACAAGUAGCAGAAACAAUGACGACGACCAAAUCUGAUAUCAGCCUACAAAUAUAUCCAGUUAAGAGAGGCGUCCCCAACAAAAAACGGUUAGGUAGAUUCUUACAAAUGAUAAAUGAUCAAAGACCUUUCCUUACGAAUGCUAUAUUUACCUUAAAUCUAGCUGCAGUACAGGGUACUUGGACUUUGGAUUGGACAUGAUAAAAACGUUGUCCUGGAUUGGAAUUGAAAAUUCACAAUUCAGGAAUGUUGUCACAAACGGGUAGAUAACAGGUGUACAUUCUCUCUUAACCAAUAUAUAGUACAAUUCUUCAAAGACUAUGAAAGCUUACCUUCCUAUCUAUCAGUCUUGGAGUAUCUUCUACGCCAUUCUCGUUAUCCAAAUUAAAGAAUGAUCUAGCAUAAAAGGCACUGAUUAUAUUACCGCCUCUGAAACAAAGCUAGAUAGCAGCCACAACUUUCACAAAUCGAGUCCAAAAAGGGUAAAGCAAGCAUGAUUAUAAAGAGACUCACUUCUCCUCCUUGGUCUUGGUCUCAUUUUUCUUGGGCUUCACUCGAGCAACAGUUUCCAGAACAGCCUAAAGAGCAGAACAAAUGGUUUAAUAAAAAGAAGGAAAAAAAAAACAAGAAAGACUGAGUAGUGUACCGUCUAAAAGCAAUAAGGCCACAAAUGAAGUGGCGAAAACAAAGAUUACAAUUAACCAACCUGCUGAUCAGCAACGCUAUUAUUAAAGCUUCCUGGAUCAGGAACUGCAAAAGCAAAACAAGACAAAAGCAAUUCACAAACCACUUAUUCAAAGAGUUCAAAUAACAUCUUGUAUAUCCUCUAGGACGAGACCAGACCAAGUGAUAUAAUCCAAGAGUUUUAAGCACUAUGCCAUUGGUCAAUAACUUUUAUCAUCUCAAUAUGCAAUUCAUUAAAUUCUAUAAGCCAUGAGUAAUCUAAAAACUCCAAUGCAGAUGUGAGCAUUAGCUAAAAUCAAUGAUAAAUCCCUAAGGAGUAGAAUCAAUUUUCACCAAAUCUAAAACUGAAAACAAAACCCUAGUGUAGCAAACGAACCAUCGUUCUGGUCAUUCUCCGGAAACUCCUUCUCAAGUGCCCUAUCGAUCAUAUCGGCGAAACUGUCCUCCUUAGGUUUCGCGUUCGUCGCAUUGGACUCGGCGGCGUUUCCGUUGAUCUCGCGUGUGGCAACUGACUCAGUCCCGAUAUCGGACUCGGCGGAGAAGGCAAGAUGGAAACUACAGAUCAGGAGAAACGCCAGAAACCUCAUCGUUUCCACGGAGAUGAAUUCGCCGAUUUUACACCGCCGCAUCUCAGUGACGGUGGUGGCGCGGCGGAGCGAUUAAGAAAUAGAGAGAGAGAGAGAGAGUGAUUGUGAAAGAUAGAUUCUGCUUCCUUCUUCUUCUUCUCUCUCUUUCUGGUGGUUAGAGAGCGAGAAAGAAAACAGAUCGAAGGAAAAUUAAUUAAUACUAUUAAAGUAAAAAGGGUAACAUUUGCUGAAUAUGCACAUUAAAUACGUGUAAAUUAUAUUCAACUGUUAUCGUUUUUUUUUUUUUUUGCUUGUACUAAAUAGCUUAAUUUUGGUGAAGAAACCAGCAAAUUUUCAUUUUAUUUUAAUAAAUAAAUGAUAUCUCAUUCAACUUUAAUGUUACUGAAUGAUACAUGGAGAUAAUAAAUAAUACUCCAAGUAAAAAUUUUUUAGAUUUUUUUCUUGUUCCACAAAAAUAGAUUUUCUAUAUUGUUAAGGUAUUUUUUUAUACUUUUAAAAAAUAUUAAUUGAGAAUAUUUGAAUUGAUAAAAUUUCAUUGGUGGAAAGUUGUUGAAAAGUGUAUAAUAAAGUAAAAAAAUUAAAUUAUAAAUGUUUAUUAAAUUAUUAAUAAGCGUGCAUACUAUAAAAAUUUUAUCAAUUCAAAUAUUCUUUUGAUCUUACUUUCGGGAACAAAGAGAGUAUUCUUUUGAUGGUACUACGGAUGCUACAACUUUAGGAUGGUGCUGUUGAUCAUCUGGACUAAAAAGGAUGACAAAGAGGAAUCCCAAGCCCUUAAUCUUGAACUGUACAUAGAGUGAUAGAUUACUAACUUAGAUUAUAGAAUGUUUUAGUCAUUUAUUUUGUUAUAGUAUAUAUAUAGUUGAGUUGGUAUACAAUGUUUGCUAGCUGGGCCGGGAAAUGUCCAGUGUUUAUCAAUUGGCAUACAGUUGCAUAUGAGCUGAAAAGCUUUGGAAGUCCAGUUCCUCGGAUUCGAGUUGAUCAAAACAAAAAGUAUAUAUAUGAAGCUGGUUUUUAUUAUUCUUGAUGAAUAAUUUACACAUGUAGUCACGAUAAAUGCAUGGUUUCGUGUACAACUCUGUGAUGAUAGUACUCUACGUAACACUUGGAUCAACUGUAUACAAUUCUACAUGCAAUACGAUAAGAUUUUCAGUAAACUUUGCGUUUACAUACUUAACCCUUAUUACAACCUUCAAAAGAAUAUUGUGAAUAUUAAACUCUAAACCUAAUUAAUACUCAAACAUUUGUCCAAGGAAUUUUCACAAGAUAAAACAAGUUAUAUCAUAAAUAAUUUGUACUUGGCUAUACAAAAAUGAUACGUCUUUAAAAAAUGGGUAUUGUCCCACUAAACUCAAUGUGCCGUCACGGUUGAAUCCGCUUGACCACCAAAAUAGAUUUGUCGGUGUGAUUUUUAUAAAUCCCUUAUAUAUUAACCGAGAAACAAUACAACAUUGUUUUGUAGACACGUGUCACCAUAAAAAUGAAAUUCAGAAUUCUUAGAGAAAUAGGUUGGUCCAUCUUAUUUACAUUAUACUAACUAUUAAAUUGAUAAAUAGCAUACAGAAGAAUAUUAUCGCACUUUCCUUAAAAAAAGCUACAAAAUUUUCUAAUAUGAUUAACAUAUAUAAAAGAAUUAAUGAUUAUGAAUAAUAAAUAUUUGAUAAGAAUUUUAGUAUCUUAGCUCUUUUUUAUUUAAUUUGACAUUAUUAAAAGAUAUUAAGCAACCACAUUAACUAUAUAAUAAAAACAUGAUUUUUUUAUAUGUUAUAUUUUUAAUGGAUAAUUCUCCUAAACAGACCAUUUUCAAGUUUUGAUCACAAAAAUAGACCAUAAGGAAAAAAAUGACCAAAAUGUUUCAUUUAAUAGGUAAAAGAACCAUAAUACCCUAGAUAUAUAUAUAUAUAUAUAUAUAUAUAAAAUUAUAGUUUUAGAUUAUAUUUUUUUAAAUUCGAACUUUUUUAUAAUAAUUUUUUUAUAAUUUUUUUCGAAAUUUUUUUUAAUAAAAUUUUAAAUCUCAAUCUCAAAUCUCCAUCUCUCAACUCUAAACCCUACGGUUUUGAUUAGUUAAUCCUAGGGGUAUAACUGUAGAUCUCUUUAAUGAAACAUUUUGGUUAUUUUGAUCCUUAGGAUCUGUAUUUGUGACAUAAACCUUUUUAGUGCUAUUCUAGGGUAUUUCCCAUUUUAAUUUUUAAAACGACUAUAAAUUACUAAAAUAGUUAAAUGUCUCAUUACUAAAAUUUUGUCAUCAAUGGUUUAAUUUUUUUGGUGAUAAAAAAAUACAAAUGAUCAUAAAUUGUAUGAAUAUGACUAGACAUUCAUAUUAUAUUUUAAUAUUUUUUUAAAUUAAAUUAUAUAGCAUAGAAAAAUACUCAAGUAUGAUAAUUUCUAAAUUUGUAUUAAAAAAUAUUAAAAUCUUAUUAUUUUAAUUUUAAAAUUUGCAUUCAAAAAAUCGCACAUUAGAAAUUUUGUGUUUAUCGUAUGAAUAUGAUUCUAAAUAAUAAAUAUUUAUAUUAAAAUAUACUAUAUAUAUAUAUAUCCAUGUCAUUAAAAUUUAGUUAUAUACUAUAUAAAACAAAUAAAAUAAUGUUUUGAUUUAUUUACCAAAAAAAGUAUCAUAAAUUAGAUGUAUUGUUUCGAUUUAUAUGCUCACUCUGAUUUAAUUAUAUACAUAAUAAAUAAAUGAAUAUAAAUAAAUAAUAAUAUAUAAAAUUUAUUUUUAUAUAUAACAUAAUUGUGCGGGUCUUAAGUCAUAUGAUAAUCUAGAAUACUUAUACACUAAUCAGCAUCCCAACCAUUAUAUAAGAAGUUGUAAAAUAUGAAAUACAUAUUUAUAAAAUAUCUAAUUCAAAACCAAGAGCGCCCAUAGAAGUGAGAUAGAUUUUUAGCUUAAUCCCGCUUAGACUCACAUGGACUUUUCCAUUGUCGGAUUGAGCCAUCAACCAAACAUAUUUUAGCUGAAUUAAUUUAUUCUAUUUCUCGAGACUUAUUAAUUAAACAAUUAGAUAAAAGAAAUGUUAUUCCUCAAAUCUGUUUUCAAGUAGGUGAGUAGAUCGAAACCCAGAACAACCUCUUUUUUUUUGCUUAAAACCCCAAGAACUACUUAUAGACCUAACUUUAACAACAACAAUACAAAAGAAAUGUACUAAGCACACAAUACAAAACGAAGCAUGAUGGUCUAACUAACUCCAGCGAAUAUAACUUAUGAGCGAGUGGUAAGGAAAAACACUUUCCUUGUAAAGAAGAAAGAAAAUUCACAUUAAUUAGGUUAGAAGAAAUCAUAAAAGAAAAUUCAAAACUUUUGAUCACAUGGUUGUGUGGACUAAACUUGGACUUUUCUUUAAUCAUAUAGUUCAUUUUUCAUUUUCAAGGAAGAUCGAUCCUUUUACUUAUGUUCUUUUUAUUUAAUUGUAAUGACACUCCCAGAGUUAAAAACCAGUAUUGAAAGAAGCAAAUGGUUUUGCCUCUCCAAGUAGGCAACUAUGCCUCCCAAAGAAAAAGAGACAUCAUGCUCACUCCAUGCCUAUAAAUACUCCUCAAAUCAAUAACUUAUCCAUUCAAAUUGUGUCUGAGAACAAAAAGGCAAAAAAAAGAAAAAAAGAAGAAGAUGGGUUUAAUCAAAGAGAAAGAGAUGGAGAUUCCAGUCAUUGAUUUUAGUGAACUGGAUGGAGAAAACAGAACCAAGACUAUGUCUCUUCUUGAUCAUGCAUGUGAUAAGUGGGGCUUCUUCAUGGUAUGUACAAAUCUUUAUCCACAAAUCAAGUUCUUAAGUAUGCAUAUGUAAACGUUCCUAGAUCCAGUUCUAGUGUAGACCCUUAUUAAAUGCGGGCUGAUGAAUUUUCAGGUUGAUAAUCAUGGAAUUGAUAAAGAAUUGAUGGAUAAAGUAAAACAGCUGAUUAACUCUCAUUAUGAGGAGCAUUUGAAAGAGAAGUUUUACCAGUCAGAGAUGGUCAAGGCUUUGAGUGAAGGCAAAACGUCAGAUGCUGAUUGGGAAAGCACUUUCUUCGUUUGGCAUAAGCCGACUUCAAACAUAUCCAAAGUCUCCAACAUUUCAGAUGAACUCAUGUAAGUAACUAAAAAAAUUAUAUGUCCAAAUUUUUACCAAUUUCUUUAUUUGGACAAAGUUUUUACCAUUUAUAUGUCUUGCCUAUUAUAAUUAAUAUUAGGAAAGUGUAUCUUAGAUAAGGUUUAUCUUACUAAACCGUCUUACUCUUAUGUAAUGUUUCCUAUUUUCUCUAGGGUUACGUCUUGAAGUCGGCUCAUGCCUUUGUAUAUAUACUCACGUUAUGUGUCAAUACAACACACAAGUUUACAGUUUACAGUAUCUUCUCGAGUUUACAUGGUAUCAGAGCAUAAAGUUCUGUGACCCGAGUAGUUUUUUUUCCGUCGUUCAUAGUCUUUGUUCUUGGUAAGAACAACAGUCUGAAGUCAUGGCCGACGGUGACAUGUCUUCCGCUACCAAAAGUUCGUCUGCUCAAGUUGAGCAAGGUCAAGGUGGUACCGUCAACGUACCGACUCCGUAUUCUCUGUUUGCAUCCGACAACCCAGGAGCGGUGAUAACAUCUGUGAUGUUUACGGGUGACAACUACAAUGAGUGGUCCACGGAGCUAGUUAAUGCACUUAGAGCAAAACGAAAGUUAGGGUUUAUCGAUGGAACAAUAUCAAAACCUGCCAUUGAUGAUCCCAAAUUCGAGCUCUGGUCGUCUGUCAAUUCCUUGAUCGUUGGCUGGAUUCGGUCGUCCAUUGAAGCCAGGGUACGAUCAACAGUCACGUUUAUCUCUGACUCUCACAAGUUGUGGGAGAACUUGAAAAAGCGUUUCUCUGUGGGAAACAAAGUUCGUAUCCACCAUCUUAAAGAACAGUUGGCGUCUUGCAAACAAGAUGGACAGUCAGUAAUGGAUUACUUUGGUCGUCUGGCUAAGAUGUGGGAAGAGCUGGACGCAUACAAACCUCUUCCACCUUGUACUUGCAGUGCAGCAGCUGUCUACGAGAAAGAAAGAGAAGAAGAGAAGGUCCAUCAGUUUCUUAUGGGUUUAGACGAGUCGCGGUUUGGUGUUGUGUGUCAAGGAAUUAUUGCAACAGACUCUUCUAUUGAUUUAGGAGAUGCGUAUUCUAGAGUCGUUCGUGAGGAGCAGCGUCUUGUCUCUUCAAAAGAACGUGAAGUUCAGCAGAGUGCAGUCGGUUUUGUGGCUAAGAAAGAAGCAUCCGACACACAAAAUUCUGGUCAAACAAGAAAAGUAGUUCAUUGUUCUCAUUGUGGACGUCGUGGUCACGAGAAGGCAAAUUGUUGGCAGCUAGUAGGUUUCCCCGACUGGUGGGAAGAGACACCACCAAACCGAGGUGAUAACAGAGGAGGAAGAGGCGGUCGUGGUCGUGGAAGUUACAGCUCAGACCGCACCAAGACUAAUGGCACAAAAGUCCACAAUGCUCAUGCUACUUCUUCGAACUCGUCAUUGUUUCCAGUGUUCACCGAGGAACAGUUGAAAGCGCUCACUCAGAUGAUUAAUGAGAAAAACAGAUCGACUGAGAGGCUGACUGGUAAGCUUUAUGGUGAUCUCAUUCUAGACACAGGUGCCUCUCAUCACAUGACAGGAGAGCUUUCGUUUCUAGAAAACAUCACGAGUAUUCCAUCCUGCCCAGUUGGGUUUGCAGACGGGAAUAAAACUUAUGCGACCCACACCGGCGUCUUUCGCUUGUCCAAUAGCAUUACGUUACAUAAUGUGUUAUUUGUGCCAAAUUUAAACUGCUCCCUUAUCUCAGUGUCAAAGCUACUGCGACAGACGAAUUGCUUUGCUCUUCUAACCGACACUAUUUGUGUUUUACAGGAUCGUUUCACGAGGAUGCUGAUUGGAGCAGGUGAAGAGAGAGAUGGGGUUUACUAUUUUAAAGAUGUUAUGGCUGCACGUGUUGAAGUUUCUGACAAGUCUACUCGCUCAGUUGAUCAGUUUCGUUGGCACCAAAGGCUUGGACAUCCUUCGUUUUCAGUGUUAUCUUAUUUACCGUUUGUGUUAGACUCUAAAGCUUCCAGUCCUUGUGACACUUGUUUUGAAGCUAAGCAAACUAGAGAAGUUUUUUAUGAAAGUUUAAAUAAAACAACAAAAUGUUUUGAGCUUAUUCAUUGCGAUGUCUGGGGUCCUUACAAAGUUCGAUCUUCAUCUGGUGCUGUCUAUUUUCUCACAGUGGUUGAUGACUUCUCACGAGCAGUUUGGACUUAUUUGCUCCUUGAAAAGUCAGAAGUUCAAACCGUCCUUAAGAAUUUUUGCAAGAUGACUGAGAAACAAUUUUCCAAAGAAGUUAAGGUUGUUCGCAGUGAUAACGGAACCGAGUUUAUGUGUAUGUCUCGUUUCUUUCGUGAGAAUGGGAUCAUACAUCAAACUUCUUGUGUGGCUACUCCUCAACAGAAUGGACGAGUAGAAAGAAAGCAUCGCCACAUUCUGAAUAUUGCACGUGCUUUGCUGUUUCAGAGUAACUUGCCGAUCAAGUUUUGGGGGGAGGCGAUUUUGACUGCAGCAUACCUGAUUAAUCGAACGCCUUCAGCUGUGCUUGGUCAUCGCUCACCGUACGAGCUUCUGUAUAAUGAGAAACCAAGUUACUCACAACUCCGUGUCUUCGGGAGUCUCUGUUUUGUUCAUCAUCGAUCGCGUGAUAAAGAUAAGUUUGGGAAACGAAGUCGGCGGUGUGUUUUUGUUGGCUAUCCUUAUGCACAAAAAGGAUGGAAGGUGUUUGAUCUUGAUAAACACGAGUUCUUCAUCUCCCGUGACGUUGUGUUCCAGGAAUCAGAGUUUCCUUACUCAGCACCAACACUCGUUUCUAUUAACAAAGAACCCGUCGUUUCAAAUACAGAACCAGACGGGGAUUGGGAAAACACUAAUCUACCUACCUUAGAAGACAGGGGGAGCUCGUCAGGCUCAGCAACUCCUCCUGUGGCCACAGUUGCAGAGCAAACAACGCCAUCGUCCUCUCCUACGACUGAUGUUGGGGCUGUCGAUAUAGACCAACCUCCGCUGAAUGUUGUUGCUCCUGCAUCUCCUGCUGCUCAAACACCAGUUGUGCAACCGGUAGAAGAAGUCUUCGGUCGAGGACAACGACCUCGUGUUCCGUCUGUUAAACUCAAGGAUUACGUUAUGUACAAUGCCAUACAUCUUGAAAACCCAUCUCUCACAUCCGCCUGUUCUUCAUCGCAUCCUCAUGAGACCGUCCAAGGUAACUCACUAUAUCCUUUAACUGAUUACAUUACUGACGAGAAUUUUUCAGUAGCACAUCGAGCGUUUCUUGCUGCUGUUACUGCUGGAGUAGAACCAAGAUCAUACUCUCAGGCAGUCAAGGAUAAGAUUUGGCGUGGUGCAAUGAAACAAGAAGUAAUUGCUCAUGAAGAAAGUGGCACUUGGGAUAUCGUCUCUCUUCCGAAAGGCAAGAAAGCAAUUGGUUGUCAAUGGAUUUAUAAAUUAAAGUUUAAUGCCGAUGGCACAGUUGAACGUCCUAAGGCGCGUCUGGUUGCUUGCGGAAAUAAUCAAGUACAAGGUGAUGAUUUCUCCGAAACAUUCGCUCCAGUUGUUAAGAUGGGCACCAUCCGCAGUCUACUUGCUCUUGUUGCAGCAAAAGGAUGGGAGGUCCAUCAGAUGGACGUCCAUAAUGCGUUUCUGCAUGGUGAUUUAAAUGAAGAAGUUUACAUGCGGUUACCACCUGGUUUCACUCACUCUGACCCAACUAAAGUCUGUUUGCUUCGCAAGUCCUUAUAUGGACUCCGGCAAGCUCCACGUUGUUGGUUUGAAAAGCUCACAAACUCACUGUUAGAGUACGGGUUCCUUCAGUCAUAUUCAGAUGCUUCUCUGUUCACAUACACAAAAGACUCUAAGGAGAUUCGUGUACUCAUUUAUGUUGAUGAUCUGGUUCUUGCGAGUAAUGAUCUUGAGCUUCUCGUCAAGUUCAAAACUUACUUAGGUGAGUGUUUUAAAAUGAAAGACUUGGGAAAGCUCAAAUACUUUCUUGGCAUUGAAGUGGCAAGGUCCAAAGAAGGUAUCUUUCUCUCUCAACGAAAAUAUUCUUUAGACAUUAUUGAAGACACGGGUCUUCUAGGCUGUAAACCAGUCACUAUUCCCAUGGAACAGUAUCAUCAACUAACAGCAGAGGACACUCCACUUCUUGCUGAUCCUAAGAAGUAUCGCCGCUUGGUUGGUCGGCUAGUUUAUUUGAUGAUCACACGACCAGAGUUAUGUUACACAAUUCAUCUUUUGUCUCAGUUUAUGCAACAACCACGUGAAGCUCAUUGGAAUGCGGCUCUGCGUGUUGUUCGCUUUCUCAAAGGUUGUCCAGGACAGGGUAUUCUUCUGCGUGCUGACAAUAACCUUCAACUCUCAGUUUAUGUCGAUGCUGAUUGGAGUUCGUGUCCGGAUAGUCGUCGUUCGUUGAGUGCGUAUGUGGUCUUUCUUGGUGAUUCACCUAUUGAUUGGAAGACUAAGAAGCAGGACACAGUGUCUAUGUCAUCUGCCGAGGCUGAAUACAGGGCCAUGGCCGCAGCUGUUAAAGAAGUAAAAUGGAUUGUUCCUUUGGUGGAGGAGCUUGGAGUCAAGGUUGUUCAACCUGUUCGUUUUUAUUGUGAUAGUAAAGCAGCCAUUCAUAUCGCUGCUAACCCGGUUUUUCACGAACGUACGAAGCAUCUUGAACGCGAUUGUCACAGUGUACGCGAUGCGGUUAAAGCAGGUCUCAUCUCAACCAUUCAUGUCAAGUCGAAGGAUCAAAUUGCAGACCUCUUAACCAAAGCUUUGGGACGUCCUCAGUUUGAAGCAUUAUCGUCCAAGUUGGGUGUUCAAGACCUUCACUCUCCAACUUGAGGGGGAGUAUUAGGAAAGUGUAUCUUAGAUAAGGUUUAUCUUACUAAACCGUCUUACUCUUAUGUAAUGUUUCCUAUUUUCUCUAGGGUUACGUCUUGAAGUCGGCUCAUGCCUUUGUAUAUAUACUCACGUUAUGUGUCAAUACAACACACAAGUUUACAGUUUACAGUAUCUUCUCGAGUUUACAAUUAACAAUGUGUGGGGAUGAAACUUAUAUUGCAGCAAGACAAUGGAUGAAUAUGUUUCUCAACUGCACAAGUUUGCAGAAAGGCUCUCUAAACUCAUGUGUGAAAAUCUUGGUCUCCCUCGAGAACACAUAGUGAAUGCGUUCUCCGGUAUAGAAGGUCCAGUUUUUGGGACAAAAGUGGCUAAAUACCCAGAAUGCCCUCAUCCGGAGCUCAUUAGAGGGCUGAGAGAACAUACUGAUGCUGGAGGGAUCAUAUUGCUCUUGCAGGAUGAUUGUAAAUUAUAAUAGAAUAGAUAUAUUAUUGUGUUGUGUUUAAUAAGAGAAUACAAUAUGCAUAUAUAUAGUAGUAACAUUAGCAUAAUGUUAACACUAGAUAAUGCUAACUUUCCUAAACAUUUAAUGUAAAUAUGCUAGAAUAUCUUGAGAGUAACUUGUUCUUCAAGUCUUUUCCUUUUAGUUUUGAUGAUCUUCAAGGGUUUCACGGGCUUCACAAUCUUGGUCCGUAAGAUACACAUCUUACAGCCCACAUAUCUCUAAUACUCCCCCGCACGACAAACGUGGGAUGCAACACGCAAAUCUGCAAUCGCAAAGCAGACCACGUAUGUCGUGGACACUAUGUCGAGAAAAACAAAUCAGUAGGUUCCUCCGAGAAUAAACUUCAACUUUAGACAAGGAGGGGUGAAAACUUCAGCUCUUCUUUGGUCUUGACAAUGAGAAUACAUCCCGUGGGCGCAACUGCAGCUCCACAAACAAUCGUCCUUAACUUGGACAGUCCAUACACCGGACUAAAAAAAAACUGACCUAAAAAUUUAAUCGUUCAACUAGAACUCCCCCGUAAUGGUUAAACUAUAACCAAAGUAUUCCAAACUAUGGAAUAUAAAAAAAGACAUAUCUUGAGAAAUUCUAAACCAUAGAAUAAUCUCUACAUAAAAUAACCCAUGUGAAAACUACAAACCCAUAAACCCACUAACUUUUGCACUCAGCCGACCAAACUAAAACAAAUGUUAGAAAGAAAAGAAAAAAAAAUCCCUUUGACAUAGGUAAACGUACUAAACAAAACCCUAAUAGUUAUUAUUCUUAACUAAAACACCAAACUCCAACGACCACAUUCACGUUACCAUGUCGUUUUCAUCGUCGCCAUCCUCACCAUCUUCUUCAACAUCGCCAACACCAACGAUGAUGAUCAUCAAAGCUUUAAACUUAUAAUGCGGAAGCUUUAAUUUUGAUCCCUAAGAAUCGAAUGCUCUGAUACCAUGUAUGUAAAUAUAUAGUAGUAAGAGAAUAUUCUAUUAUACUUUAUAUGCUCUGAUACCAUGUAUGUAAACUUAUAAACCUGGCUCUGAUACCAUGUUAGAUUUGAGUUUAUUAUGGGCUUCCAACUCAAAACCAAUUGGCAAUUAGUGGAUUGGCCCUAACCCUUUAUAUAUUACUUAAUGUCCCAUUGAUUUUCCAAUGUGGGAUACAUAUCCCUUAAUACCCCUCCUCGAGAUGAUGGCUCUUAUCGGCCAGAAAUCUCGGAACUUUAAGACAGUUAUACUCGGUCGAGCGAGUCAAUUACGACCUAUAUACCCGGUCGGGUAGGGUUAAUAUUAAUUAGGGGUUUAACUUAUUAGAACCUGGCUCUGAUACCAUGUAAAUUAUAAUAGAAUAGAUAUAUUAUUGUGUUGUGUUUAAUAAGAGAAUACAAUAUGCAUAUAUAUAGUAGUAACAUUAGCAUAAUGUUAACACUAGAUAAUGCUAACUUUCCUAAACAUUUAAUGUAAAUAUGCUAGAAUAUCUUGAGAGUAACUUGUUCUUCAAGUCUUUUCCUUUUAGUUUUGAUGAUCUUCAAGGGUUUCACGGGCUUCACAAUCUUGGUCCGUAAGAUACACAUCUUACAGCCCACAUAUCUCUAAUAAUGAUCAAGUGCCUGGUCUUGAGUUCUUAAAAGAUGGGAAGUGGGUUCCUAUCCCACCAUCGAAGAACAAUACCAUUUUUGUCAAUACCGGUGAUCAAGUCGAGAUAUUGAGUAAUGGGAGGUACAAGAGUGUUGUACACCGUGUGAUGACGAUGAAGCAAGGAAGUCUGUCGAUAGCUACAUUUUACAAUCCAGCUGGGGAUGCCAUAAUAUCUCCAGCUCAAGAGAUGUUGUACCCAAGUGGUUACCGAUUCCAAGACUACCUUAAGCUUUAUUCAACCACUAAGUUUGGAGACAAAGGCUCUAGAUUUAAUACCAUGAAGAAAAUGGAGAAUGGGGAUUCCGUCUAGGAUGCAUCGCCUGAACGUAACGCUGCUUUUGUAUUUCACAUGAAACUCUAUUUCUAUUAAAACUUUGUCUUCUUGUUGUGUUUCUUUCAUAAAGGAAUAACAAUUAUGCCAGGAUCAUGCUGAUUCAACUAUUUUGCUUUGUUAAGAAAAAAUAACUCUUUUUACUCAAGUGAUUUUGUACUAGGCAAGUCGUUGAUGGCAACUUUAAAAACAUUAGUUUGAACUUUGAAGGUCUUUUAUAUUGUACUUUUAUUUUUAAGGAUGUCCUUAAGAUAUUAGUAUGUUUUGGCUAAAAAGUUAUAUAUCGUUUAAUUCUGUUUAUCUUUUAAAACAACAAAAACACAAAAGAUAUUUCAUGUUAAGCGAUAAUUCAAUAUGAUUAAGAGAAUGAUAACCUAGUUAGUAAUUAGUAAUUACCAACAUCCGUAUGGUCAUAAAAGAGAACCCAAGAUAAUGAAAAAAAAAUGUCAAACCAUAAAACUUAGACAAUGGUGAAACAAAAACAGUCUUUUUAUUUAAGUUUUCGUAGGAUCAAACUCCCACGGCUGCUUCUUGUAAUAGCAGACCACAAACUAAACCAAGUGGUCUUAUUUGUAGCAACUUCUUUUUCUUCACCUUUUAACUUGGCAUGUAACUGAGCAAAUUCCUUUCUUUGAUCUUCUAACAUAAUAGUUGAUUCCUUUUUUUGAUCUUCCAAAUUUGCUUCUACAACUUGCACUUCAGUAUUCAACGUAUGGCUCGGCCUAACAUUUUCAAGUUUAGUUCAUUGCAGAGGAGUUGGGGUCACAUGGCUAAUUCCCUUUGGGUGAUAGUGAUACCUUCUAUUUGGAUGAAUAUUUUUACCAUUUAAAGAAGUUACACUAGUUUGGAGCCAAUAACAAGUGACAAAAUUUAAGCAAAAAAAAAAAAAGUAGUUACAGUGACGCAUUAAGAAUGCCGUUUGUAUAACACAAACGCACUCAAGGCAUCUCAUGUCUCUAUGUCUCCAUCUAUGUGACAUGAUUCCACUCCUAAACCCAAAAACCCGGUCCAAUCAGAUUCAUCCCUUUAAAUCAGCACCGAACCGGAUUGACUGCACCGGACCGGACCUUGUCUUCUGUAAAUUAGCAUUAAACAAUUCUCACACUUCCCAUCAUCUCUAACAACCGAGGCACCGACCACAUAACUCAUUGUAUCGAAAAACAGAGAGUCCUCUCACUUUGACAAUUUCUUUUUCUUUCAAUUUAUAAGCAACAACAACAAAAUAAAACUCAAAUUUUCAAGAGAGAAAGAGAGAGUUAAUGGCGUUAGCGAAUAACUUAACGGCCAUACUGAACUUACUAGCGCUACUCUGUUCCAUACCGAUAACGGCGUCAGGAAUAUGGCUCGCCUCAAAGCCCGACAACGAGUGUGUCAAUCUCCUCCGUUGGCCUGUCGUCGUCCUCGGCGUUCUCAUCCUCGUCGUCUCUGCUUGCGGCUUCAUCGGCGCUUACCAGUAAGUUUUAUAUAAGAAGACAGAGCCUGACAAAAGAUCUUAGCUUUGAAUCAUUCUCAGGUACAAGGAGACUCUGCUUGCUGUCUACUUGUGCUGUAUGGCAAUACUGAUCGGACUUUUGCUGGUGGUUUUGAUAUUCGCUUUCGUCGUGACCCGACCCGACGGGUCGUAUCAAGUUCCGGGUCGAGGUUAUAAAGAGUACAGGCUCGAAGGGUUCUCGAAUUGGCUUAGAGAGAACGUUGUGUAUUCAAAGAACUGGCGGAAGAUAAGGGCUUGUUUGGCUGAUUCAAACGUUUGUCCUAAACUCAGCCAACAGUUCAUUACAGCUGAUCAGUUCUUCUCUUCCUCUUCCAUCACUCCUCUUCAGGCAUGUUCUCUCUUCUCUCUCUUCCUUUUAAUUCUCUUUUGAAACUGAAACUUCUAGUUUGUUACAUUUUGGCCUGCGGUAAUUAAUAACAAUUUAACCUGCAAAAUAUGGAGUUAACUGCGGUACAACGCUAAUUAAUAUCAAUUUAACCUGCAAAAUCAAAAUGCAAUGGCGCAGUAAGUUAGUCAUUAACGCGGUCAACUUGUCAACUAGUCGAUCAAAAUCAUCAUGUCACUCUUCACAUGACUAUUGUGAUGAUUUUUAAAAAGAAAAACUUAUUAAUUAAGAUUAUAUGCUUAAUGAAGAUAAGAUGCGAUGUUAAUAUCAAGAUUAUGCGAGACCUGCGGUAUGAUCUUAUAAAUGAAAAAGAAAGAAGAGAGGUCCCAUUAUUCAAAAAUUAAAACAGGGGGCUCAUAUCAUAAAGUUAUAAAAUUUCACUUUAGCUUUUGUGAAGUUCAAAAGAGCAUUGUUCUUAUUCUCUUUUUUUUUUUUUUUUUUUGGUCAAAUUUGUUCUUAUUCUCUAAGUUCCUUUUUUUCAUAGUGGCUUUUAACGUUUAAAUUCUCUUUUAAAAUUUUUUAUUUUUUUUUUAAUUCACUUUAAGAUGGAACAGUUUAGCCAAGUAAAAUGGUUUCUGAACAAUUCAAGCGUAUUACUCAAAUUUUAGGCAGAUGUAAUCACACUUAUUGAAAACAUAUCUAGAAACUUGAUAUUGAAACGCAUAGUUCCUAUGAGACUGGUGUAGAAGUUCCUGGAAACCAACAGUCCAAAACAAAAUAUUAUAGUAGGAUAACCGGAAGUCAAAAUAACACACUAUCUUGCAUAAGGAAAGGACCCACAAUGCACCAUCGAUAUGGUACAUGAUAAAAUAGGUUUACCUGUCUUUUUAAUCAACUCACCCACAUUAUUCAAGGAUACCAUUCUCUUUUAGAGUUUAUAGUCUUUUUUUCAUCUCGACAUAAACUUGACAAGAUUUUCAAGUUUUUCUUUCCAAAAAUUGCAAAUUAAAGCACUCUUAACGUUAACUGUCCUGUCUUUUAUGCUUAGAACAUGGAGAGAUUAAUGACAUAGCUUACGAAAUUAUGUUCAAAACAAAUAAUGACCAAAGUGGUUACUACAGAUGCAUAUAUAAUAUAUGUUUUUUUUAUAUCUGAUUAAGAUUAAAAUGUUCUGAUAUUUGCCAUCGAGUAAAUUUCCACGUUUUAAACCAGUAAAGUGAUUUUAUAUCUUUAGUUUCUAGCAACUUGACAUCCAAAUUUCCUGUAACAAAAUGGGAACCACUAAUAAUUAGAUAAAGCCUAGUUGAUGAGAUUUUGACUGAUUGUAUAUGUCUAUAGUAAUUAGACAUUAUUAAAUGUCGGACCAAUUAUUUGAUUCAAUAAUUACAAUCACAAAUCUUUGUCCCCAUCGAUAAGCAUAACGAAUAUUUAUACAUCUCCCAUGUUCUACCAUUUACAUUAGGGACUUGGUGUGUAUUUUCUCCAUAUGAAACCACAGCUCUAACCAUUUUAAACAAAAAUACUAGACAGCUAUAUUAGUUAGUCUCACUGCUUAUGUUCAUUGCUUUAAAAUGUAUGUCUUCUCCAAUUGAGCUCACCGUUCUAACCAUUUUAAGCAAAAAUAAUAAUUGUUAGCUUAAAAUGUUUAGAACUUUGGGUGCAUUUAGAUAAAUUACACACUAAAGCAAACACUUGAGUACACAUGACUUAUUUUAAGCGUUUAUACUUCGCAAAAAUAUUUUAUGAAACAAUGAAAAUGUCAAUCAGAAGUUAAUAAAAGUUUAAAAGGUUUUAGAUUUCAAAAUUUUGAGUUAAAAAAAAAAAAUCUCAUACAAAACCUAAAUGCACACAAAAACAUCAAAGUCUUGAUUUUCCGAAUACAUCUCCUAAAUUCUCCAAAUCCUUACACGAGACAAGACUAUCGGGACAAGAUCUUCAAGCUUGCAUAACAAUUAAAUACGUUGAAAGAUAUCUCAAAAGUCGAAAUUGUCAUUAUCCUAUUUUCAUUUGUUGAGGAGCUUUUGAUCAAAUCUUAAUUUGACACUGUUUUUCUAUUGCACAGUCCGGUUGCUGCAAACCGCCGACCGCGUGUGGCUACAACUUCGUGAACCCGACACUGUGGCAAAACCCAACCAACAUGGCUGCAGAUGCAGACUGUUACCUAUGGAACAACGACCAAAGCCAGCUUUGUUACAAUUGCAACUCAUGCAAAGCUGGUCUUUUGGGAAACCUUAGAAAAGAUUGGCGUAAAGCAAAUCUCAUACUUAUCAUCACUGUCGUUGUUCUUAUUUGGGUCUACGUUAUUGCGUGUAGUGCGUUUAGGAAUGCUCAGACCGAGGACCUCUUCCGCAAAUACAAACAGGGUUGGGUCUAAAGUGUAUAGAUUUGUUUGUAGUUGUUGACAUGGAAGUAUUUUCGAAAAUAGCUUGUAAUAUUAUUACUUGUGUUUGGAAAGGGUUUUUUCUUUUGCAUGGAUUUUUAUGUUUAUGUUACAUUGCUUGUGAGUUGUGAAGAAAGAAAAUAUUAAAUAGGAUCCCUAAUCUACGUAUUGAUCAUCAAACUCUUUAAUUAAGUAAAUAUUUGAAAUUUUUAUUGGUCUAUCAUUUGUCACAUGCAAAAUCAAGAAUAUUUAACCAUGAACAUCUAUUAUCUUCCUUUUCUCAUUCCUAUACCAGGUUUCUAUCCUGCAAUGUCAACAUAUGUAUAAACAAGGUCAACUUCUCCAUACGCACAACACUAGAAGGUAAACACAUGAGUACGUAUGAUUGUUUUAACCCAAAACAUUUAUAAGUUUAUACUUACAACUAUCAGUUGCAAUAUUAUACAUAAACAAAACACGUUUGAUAGAAACAUUAAAAUGCUGUUUUAUCUUCCUAACAAAAUACUAUGUUUUAAUGGUCUAAAGAUGAACGCAAAUACAAAAUAAAUAAUUACUGUGAUGAUUGUCAUGGAGCAUUAGGUGGUCGGGGGCAUGUAUCGUGUAGAGAUGUUAUUUCAGCGAGAUGUUUGCUUGGUCGACUCUUGAAGAACAUGCAUUGAAAAGCACAGUCGCCGAAACAAUAUUUUCUUACAGAAAGGAGGAUCGGAUCCUGUUUAUGGUACUUGUUCAAGCAAUAAAAAACAGUCACUUCCUUCUGCUUCUUGUUCCAUGGUAGCCAUCACCAACACUACAAUAAUUAUCACUACAUUCCUUUUCUUCAUCCUAUCUCUCUCAAAAACGUGUCCUUGUGUUUGUAUUUCUAUAUAUAUACGUAAGUAAUUAACUAUAACCAGAUCUUGAUUUUGUUGUAUGCUUAGGCGUUAAGUUGACACUGUUUUUCUAAGUUACAGCUACUUGUGCAUUAUCUAUACUUUUAAUCAAGAUACAUCACCUACUUUUCUCAGUUUCAAACUAAGAAAUCUUUAACCAAAGUGUAUGCAGUUUUGUUAAACACACAACUAUCAACAAAGACUUAUCUUUUGUUUGGGCGUUCCAAGUCUCGUCUUAUAGCUUAAGUGUAUGCAUUUUUCUCGUCCAUCGAUCUUUGAUAUAUUAUUAUUAAUAACAAUAGCAAGGUCUUAUGAAAAGAUUAAAAAAUGUUAUUAACCAUUAUUUUGGAUCUCAAUUAAAUAAUAAAUUAAUAACUCUGGAAUUAAAAUGUACAAAAUGAUCAAACCUAAGCUGUCAUUAACAUUUCGUACCUUUAAACUAAUAUCAUCUUGAGAUCAUUGUAGUUUCCUAACGUGGUCGAAACUACUAGGUAAGUUCCUUUGAUCCAUAAAAAUAGUUGUAUAAUUUAAUUUAUGUUGAAUGGUCACGAGUUUAACAUUAUAAAUACGUUACUGCAUAUAAUAAUCCAACUAUUGUGUGUUAAUGUAAAAUUCACCUUAUAUGUAAAUGUUAUUUUAUGCUUUCACAAUUAUUUUGGAUCUCAAUUAUGUAUCUAUCUAUCUUAUUAAAACUCAAGUACAAAAUUGGAGUGUUUGGAGACUUGAAUAGAACUACUAAAAAAUUUGGAGUGUUUGGAAACAUGGAUUACAGUCUUUUAAAAAAAAAAAUAUUUUUGUUUGAAAACAAGGAUAGUAGUAUUAAGAAAAAAAGUAAUGGGCUUAUGUUUUUAAAAAAAAUUGAAAGUUAUCUAGGCCACUUUUAAAAUAUACCAAAAUGGGUCAAUCUAAUUGCCUAAAUUUUUUUUUCUAAACUAACCAUAAAACAAAAUUUAAACUUUAUAUACAUAUUUCAAAUCAAAAUAAUAAUUCAAAUUUGAUUUAUAUCAAAAAUUGAUUCAAAAAUAUACAUAUAUUCAAAAAUGGAUUUUUACUAAACUAUUUUUCAAUAACCAUUAUAAAAAAUAUUGUCAAUAUAUAUAAGAAAAAUAUAAUACAAAGCCCAAUUUGAAAUACCAACUCAAAUUAUGGUUUUUAUAUUUCAUAUUAAGUCUUAAAAAUAUAAUAUAUGUAAUUAUUUAUAUGAUGGUAUGUAUAAAAUACUAUUAAUUAUAUGAUUACUUAUAUGAUGGUACAUAUAAAAUAUGAUUAAUUAUAUGAUGAUAAAAUACGAUAUAUAAUAAUGACUAGGGAUGGGCUUUUGGGUACCCAUACGGGUUUGGUUCUGAUCGGUUUAUAUUUCGGGUUUUCGGGGUCAAAGAUUUCAGCCUUAUUAGAAUGUUUCUAAAUUUUGGUUUGAGUUCGAUUUGGAUCUUUGCGGGUUUGGUUUGGGUUUGGAUAACUAAUUUAAAUUAUUUUUAAAGUCUUAAAUCAUUAUAUAUUUUAAAUUUCUCAAAAUGUAUAAAUAAAAUAAUAUAUUACAUAUAAAUUUGAAUAACAUAUGUCAUAAUACUUAAGUUUAACAUAUCAAUUGGCUUGAUUUAAAAUUUUGGAUACGGAAUUAAUAAUUAUUUUAAGUAUUUUUGGUGAUUUGAGUAUACUUUAACUAUUUCAGAUAUUUAUUUUUGACUAUCUAUAUAUAUUUUCAAGUAUUUAAACUAAUUUAAAAGUAUCAUUUUUGAUGUUUUAUAUACGUUAAAUCUAAAAAUAAUUAAUAUAUAUAAGUAUAUAAAUCUAUUUUUAGAUAAAUUCGGAUACCCAAAUACUUCGGUUCGGAUCAAAUUCGGUUCUCUAAAUAACAAAAUUUUGAAUAAUUAGAAUAUUUAAUCAAUUUAUGUUCGGGUUUGGUACUAUAUUUUUGGAUCGGUAUCGGUUAUAUUCCUCGGAUUCAUUUUUUCAAAUCCUAAUAAUUACAUGAAAAACAAAUAUUAACAUAUUUUCAAAAUAUACAUCCGCGCGCCUGCGCGGGUCAAAGUCUAGUUUCAUAAUUAAACCGGAAGGUGGAAAACCAAAUUGUGUUUCAUUUGCGUAUUAUAGUUUCCCACUUUGUUGCUACCUAUAAAUAGUUUCCGUCUAGUUAGUAGUUAGCAUCCAUUUCACGAUCCUCAUUUCCCGGAUCUCUACAACUCCGACCCGACCCAUUUACGCGACCCAAACCGGGUCAACCAGAACAAUGGAUAAGCCUAGCUUCGUAAUCUCACCAGAAGAAGCUGAAUCCGCCGCGAACCAACUCGGCGUCUCCGUCCUCCAGCUCCUCCCUUCGCUGGUCAACCCUGCGAAAUCCUUCGCUCGCCCACCGAUCUCAAAAUUCCACGUCGGAGCCGUCGGACUCGGAUCAUCGGGUCGGAUCUUCUUAGGAGUCAACGUCGAGUUCCCAGGCCUCCCUCUCCACCACUCGAUCCACGCCGAGCAGUUCCUCGUAACCAAUCUCACACUCAACGGCGAGCGACAUCUCCGAAACUUCGCCGUCUCCGCCGCGCCGUGCGGACAUUGCCGUCAGUUCCUCCAAGAGAUCCGCGACGCGUCGGAGAUCAGACUCGUAAUCACCGAUCCGAACGCCACCGCGGAUCCCGACGCCGAUUCCGACGGAUUCCUCCGCCUCGGGAGCAUCUUGCCGCACAGAUUCGGUCCGGAGGAUCUUCUCGAGAAAGACUUCCCUCUCAUCCUCGAGCAUCACGAUAACAACCUCACGAUCUCGGAUCUCGAUCCGAUCUCCAACGGAAACACCGUGGAAUUGAAACGUACGGCUCUAGCGGCGGCGAACAGAUCGUACGCGCCGUAUAGUUUGUGUCCCUCGGGAGUUGCGCUUGUGGAUUGCGAGGGGAAAGUGUACAGAGGAUGGUAUAUGGAAUCGGCGGCGUAUAAUCCUAGCUUGGGACCAGUACAGGCGGCGUUGGUGGAUUACAUUGCUAACGGAGGCGGAGGUUACGAGAGAAUCGUCGGAGCUGUGGUUGUGGAGAAAGAAGACGCGGUGGUGCGGCAAGAGCACACGGCGAGGUUGCUGAUACAGAUGAUAUCGCCGAAAUGCGAUUUCAGCGUCUACCAUUGCCAUUGACCUUUGAGAUAACAUAUCACCAAAAGAAAAAUAAAAUAAAAAACGAAUAAUAAAUAAUAAAAUGGACUUUAAAUUCGUAACCCAAAACAAACAAAAAAUAGUUAAUUAUUGAAACUUAAAAGUUGAAAGCGAUGCCUCUGCUCUGAAUGAUGAAUGGAUUGGUGAUGAUGAGACGUAAGAGAAUUAAUAUAAGAAGACUCUUUUAUCUUAUUUGUAUUAUGUAUAAACUAUUCUAAUAAAUUAUUAUGUUCGUCUGUACUUUUAAAACUAUAUUUGAUUAAUCAUCUUUUAAAUUGUUUUCUUCAUUCAAAAUAAUAAUAAAUGUUUUAAAAAUGUAGAAAAGAGGAAAAGAGUCUUUCUACCAAUAUAUUUUCAAUUUUCUUUGGAAAAACUCUUUAUAGGAGUAUUUUUUCUUUUAUUAGCAUAUCUAUUUUAAACUCAAUACAUAAAUAAAUUGUUUAAUAAUAAUUUUGAGAGAUUCAUUUUAAGAAAAUCUCUAAUAAUAAUGUUAUAUCCCUCUCUAAAGUUUAAUGUCAGCUAUUACAUCACAAAAGCAGGAAUGUAAAUUGUUGUGCAAAAAAGAAGAAGCAGGAACGUAUAUUUGAAUCAAACUCAAAUCAAACGCAAGAAAUUAUUAUGUUUGCUUAUAUCAGAAAGAAAGGGAUCUUAUAUUUUCAAAUGAACCAAAGAAAUUUCAGUAUUAAUCCGGUAUAGUUCUUCUCAACUGAGCAAACAAAAAAUGUGGAAUACUAAAAUCGAAAUCUUAAGGUUAGCCAUAUCAUCCUUUAUUUUGUUACAGAUAAACAAGACUAAUUGUCUUGGCAAUUUUUUAUGUAAUGUAUGAUGUUGUGUGGCCACUAAACAAGGACAGUGAAGACAUCGACUGAUCAAUAAAAGAAUAAGUUAUGAAUGUUGUUUACUAGAGAUGGCACUUUAUCCGAUAUCCGAAGUGGCAUCCGAACCCGAUCCGAAAAAUCUGAACCGAAAUCCGAACCGAAGUAGCAAAAUAUCCGAACGGGUAUUGAAUUAAGAGAGAUUGGAUAUCCAAACCCGAACGGGUAAUACUCGAACCCGAAUGGAUAUCCGAAAAUAACCGAACAUAUGUAUAAUUAACCUUAUAUUUCUAGUUUACAUCUCUCAUUUUAUAUAAAGUAUUUAUAUUGAUACUACACAUAUUUUAAGUUCAUAAGAUAUACAUACAAUUACGGAGAAAAUGAUUUGCUACUCACUUAAAAUACAUGUCAAAUUUUUUAUUUUAAGAAUUAACAAAAAGUUACAUCCAAAAUUUAAAAACAAUAAUCAAAUUAAUGUUUUUUAGUUUCAAAAUGUUAUGUCCAAAUCUAUUAACCAUUCAAUCUAUUAAAAAUAAAAGAUUAGUGAAGUGAAAGUUAUAUUUUUAAAUACAAGAAAUUUGAAAAAUGAAAAUUUAAUAUUGUUUUUUUCAAAAUCUAAAUAUCCGAACCCGGUCCGAAAUAACCGAACCCGAACUAAAAAUAUCCGAACCCGAUCCGAAGUACAGAAAUACCCGAACGGGUUCUACACCUCUAUACCGAAAUACCCGAAAAUCCGAAAUACCCGACCCGAACCCGAACGGAUACCCGAACGCCCACCCCUAUUGUUUACACAAUCAGUGUACAUAUUGAUGGCUUAACAUGAAUUUUUGAAAAGCUAUAAUAAAAAUAAGAUGGUCCACAAGCAACUCUUACUAUGAGUGGUUAUCAAUUAGUCUAGAAAUUUUAGAUCACUAAUGUUCAGAUGGAAGAUAGUACACUUUUGUCAAAAGUUUUUUUUUUGGUAAAACACUUUUGUGUAAAUUUUAGCUUUAGGGUUUUUUUUUUGAUCAAACAUCCUUAGGGUUUAAAAUUCAAGGUUAUGAUACAUAAAAACACUUUAUAAUAGAUGCGGCAAAAAAAAAUAGUUUGAAAGCAUUAUAGGCCAUAUUCUAACCGAUACUAAGAAAGCCAUGAAUCCAAAGCUAAAACCACGCAACAACCAAUGCAACAACCAAUACAACGAAAACAUGGUUUUAAAGGUGCAACUAGACUUUGACCCGUCCUUAAUUAUUUUAAUUUUUAUUAUGUCAAGAAAUUUGAUUUUUAUAUAUGUGUUUAAUUUAACUUUUGAAAACUAUAUCGAAUAUGUCAAAGUUGUAUUUCUGAAUUUUACCGAUUUGACAAAUCUCCACGGCACAUCUCCGAUGAACACAUAACCGACGAAUUAUCUAUCGCUUCUGAAGUUGCAGAGGUUGUUGUUCAUAAACUGGGUUUCAUAUUUUUUUGGAAGGCAAAAUUUAGGAUUUCAAUAAAUAUAUAAACAAAUAUUGUCGAGUCUAAAAAAAAGUAAGUAUAAAUUAAAAUAUAAUUGUCGAGUAUAGAAAAAGAUCGUGUCUUUUUUAUUAAAUAGAUUUAGAUACUGUUAUUCAAAAAUUGGUUUUUUAAAGGGGAAUUAGGACCUAUAGCCAUGAAAAAAACGUUAAUUAGAGGACUAGCGCUUUACCCUAACGGAUCGAUAUACGCCGUGAAAUAUACAUAAUAUUACUGUAAGACCCUCUCUAAUUUACCGGCUCACCUGCUAUGAAAAAAAAUUAUAAAUCAUUUUCUUUUAACCCCAAAUAAAUCAUGUCUCUUUCCUUUCCACACAACUUCCAUUCCCACUUUCUUCAUCUACGGUUCUUCCCCCUCCAUACGCUUCUCUCGCAAAUCUCCUCCACCCGCUCGCCUCCAUCUCCGUCGUUCUCGCUUCAGAUCGUCUCCGUCUUCUAUUUUGCUUCUCGGUGAAUAGUGCAAGCCCAUACCCAUUCCAAUUCCAAUCAUCGAUUCUUCUCAGAUCUCUUCAGUUACGUUACGUUUUCAGGUUUUAACCUUCGAUUCUCUUCAUCUCCUGUAAUUUUAUUUCAUAUUUGCGCUAUACUGAGAACUAGGGUACUCUUUUAGUAAAUCUACAGUCUCGUUGCCGUUGCGAAGUUCUCUAAUUGAUUUAGGGGUUGGGUGAUUUGGGGUUGGGGUUUCCCCAGCUGUUCUUAGUCUUUGUUAAAUUUGAAUUUUGUUUUCCUAGCGAAUAGCAUCUGCGAUAGAUAGGUUUGUCUGUGUUGACAUAGUAUGAUAUCUUUCGUUCCUAUUCUAUUUGAUAUGGUAUAGGUUAGCAUGCGUGUGAAUAUAGUACGAGAUCAUUCAUUACUAUUCUAGUCGACAUGGUCUAGUAUAACUGUAUGUAAACAUAUUUUAUUUGAGAUAGAAUUGAGUGGUUGCUACUGCAGUAUUUUGUAUUCCAUUUAAUUUAUUUGCAUUAAGUAUUCUGUCCUAACCGUGUUUACCUCCUACCUUCAUCCUUCAGAUCUGGCAUGGACGAUUUAAACCUUGCAAGUAGAUUGUUUGAGACAGGCUUUGAACCCACUGGAAACAAAAGUUUUAACAACUAUUUCAACCUAUGUCAUCGCCAUGCCCAUCCGCACACGUGUGCUUCUACAUAACAUAUUUAUUCUGUUAGAGCACCUAUUAUAUGUUUCUAUUAUAUUUUGAUCAUGUAAAAUGAAAAAUCAUCUUAUUUGCAUUCAUGCUAUAAAUUGAAACGUUUAAUAUCACUUUAUUUUGCUUCUGAAUUCAUACAAAUUUAAUACUUGCGUAUUUUGAUAUAUGAAUUGGGGUUUAUAUUUUCGUGUAGGGUUUCGUGAUGAUUGGAUAGGGUUUAGUUUCUGGAAUAUUGGGAAAGCAUUACUUGUUUCUAUUUUGUUUGGAUAUGGAAUAGAACAUUUCUGAACUUUCAUAUCAUGUGUUCUAAUUUUGGUGAUAUAGAAUUGGCAUAUUACAUAAUAUAAUUUAAUAUAACAUAAUUUAAUUUAAUAUUACAUACCAUUAUGUAUUUUUUAGAUUUUGAUAUAUGAGUUUAGGGUUUAUAUUUGGGUUAGGAUUUAGUGAUUAGAUUUUAGGGUUUAGUUUUUAUCUGAUAUAGAAUAAAACUUAGAUGAUAUGGAAUAUAACUCUCGAUGCUUAUGUAUGUGAUCAAUAAAGUUAUACGUGGAUGGCUUUUUCUUCUUUCAAAAAAUCACAAAUACAUACCUCCAGUAUUAUAAGACGUGGAUUUAAUUUCCCGAAGGUUUGGUUUGCCUAUGUUUUGGGGUUUAUAUUUACUUAACUUGGGUUUAGGUUUAAUGUCAAGUGUUCUAUUACCAUCCCCAUUAACUUUGUAUUUCAUGUUGCUCAUGAGGACUGUAAAUACAUGUCUCCAGUAUUAUGGAAGGUGGAUUGGGGUUUAUGUUUCCCUAAUUUGGGUUUAGUGUUUACUGUCAAGUAUUCUAUUACCAUUCCAUUAGCUUUGUAUUUCAUGUUGGUCAAACAUGGAUCGACUGUGUACAUAGUACCAUUUUAAAUAGUACGGGUUAGAUAGAAUAGAAAUAUUCUCGUAAUAGAUUGUGCGACUGUGUACGUAACUCUAUAAGACUUAUAAUCAUUAACUUACUCAUUUAUACUUUAGCAUAUGGAAUAGUUCGCCGCUAAAUAAAAUAGUAUACUUCAAUUUUUUUUAUUCGUAGUUGUUAAAUGGAAAUUAACUUUCUUUGUAGUCGUUAAAAAUAUAAGACGGUCUACUAUCAUUUUCUUUAGCUUAAACAUUGAUUGUGUCAAUGGUUUCUAUUUCUAAGUUGGGUUUAGUGAUUUAGUUCAUUAGUUUAUAUCUAAAUUUUCAGUGUUGCUGCUCUUUCAAUUGGAAUUGGAAUUACAGUGAUACUAUUCUACCCAAAUUAGUAUGGAACGCUUGUAAUCGGUAUAGAAUAUACGUUUCAUUAUCUUCUAUUUCGCCGUUUCAUUUCACGCGCUUUCAAAAUUCGCUCAUUAUUACUAUGGGUCACAAAAUCACCACGUUGUUUUCUUUAUAUGAAGAAACCGGAUACCUGUUACUAACAAGGGUAUAUCCGGCUGGAAUGAUGGUAAAAAGACAGUCACUACAUUCUGUCAAAAUCAUGUCUAUUCUCUUGAUUUUCUUUUUAAAUAUGGCUAGUAAGCCAAUAAGCCCUUUUUUAAAGUAGGUCUAGUGGCAAAAAAAUAAUAAUAUUCCAUGUGAUGGUGGAAAUAAAAGUUAAGAGAAUCAUGCUUUAAUAAUAUUAAUUAGGUUUGAUUUCUGAAAGUUUACUGUCCAUCAAGUUGUAAAGAAAAAAAAAAUUUUAUAGCUAAAACAAUUUUUUAAAUAGAAGCAGUUACAAAACCGACAGCCAAUACGCAAAACUUUGAGUCACUAUGCAAGGUUGACUUUACAAAACUUUACAAAACCGCCAACAAAAUUUAACACAAAAACAAAUUAUUAAUCAUAAAUUUGGACCACGCAAAAACCUUCUUACAAAGCCCAAUUUAGUAACAAAUUUACCCGUUAAUAUAAAACUUGCGAAAUGGUUAGACAAAUAAUAAGGGAUUGUGGUUAGAGUUAGUAAAUAAUUAGAAGCAGUUAUGAAAUAAUCAGUUUUGAAAAAAAAAAGGGUAGGUCCAGUGACAUUUUAAGUAAUAUACCAGAUAUGGGUAAAGACAGAAAAUAAGAGUGAUCAUAAAUUAAUAAUAUUGAUAAGGGAAAAUUCUUUAUAAGUACACCGACUAAUUUUCAUUUGCUAAUAAAAUACACUAACUAAAUUGGAUUCGCGUUUAAUACACGAACUAAUUUUUGUUGCCUAUUAAAUACACAAACUUUUGAAAUUCACAGAUUUUACACAUCAUUUUAGACUCGUUAACUAUAUUUAACGGAAGUGAUGAUGACGUUAGUGUUUAAUUAAUAUGUUUUUAAAUUGUGAAAAGAAAAUUUCUUAAAAAUACACAAACUACUUUUCAUUUGCUAAUAAAAUACACGAACUAUUUUGGAUACCCGUUUAAUACACAAACUAUUUUUUUCUAUUAAAUACACAAACUUUUAAAAUUUUCAAAUUUUACACAUCGAUUCAGAUGAUGUCAACUAUGUUUAGCAGAAGUGAAGACAAUGUUAAUGUUUAAUUGAGCAUAUGGUUAAACUGUGAAGAAAAAGUUCCUUAAAGGUCCUCCGAUAUAUUAUAUUGUUAGCUUUCUUCUUUAGUGAUACUUCAUAGUGUAAAUUUUUUUAAUGAAAUUUCAAAAUUUUUAAUCAUAGUAGAAAGAAUAUAUGUAGAAUUUAAUUCAUAACACUAAACUUAUUUAUCAUAAUGUAAAUUAACCUUGAAUCAUUAUCACUACUAUCAAAGCAAAGAACAAGAAUUAGAAAUGCAUAACACUAAACUAAUUCCAAAAUCAAAAACUCGUUUAAAAUUACGUAGUUUUCUUCGUCCUUUUUCACGACGUGGAAAUCAACUCCACUUCGAAUCAAUAUAAAGGGAAAUCAAAGUAAAUAAGAAGAAAAGAAACAUAGUUUGGAGAAUAAAAGAAGUUGGAACAUAUUAGAGUGUCAAACUCAAAUUGAAACUAACUCAAAUUAAUUUCAAUUGGCUGAGGGUGAGCGUGCUUUUCACAGUUAAACCACUUGUUUAAUUAAAACAUUGACUUCAUUUCUGUUAAAUAUAGUUGACAUCGUCUAAAUUGAUGCGUAAGAUCUGCAAAUUUUAAAAGUUUAUGUAUUUAAUAGAAAACAAAAAUUAGUUUGUGUAUUAAACGAGGAUCCAAAAAUAGUUUGUGUAUUUUAUUAGCAAAUGAAAAAUAGUUUGUGUAUUUAAAAAAAAAUUAUUUUCAAAAUUUAAAUACAUGUUAAUUAAACACUAACGCCGUCGUCAAUAUCGUUAACCUGCGAAUUUCAAAAAUUUGUGUAUUUAAUAGGCAACGAAAAUUAGUUCGUGUAUUAAACAUAGAUCCAAAAUAAUUAGUGUAUUUUAUUAGCAAAUGAAAAUUAGUCCGUGUGUUUUUAAGGAAUUUUCUCUAUUGAUAAUCAACAUAAUCAAGUCAUUAUAUUAUUUAAAAAUUAAAAUGUAAACAACUAACGUCUCGUUUCGUUUGUAACAUUUAUUAGUUGGAUUGAACCCAAACAUUACAUUAUAUGACAUCAACAAUUACAAAUAGUUAAAACUACUUACAAAAUAUAUUUGGAAAACUUGUAUUACAGUUUUGCAUCAAAAUAUAUUUCAAGAAAAUAAUUGAUAAUUUACUGACUGUUCGUCUGUUCCUAUUUUUCAAAAAAGUUAAGAUGGUAUAUAUAAUUGGACCAUAUUAGAAAAUUAAGAUCACAUUCAGACAUAACAAGGACUAGUGAGCUAAACUGACUUCUCGUUUGAAACAUUUAUGGCAUAUCCAUCCCCACUUCAUAAUUUACUCCAAAUAUGGAGCGAAAAAUGGAGUAUGGACAAACAAUAAAAAAUCACUCCAUUUAUGGAGUAAUCACUUUUUUGUUUCUUCAUUACUUUAUUUCUCACUCUAUUUUGCAGUAAAUUAUGGAGUGGAGAUGAUCUUAUUAGCUGGGUUGAGCCCAAACAUAACAUUAUAUGACAUUAACAAUUACAAAUAGUUAAAACUACUUACAAAAUAUAUUUGAAAAACAUGUAUUAUAGUUUUGCAUCAAAAUAUAUUUUAAGAAAAUAAUUGAUAAUUUACUAACUGUUCGUGUGUUCCUAGUUUUUCAAAAAAGUUAAGAUGGUAUAUAAUUGGACCAUAUUAGAAAAUUAAAAUCACAUUUAGACAUAACAGCGAAGGACUAGUGAGCUAAAAUGCAAGAUCUAUGUCUAAUAAGUAACAUAUUCUAAUCAGAGGCGUGCUUACCAUUGUUUGAAAAAGGCUUCUGCCUUAGGUCCCCAAAAAAUGUAUAAUUUUUAGGACCCCUAAUUUCAUAAAAUUAUUCUGUAGAGCUAAAUAUAUAGAUUUAGGUAAAUUUUCACCAUUUGACCAAAAAAAAAAAGAAGGUAGAUUUCCACCUGAUUCUGAACUUGACUUUUGUUUUUGAUGAAUUCUUUUAUUCUAAUCAAUUUCAAUAUGUGUUAAAAAUGCAAAAAAAAUAAUUGAAGAACUGACAAGAUCUAACUCACAGUUCUCAUUUUCAUUUUUUUUUGUUAUUUACUAUAAUCCAAUUUUUUUCUUAUCAAAAAUUAGGUGUUUGUAUUUUUAUUUAUACAGUAUGAUAGUUUGAUGAAAGAGUUCAUAGAAAAAAUAAAUGAUACGUUUUAACAUAUAUAUUUUUAUCUAUCAUCAUUUUUUAAACGACAAAAUGUUGUAUACUUUAUCUAUCAUUAUUUUAUUCAAUAUUUUGUUAGUGUCACUAUUAUUUUUAUUAUUUUAUCAUUUGUAUUUAAAUGAUUAUUUUUUCUCUUUCUAAAAUACCAAAUUAUUAUUUUAACUUUCUCUAAAAUAGCAAUUUUCUACUUAUAAUUUUAACCUAUACUUUUAAAUUACAAAUUUAAAAUUGUUUCUAUCACAACUAAAAUUUAUAUUUUCUAAUACAUAUUGUAAAAAAAAAUAUUUUUAAAAUUUGCCUUGAGCCCACAAAAUUCCUCGCACGGCACUGAUUCUAAUUCUCCAUUAAAAAAAAGUUUCAAAAAUACAUAAAACAUUAAGAGAAUAUAAUCUAAAAUCAAAUUGUCCGUAUUAAACUAACAAAUAGUCAAAUCUAAUAAAUACCAUCUUCCUGAAAAGUUACAUAUGGAAUAAAAAACAGACAAUACAAAUUCAAUAUAUAUAUAUUAAAGGAUAUAGCUGAAUUUACCUUUAAACAAUAACUAGAUUCUGAUCCGUGCGUCCGCACGGAUGUUUUUUUAUAACUUUAUAUUGUUCUUAAUAUGAAUAUGUUAUCAUACUAUAGGAAUGAAAUUUAUUUAUAUUGUUGGUGCGACUAUACAUGUUAAGAAAUAAAUCUUAACAAAAUAUUAAGAAUAGUGUUUUUAACACUUGAAAGGAAUACAUUAAGAUUAGAAAUUUAAAUUUACAACAAUACUUUAUAAACCUAUUACAUUAGAAGUUUAAUAAAAGAAGUAGUCUUAUAUUUAUAAUAAUAUAACUGGCUUAGAGCCUGACUGGUUCAAACGCAGCGGUUGCGGUUACGAGAGUUUACAGAUGCGGAUGGUUGCGGUUUCUAGCGGUUUUAAGAGAUUUAUAUAACUGCUUCUGCGGUUAUAUGGUGCGGGAUACUUAUGACUGGUUAAUUACCAAACACAACAGGGGUUAAAUAAUAAAUUAACAAUAUUUAAAUUUUAUAUAAUUAUAAAAAAUAUCAAAAAUCAUAAUCUUAUAUUAAGUAUAAAAAUUAUAUUUAGAAAAUUAUAGUUUUUUUUGUCAUCAACUUAUACAGACUCAUACUGACUCUGUGAACCAAACCGGUAGAUCUUGAUCCAUGUGAACGACGAAAGACGGUUGCUUUUUGACACUACGUGCUAGGCUAUCCGCCUUUGAACGACUAAAGAUGGUUGCUUCCUAAAACCGGUAUAGUUUUAAAUUUUUAAAAAUUAUAGAAAAUUUUUAUUUUAAAAUUUUAUAAUAUUAGUUAAAAUACAAUAGAUAUAAUUUAGUAUUUUUAUAAUUCAAAUUUAAAAUUUUUAAUUAAUAGUUUUAUUUUUGUAUUUAUAUUGUUUUUUAAAAUAGAAAAAAAUUAUCAUUCCGCAACCGCCCGCAACCGCAAACGUUGAAACCACCUUUUGAAUUUAUGAAGUUUACAACAGUUUGAAAUAGUUCAGAACGGUUUGAUUGAUUGUUGCAAAACGCCAAUAACCGUUAGCAACCGCAAACUGCGUUUACAAAUGGUAGCAGAGAAACCAGUCAUACCCUUAGUUCCAAUUAAAUUGGUAUGUCGAACAAUGUUGUAAAGGAAAUGAAAAUUAAUAAAAAGAUUAACAUGUUUCCAAUAAUUUAGUGAUAGUAUAUAUGAAAGGAAUAUUCUGGUUGAUCUAAGAAUAUCGACUGGAUUUGAAAGAUUGAUACGCUUGGGUUAAUGUGAUAGCUUGAAAACAGGGGCUGUUUGGGAGUGAUUCAGAUUUUUGUGUUAUUUGGUGGAGCUAAUUAGGGGUGGGCGUUCGGGUACCCGUUCGGGUUCGGAUCGGGUAUUUCGGAUUUUCGGGUAUUUCGGUAUAGAGGUGUAGAACCCGUUCGGGUAUUUUUGUACUUCGGGUCGGGUUCGGGUAUUUUUAGUUCGGAUUCGGUUAUUUCGGAUCGGGUUCGGAUAUUUAGAUUUUGAAAAAAAAAAUUAAAAUUUUCAUUUCUCAAGUUUCUUGUAUUUAAAAAUAUAACUUUCAGUUAACUAAUUUUUUAUUUUAAUAGAUUGAAUGGUUAAUAGAUUUGGACAUAACAUUUUAAAACUAAAAAGACAUUAAUUUAGUUAUUUUUUUUUUAAAAUUUUGGAUGUAUCUUUUUGUUAAUUUUUGAAAUAAAAAAUUUGACAUGCAUUUUAAGUGAAUAACAAAUCAAUUUUUUCCGUAAUUGUAUGUAUAUCAUAUGAACUUAAAGUAUGUGUAGUAUCAAUAUAAAUAUUUUAUAUAAAAUGAGAGAUGUAAACUAGAAAUAUAAGGUUAAUUAUACAUAUGUUCGGUUAUCUUCGGAUAUCCAUUCGGGUUCGGGUAUUAUCCGUUCGGGUUCGGGUAUCCAAACUCUCCUUAUUCAAUACCCGUUCGGGUAUUUUUCUACUUCGAUUCGGAUUUCGGUUCGGGUUUUUCGGAUCGGGUUCGGGUACCACUUCGAAUAUCGGGUAAAGUGUCCACUCAAUUAGCCUAAUUGAGUUGUGUCUCAAAAAUAUCUUUUCAAUAUAAUAUUUCUAUUAUAAACGGCAAAAGAUCUCCACUAAAGAAGGUUGUAAUCAAGUCACGCUAAAUUGUAGUAUUUUAAAAAAGAUUGUGAAGCUAACUAAUAUUAAGGAGGUGGUUAUACAAACCACGGAUUGUAUCCGGUUUGCUACGGACAAUUUUAGAGUUGUAAGGCGGUUUGUUAAUGGUGAAUUUAUUUAAAGGGAAUUAAUAGAUAGGUAAAGCGUUACACGAUGUGUUUUAAUCCAAUGGCAUAGAUAAGUAAUUAUACAAAAUACAUAAAAAUUAAUAUCAAGAAAAUAUUAUCUAAAAUCAAAUUGUCCAUAUUAAACUAACAAAUAGUCAAAUAAUAAUAAAUACCAUCUUCCUGAAAUGUUACAUCUAUAUUAUUAAAACAGAAGUACAAAAUAAAAAUACCCUUUAAUUUUACCAUUUAUUUACAUUAGAAUUUCAUUGAGAUAUUUAUUAAACAUAUAUUUAAAUAUGCUUUUAUUUUUCUAAUUUAAAUAAUAGAUUUAAGCAUUUAAUAUCUUUUCCUAAUUUAAAUAAUUUUCUUUAAUUAAAUCUUAACCAAAAUAGAUAUUCUUAAUAUAUUUUAUAUUAACAUAUUAAAUCUUUUUAAUAUUUGUUAAUAAUAAAUAAUAAAAUAAAAAAGUACACAUCAUAAUCAAUUUAUAUAACAUAUAAAUAAAAUAUAAAAUACUUUAUUCGUAUAUUAUUAGUAUAAUGCUUUCAUAAUACAAGUCCAAUUAAUUAUAAAUGUUGGAUUUUUAUGACACAUUGUGAUAUAAUAGACAAUUAAAAUCACAAAAUAUAAUUAUUCAAAGUAAUAAAUAAAAUUUUUAUGUUUUAAAAUUUUAUAUUAACAAUUAUGUAAUACAUUUUAAUUUACAAAUAUAUAUUAUACCAUUAGUACUCAAAAAAAUUUAAAGUAAAGCAAAUAUUUAUACGGUCACGGGUCAAACUCUAGAAAUAAACAACAACAGCGCAAGAUUAUUUUUCUUUAACAAAUUUAUUUUAAUAGAUAUUAUAGUUCCAAAUAUAUUUAUAUAUUUUAUCUAUUUAUAAAUUUAUUUUCUUUGUUUUUUAAGGGAUGCUAAUAUUUUGAAACUGGAAAACAAUUAUGACCCACCUCUAUAUUAUUUUAAUUAGGAUAAAAUUUAUAUCAGAAUAUUUUUUAAUUUUUAAUUUUUAUUUUUAUUAUAACUGCAAAGGUUAAUUUUUAAUAUAAAUUUAUGUUUAAAUAUUACAAAUACAUCAUUUAAUAUAAACUAAGAAAACUAAAAACAUAAAAUAAAUACCCGUCCGCUCAGACGGGUCAAGGUCUAGUAUGGAUUAAGAAACAGACAAUACAAAUACAAUAUUAUAUAUAUAUUAAAGGAUAUAGCUGAAUUUACCUUUAAACAAUAAUUCAGAAUAUGUACCGAAGUACCAAAAAUACGGUUUCUAGAACCAAAAAUAAUAGAAAUUUAACAUUUAGCCUAAAUAAAUAACAGUGAAAAUUAAAGCACAUAUACAAAGGAGAGCAAAAUAAGAGUUCAAAUAAUAUUCAUUUUCUGUUUUUUUGACAUCAAUCAUAAAAAUAUUAUUAAAACAAAAGUAUCAAACAAAACCCGCGAAAACAUCUAUUGCACAUUUUAAAUGAAUACAGACCAUGAUUCAAUAGAUUUCCACGGCCCAUCAACUAUGUAUAAUAGACCAAAGACAUAUAUUUUAGUACGAUACCAAAACAAUUUCCGAAACGGUCAAUAGAUUUAACUACAAAACUCCAAGGAAGAUGCAUACUUCAGAACGUAAUGUAAUAUGUCGUUGCGGAAUGUCGCAAGUGCUCAGACAUCCAAAUUUAACUACAAAAUUGCAAGGAAGAUGCAUACUUCAGAACAUAUUGUAAAAUGAAGAACCCAUAAGUGUAAAAUGAUGCAUAAUGUAGGACGCUCAAUGCUGAAGUAUAUUGUAAAAUUGCAAGAAAAUGAUGCAAAAUGCCAUAAUGUAUUGUAAAAUAUAGAAUGCAGUAAGUGUAAACACAUGAUGCAAAGUGCAUACUACAACCAAAUGAAGAGCAUACUGCAGAAUGUUUAGUAAAAUGAAAAACCUGUAAGUGUAAGGAAAUGAUGCAUAAUGCAAAAUGUAGGACACUCAAUGAUGAAGUAAGAUUGCAAGAAAAUGGUGCAAAAUGCAGAAUGUGUUGUAAAAUAUAGAAUGGAGAAGUGUAAACCACAUGAUGCAAAGUGCAUACAACAACCAAAUGAAUGCAGAUUGCGAAAUGUAAGGAAGCUCAUAUGACAGUCAAAAUUAGUUAUACAACUACAUGAAUGUCAUUUGCCCAAUUUCAGAAUGUUCAACAAAGGGGUUUAGUGAUAACCCAUAUAGUUUCUAGAGUCAAGCAAGUUGUAAACUAUAUGAGACUAAACUAGUUACAAAGAUGUUUGAAAAGAAGAUACCGGUCACAGAAGUCUUCUACACUUCAAAUCUAUUCAGAAUCUCCCAAACAAUAUGAACGCCUUCUGAAGUACAUACCUGAGGAAAUAAAAAUAAUUAGUCUUUAGUUACGUAGUAUGCCCACCUUGUUUCUUCUACGGAUGGACACAAGUCUAAUAACUGCCUGCCCUAUUGCAAUAUAUUUCCAUCCAACAAUUCUUUUCUUGUAAGCGAUGAGUAGUGAAGUAAGGAAUCUGCUUUCAAUUUGUAGCCUUUGUCUUAAGACUUUCUUAAACCGUAGGUCGUUACUCCAUCCAUCCAUAGAUCAAAAACAGAAUUUUGAAAGCCGUGGGUACUAAAAAAGUCUUUUGUCUUAAGACUUCUAAACCGUGUGGUCUUAUUUUCCAUCCAUUAAUGACAUUUUCUAGGCUGUUGGUCGUUAUUUCCAAUCCAACAAGUCUUAAACCUCCUAAAUUUUCUCUGUCUUUGUCAAGAUAUUUGUAAGCCGUAGGUAAGGAAUCUGUUUUUAGUUAUAGUCUAUCUUUAGACUUUCUUAAACCGUAACCAUUCAAAUAACUGAAAACAGAUUAUCUCAAGCCGUGGGUACUAAAUCUUUGUAAGCCGUGGGUACUAAAUCUUUGUAAGCCGUGGGUAAGAAAUCUGUUUUCAGUUAUAGUUCUUGUCUUAAGACUUUUUCAAACUGUACCAUUCAAGUAACAUAAAACAGAUUCUCCUAAAAGUCUUUUGUCUUUAAGACUUGUAAGCCGUGUGGUCUUAUUUUUCAUCCACUAAUGACUUUUUUUUCUGGACUGUUGGUCGUUAUUUCCACUCCAACAAGUCUUAGAAACCCCACAUUUUCUUUUUCUUUAUCAAGACAAACUGUAAGCCGUGGGUAAUAAAUCUUUGUAAGCCGUGAGUUAAUCUGUUUUCAGUUAUAGUCCUUUUCUUAAGACUUUCUCAAACAGUACCAUUCAAAUAACUGAAAACAGAAUCACAUAAAAGUCUUUUGUCUUUAAGACUUGUAAGCCAUGUGGUCUUAUUUCCGAUCCAACAAGUCUUAACCUCUUGCAUUUUCUUUGUCUUUGUCAAAACAUUUGUAAGCCGCGGGUAAGGAAUCUAUUUUCAGUUACAAUCUUUGUCUUGAGACUUUCUCAAACCAUAACCAUUCAAAUAACUGAAAACAGAUUCUCUCAAGCCGUGGGUACUAAAUCUUUGUAAGCCGUGGGUAAGGAAUCUGUUUUCAGUUAUAGUCCUUGUCUUAAGACUUUCUCAAACAUUACCAUUCAAAUAACUGAAAAAAGAUUCUCAUAAAAGUUUUUUUGUCUUUAAGACUUAGAAGCCGUGGGUAGUGAAAUAAGGAAUCUGUUUUCAGUUCUUAGUCUCUGUCUUUAAGACAUUCUCAAACUGUGGUCAUUAACUCCAUUCCACUGGAAUAACUGAAAACAGAUUUGGACAAAGCCGUGGGUAGUAAAUCACAGUCUUUUUUUUUGCCUUGAAACUUAUCAGCCGUUUUGUUUUAUUUGCCAUCCCAAACAACUUUUUUUACGCAGCUGGUCGUUAAUUUCCAUCCAGCAAGGCUUAGAACUGCCCCAUAGACAUUGUCUUUCAUAUUAUUUUCCCAUCCAACAUGUCUUUUUACCGAUCUGUCUUUUGUAAGCCAUGAGUAGUGAAAUCAGGAAUCUGCUUUCAAUUAGUAGUCUCUGUCUUGAGAUCUUCUUAAGCCAUUGGUCUUAUUUUCCAUCCACUAAUGGUUUUUUUCUGGGCUGUUGGUCGUUAUUUCCAAUCCAACAAGUCUUAAACCUCCUACAUUUUCUUUGUCUUUGUCCAGACAUUAGUAAGCCGUGGGUAAUGAAUCUAUUUUCAGUUAUAGUCCUUGUCUUAAGACGUUCUCAAACCAUAACCAUUCAAAUAACUGAAAAAAAAAUUCUCUGAAGCCAUGGGUACUAAAUCUUUGUAAGCCGUGGAUAAGGAAUCUGUUUUCAGUUAUAGACUUAUAAGCCGUGGGUGGUAAAGUAAGGAAUCUGUUUUCAGUUCUUAGUCUCAGUCUUUAAGAAAUUCUCAAACUGUGGUCAUUAACUCCAUUCCAUUGGAAUAACUGAAAACAGAUUUGGAAAAGCUGUGGGUAGUAAAUCACAAGUCUUUUUUUUGCCUUGAGACUUAUAAGCCGUUUGGUUUUAUUUGCCAUCCCCAAACAACUUUUUCUCUGCAGCUGGUCGUUAAUUUCCAUCCAGCAAGGCUUAGAACUGCCCCAGUGACAUUGUCUUUCAUAUCAUUUUCCCAUCCAACAUGUCUUUUUACCGAUCUGUCUUUUGUAAGCCAUGAGUAGUGAAAUCAGGAUUCUGCUUUCAAUUAGUAGUCUCUGUCUUGAGAUCUUCUUAAGUCGUUGGUCUUAUUUUCCAUCCACUAAUGGCUUUUUCCUGGGUUGUUGGUCGUUAUUUCCAAUCCAACAAGUCUUAAACCUCCUACAUUUUCUUUGUCUUUGUCGAGACAUUAGUAAGCUGUGGGUAAUGAAUCUGUUUUCAAUUAUAGUCCUUGUCUUAAGAUUUUCUCUAACCAUAACCAUUCAAAUAACUGAAAACAAAUUCUCUCAAACCGUGGGUACUAAAUCUUUGUAAGCCGUGGAUAAAGAAUCUGUUUUCAGAUAUAGUCCUUGUCUUAAGACUUUCUCAAACUGUACCAUUCAAAUAACUGAAAACAGAAAAGUCUUUUCUCCCUAAGACUUGUAAGCCGUGGGUAAUAAAUCUGUCUUUAAGACUUGUAAGCCGUGGAAAAUAAAUCUUUGUCUUUGUCAAGACAUGUGUAAGCCGUGGGUAAUAAAUCUUUGUAAACCGUGGAUAAGAAAUCUGUUUUCAAUUAUAGUCUUUUGUCUUAAGACUGAGCCGCAUGCUCUUAUUUGCCAUCCCCUAACGCCCUUCUUUAUACAUGCACCACCAACUCAUAUUCUCGGUCCAUUUAACAAUCUUGCUAUAGGGGAUGGUAUAAGUUUCUUUUAGAGGUAGCAAGGGACAAUGUUUUCAGUUAUAGUUCUUGUCUUAAAACUUUUUCAAACUGUACCAUUCAAAUAACUGAAAACAGAAAAGUCUUUGGUCUUUAAGACUUGUAAGCCGUGGGUAACAAAUCUUUGCCAAGACAUGUAUAAGCUGUGGGUAAUAAAUCUUUGUAGGCCUGGGAUUUCGGGUAUUCGGAUCGGUUCCGGGUAAGAUCCAUUCGGGUCUGGAUAUUCGGUUAUUUAUAAAUUGUAUCCAAUGAGUACUUGGAACAGUUUGGUUCGGUUUCGGAUCGGUUUCCGGUCGGUUCCGGGUCGGUUCCGGGUAUUAAAUUAUUAAACCGAAACUAAUAUUUUUAUUUAUUUUCUAUUUUCUAUUUUUAUUUUUAAUUUUUUAAAAAAAAAGUUUAAUCCAAAUCGGGUAUAUAUGUAUAGUUUGAAAGUAGUUACAAGGAAAUAGACGUGGUGCAGUGGUAAAAGUUGAUGUACUUUCAACUUUCCCACCCGGGUUCGAAACCCAUGAGGCGCAAAUCCAUAUUUUUUAAACAUUAUUUCGGUUUAAACGGGUACCCGAUCGGAUCCGGAUAAAAACCCGAACCGACCCGAUACCUGUGGAUAUUCAUAAACAUUACCCAUCGGUUAAAUAUGCCUUAUCCGAAACCGAUCCGAACCGGUCCAUUUCGGGUCGGAUCCGGUUCGGUAUUCGGAUCCGAUUAAAAAGUCCCACGCCUAAAUCUUUGUAAGAUGUGGAUAAGAAAUCUGUUUUCAAAUAGUCUUUUGUCUUAAGACUGAGCCGCAUGCUCUUAUUUGCCAUCCCCUAACGCCCUUCUUUAUACAUGCACCACCAACUCAUAUUCUCGGUCCAUUUAACAAUCUUGCUAUAGGGGAUGGCAUAAGUUUCUUUUAUUGGUAGCAAGGGACAAUGUUUUCAGUUAUAGUCCUUGUCUUAGGACUUUCUCAAACUGUACCUUCAAAUAACUGAAAACAAAAAAAUCUUUGGUCUUUAAGACUUGUAAGCCGUGGGUAUAAAUCUUUGUCUUUGUCAAGACAUGUGUAAGUCGUGGGUAAUAAAUCUUUGUAAGCCGUGGGUAAGGAAUCUGUUUUUAUUUAUAGUUUUUUGUCUUAAGACUGAGCCGCAUGCUCUUAUUUGCCAUCCCAUAACGCCCUUCUUUAUACAUGCACCACCAACCCAUAUUGUCGGUCCAUUAGGGGAUGACAUAAGUUUCUUUUAGAGGUAGCAAGAGACAAUAUUUUCAGUUAUAGUCCUUGUCUUAGGACUUUUUCAAACUGUACCAUUCAAAUAACUGAAAACAGAAAAGUCUUUGGUCUUUAAGACAUGUAAGCCGUGGGCAAUAAAUCUUUGUCUUUGUCAAGACAUGUGUAAGCCGUGGGUAAUAAAUCUUUGUAAGCCGUGGGUAAGGAAUCUGUUUUCAGUUAUAAUCUUUUGUCUUAAGACUGAGCCGCAUGCUCUUAUUUGCCAUCCCCUAACGCCCUUCUUUAUACAUGCACCACCAACCCAUAUUCUCGGUCCAUUAGGGGAUGGCAUAAGUUUCUUUUAGAGACUGCAAGAGACAAUGUUUUCAGUUAUAGUCUUUUUUUAGGACUUUCUCAAACUGUACCAUUCAAAUAACUGUAAACAGAGAAAUCUUUGGUCUUUAAGACUUGUAAGCCGUAGGUAAAAAAUCUUUGUCUUUGUCAAAACAUGUGUAAGCCGUGGGUAAUAAAUCUUUGUAAGCCGUGGGUAAGGAAUCUGUUUUCAGUUAUAGUCUUUUGUCUUAAGACUGAGCCGCAUGCUCUUAUUUGCCAUCCCCUAACACCCUUCUUUAUACAUGCACCACCAACCCAUAUUCUCGGUCCAUUAGGGGAUGGCAUAAGUUUCUUUUAGAGAUAGCAAGGGACAAUGUUUUCAGUUAUAGUCUUUGUCUUAGGACUUUCUCAAAUUGUACCAUUCAAAUAACUGAAAACAGAAAAGUCUUUGGUCUUUAAGACUUGUAAGCCGUUGGUAAUAAAUCUCUGUCUUUGUCAAGACAUGUGUAAGCCGUAGGUAAUAAAUAUUUGUAAGCCGAGGAUAAGGAAUCUGUUUUCAGUUAUAGUCUUUUAUCUUAAGACUGAGCCGCAUGCUCUUAUUUGUGAUCCCCUAACGCCCUUCUUUAUACAUGCACCACCAAACCAUAUUCUCGGUCCAUUAGGGGAUGACAUAAGUUUCUUUUAGAGGCAGCAAAGGACAAUGUUUUCAGUUAUAGUCCUUGUUUUAGGACUUUCUUAAAUUGUACCAUUCAAAUAACUGAAAAUAGAAAAGUCUUUGGUCUUUAAGACUUGUAAGCCGUGGGUAAUAAAUUUUUAUCUUUGUCAAGACAUGUGUAAGCCGUGGGUAAAAUUUUUUUGUAAGCCGUGGUAAAGGAAUCAAUUUUCAGUUAUAGUCUUUUGUCUUAAGACUGAGCCGCAUGCUCUUAUUUGCCAUCCCCUAACGCCCUUCUUUAUACAUGCACCACCAACCCAUAUUCUCGGUCCAUUAGGGGAUGGCAUAAGUUUCUCUUAGAGGCAGCAAGGGACAAUGUUUUCAGUUAUAGUCUUUGUCUUAGGACUUUCUCAAAUUGUAACAUUCAAAUAACUGAAAACAGAAAAGUCUUUGGUCUUUAAGACUUGUAAGCCGUUGGUAAUAAAUCUUUGUCUUUGUCAAGAUAUGUGUAAGCCGUGGGUAAUAAAUCUUUUUAAGCCGUGGGUAAGGAAUCUGUUUUCAGUUAUAGUCUUUUGUCUUAAAACUGAGCCGCAUGCUCUUUUUUGCCAUCCCCUAACGCCAUUUUUUAUACAUGCACCACCAACCCAUAUUCUCGGUCCAUUAGGGGAUGGAAUAAGUUUCUUUUAGAGGCAGCAAGGGACAAUGUUUUCAGUUAUAGUCCUUGUCUUAGGACUUUCUCAAACUGUACUAUUCAAAUAACUGAAAACAGAAAAGGCUUUGGUCUUUAAGACUUGUAAGCCGUGGGUAAUAAAUCUUUGUCUUUGUCAAGACAUGUGUAAGCCGUGGGUAAUAAAUCUUUGUAAGAGUGGGUAAGGAAUCUGUUUUCAGUUAUAGUCUUCUGUCUUAAGACUGAGCCGCAUGCUCUUAUUUGCCAUCCCCUAACGCCCUUCUUUAUACAUGCACCACCAACCCAUAUUCUCGGUCCAUUAGGGGAUGGCAUAAGUUUCUUUUAGAGACAGCAAGGGACAAUGUUUUCAGUUAUAGUCCUUGUCUUAGGACUUUCUCAAACUGUACCAUUCAAAUAAUUGAAAACAGAAAAGGCUUUGGUCUUUAAGACUUGUAAGCCGUGGGUAAUAAAUCUUUGUCUUUGUCAAGACAUGUGUAAGCCGUGGAUAAUAAAUCUUUGUAAACCGUGGGUAAGGAAUCUGUUUUCAGUUAUAGUCUUUUGUCUUAAGACUGAGCCGCAUGCUCUUAUUUGUCAUCCCCUAACGCCCUUCUUUAUACAUGCACCACCAACCCAUAUUCUCGGUCCAUUAGAGGAUGGCAUAAGUUUCUUUUAGAGACCGCAAAGGACUGUUUUCAGUUAUAGUCCUUGUCUUAGGACUUUCUCAAACUGUACCAUUCAAAUAACUGAAAACAGAAUAGUCUUUGGUCUUUAAGACUUGUAAGCCGUGGGUAAUAAAUCUUUGUCUUUGUCAAGACAUGUGUAAGCCGUGGGUAAUAAAUCUUUGUAAGCCGUGGGUAAGGAAUCUGUUUUCAGUUAUAGUCUUUUGUUUUAAGACUGAGCCACAUGCUCUUAUUUGCCAUCCCCUAACGCCCUUCUUUAUACAUGCACCACCAACCCAUAUUCUCGGUCCAUUAGGGGAUGUCAUAAGUUUCUUUUAGAGGCAGCAAGGGACAAUGUUUUCAGUUAUAGUCCUUGUCUUAGGACUUUCUCAAACUGUACCAUUCAAAUAACUGAAAACAGAAAAUGCUUUGGUCUUUAAGACUUGUAAGCCAUGGGUAAUAAAUCUUUGUCUUUGUCAAGACAUGUGUAAGCCGUGGGUAAUAAAUCUUUGUAAGCCGUGGGUAAGGAAUCUGUUUUCAGUUAUAGUCUUGUCUUAAAACUGAGCCGUAUGCUCUUAUUUGCCAUCCCCUAACGCCCUUCUUUAUACAUGCACCACCAACCCAUAUUCUCGGUCCAUUAGAAGAUGGCAUAAGUUUCUUUUAGAGACCGCAAGGGACUGUUUUCAGUUUUAGUCCUUGUCUUAGGACUUUCUCAAACUGUACCAUUCAAAUAACUGAAAACAGAAAAGUCUUUGGUCUUUAAGACUUGUAAGCCGUGGGUAAUAAAUCUUUGUCUUUUGUCUUAAAUCUGUUUUCUUUAUACAUGCACCCCCAACCCAUAUUCUCGGUCCAUUAGGGGAUGGCAUAAGUUUCUUUUAAAGGCAGCAAGGGACAAUGUUUUCAGUUAUAGUCCUUGUCUUAGGACUUUCUCAAACUGUACCAUUCAAAUAACUGAAAACAGAAAAAUCUUUGGUCUUUAAGACUUGUAAGCCGUGGGUAAUAAAUAUUUGUCUUUGUCAAGACAUGUGUAAGCCGUGGGUAAUAAAUAUUUGUAAGCCGUGGGUAAAGAAUCUGUUUUCAGUUAUAGUCUUUUGUCUUAAGACUGAGCCGCAUGCUCUUCUUUGCCAUCCCCUAACGCCCUUUUUUAUACAUGCACCACCAACCCAUAUUCUCGGUCCAUUAGGGGAUAACAUAAGUUUUUUUUAGAAGCAGCAAGGGACAAUGUUUUCAGCUAUAGUCCUUGUCUUAGGACUUUCUGAAACUGUACCAUUCAAAUACCUGAAAACAGAAAAGUCUUUGGUCUUUAAGACUUUUAAGCCGUGGUUAAUAAAUCUUUGUCUUUGUCAAGACAUGUGUAAGCCGUGGGUAAUAAAUCUUUGUAAGCCGUGGGUAAGGAAUCUGUUUUCAGUUAUAGUAUUUUGUCUUAAGACUGAGUCGCAUGCUCUUAUUUGCCAUCCCCUAACGCCCUUCUCUAUACAUGCACCACCAACCCAUUUUCUCGAUCCAUUAGGGGAUGGCAUAAGUUUCUUUUAAAGGCAGCAAGGAACAUUGUUUUCAGUUAUAGUCCUUGUCUUGGGACUUUCUCAAACUGUACCGUUCAAAUAACUGAAAACAGAAAAGUCUUUGGUCUUUAAGACUUGUAAGCCGUGGGUAAUAAAUCUUUGUCUUUGUCUAAGACAUGUGUAAGCCGAGGGUAAUAAAUCUUUGUAAGCCGUGGGUAAAGAAUCUGUUUUCAGUUAUAGUCUUUUGUCUUAAGACUGAGCCGCAUGCUCUUAUUUGCCAUCCCCUAACGCCCUUCUUUAUACAUGCACCACCAACCCAUAUUCUCGAUCCAUUAGGGGAUGGCAUAAGUUUUCUUUAGAGGCAGCAAGGGACAUUGUUUUCAGUUAUAUCCUUGUCUUAGGACUUUCUCAAACUGUACCAUUCAAAUAACUGAAAACAGAAAAGUCUUUGGUCUUUAAGACUUGUAAGCCGUGGGUAAUAAAUAUUUGUCUUUGUCAAGACAUGUGUAAGCCGUGGGUAAUAAAUCUUUGUAAGCCGUGGGUAAGGAAUCUGUUUUCAGUUAUAGUCUUUUGUCUUAAGACUGAGCCGUAUGCUCUUAUUUGCCAUCCCCUAACGCCCUUUUUUAUACAUGCACCACCAACCCAUAUUCUCGGUCCAUUAGAAGAUGGCAUAAGUUUCUUUUAGAGACCGCAAGGGACUGUUUUCAGUUAUAGUCCUUGUCUUGGGACUUUCUCAAACUGUACCAUUCAAAUAACUGAAAACAGAAAAGCUUUGGUCUUUAAGACUUGUAAGCCGUGGGUAAUAAAUCUUUGUCUUUGUCAAGACAUGUGUAAGCCGUGGGUAAUAAAUCUUUGUAAGCCGUGGGUAAGGAAUCUGUUUUCAGUUAUAGUCUUUUGUCUUAAGACUGAACCGCAUGCUCUUAUUUGCCAUCCCCUAACGCCCUUCUUUAUACAUGCACCACCAACCCAUAUUCUCGGUCCAUUAGGGGAUGGCAUAAGUUUCUUUUAAAGGCAGCAAGGGACAAUGUUUUCAGUUAUAGUCCUUGUCUUAGGACUUUCUCAAACUGUACCAUUCAAAUAACUGAAAACAGAAAAGUCUUUGGUCUUUAAGACUUGUAAGCCGUGGGUAAUAAAUCUUUGUCUUUGUCAAGACAUGUGUAAGCCGUGGGUAAUAAAUAUUUGUAAGCCGUGGGUAAAGAAUCUGUUUUCAGUUAUAGUCUUUUGUCUUAAGACUGAGCCGCAUGCUCUUCUUUGCCAUCCCCUAACGCCCUUCUUUAUACAUGCACCACCAACCCAUAUUCUCGGUCCAUUAGGGGAUGACAUAAGUUUCUUUUAGAGGCAGCAAGGGACAAUGUUUUCAGCUAUAGUCCUUGUCUUAGGACUUUCUGAAACUGUACCAUUCAAAUAACUGAAAACAGAAAAGUCUUUGCUCUUUAAGACUUUUAAGCCGUGGGUAAUAAAUCUUUGUCUUUGUCAAGACAUGUGUAAGCCGUGGGUAAUAAAUAUUUGUAAGCCGUGGGUAAAGAAUCUGUUUUCAGUUAUAGUCUUUUGUCUUAAGACUGAGCCGCAUGCUCUUCUUUGCCAUCCCCUAACGCCCUUCUUUAUACAUGCACCACCAACCCAUAUUCUCGGUCCAUUAGGGGAUGACAUAAGUUUCUUUUAGAGGCAGCAAGGGACAAUGUUUUCAGCUAUAGUCCUUGUCUUAGACUUUCUGAAACUGUACCAUUCAAAUAACUGAAAACAGAAAAGUCUUUGCUCUUUAAGACUUUAAGCCGUGGGUAAUAAAUCUUUGUCUUUGUCAAGACAUGUGUAAGCCGUGGGUAAUAAAUCUUUGUAAGCCGUGGGCAAUAAAUCUUUGUAAGCCGUGGGUAAGGAAUCUGUUUUCAGUUAUAGUCUUUUGUCUUAAGACUGAGCCGCAUGCUCUUAUUUGCCAUCCCCUAACGCCCUUCUUUAUACAUGCACCACCAACCCAUAUUCUCGGUCCAUUAGGGGAUGGCAUAAGUUUCUUUUAGAGGCAGCAAGGGACAAUGUUUUCAGUUAUAGUCCUUGUCUUAGGACUUUCUCAAACUGUACCAUUCAAAUAACUGAAAACAGAAAAGUCUUUGGUCUUUAAGACUUGUAAGCCGUGGGUAAUAAAUAUUUGUCUUUGUCUAAGACAUGUGUAAGCCGAGGGUAAUAAAUCUUUGUAAGCCGUGGGUAAAGAAUCUGUUUUCAGUUAUAGUCUUUUGUCUUAAGACUGAGCCGCAUGCUCUUAUUUGCCAUCCCCUAACGCCCUUCUAUACAUGCACCACCAACCCAUAUUCUCGAUCCAUUAGGGGAUGGCAUAAGUUUCUUUAGAGGCAGCAAGGGACAUUGUUUUCAGUUAUAGUCCUUGUCUUAGGACUUUCUCAAACUGUACCAUUCAAAUAACUGAAAACAGAAAAGUCUUUGGUCUUUAAGACUUGUAAGCCGUGGGUAAUAAAUCUUUGUCUUUGUCAAGACAUGUGUAAGCCGUGGGUAAUAAAUCUUUGUAAGCCGUGGGUAAGGAAUCUGUUUUCAGUUAUAGUCUUUUGUCUUAAGACUGAGCCGCAUGCUCUUAUUUGCCAUCCCCUAACGCCCUUUUUAUACAUGCACCACCAACCCAUAUUCUCGGUCCAUUAGGGGAUGGCAUAAGUUUCUUUUAGAGGACCGCAAGGGACUGUUUUCAGUUAUAGUCCUUGUCUUGGGACUUUCUCAAACUGUACCAUUCAAAUAACUGAAAACAGAAAAGUCUUUGGUCUUUAAGACUUGUAAGCCGUGGGUAAUAAAUCUUUGUCUUUGUCAAGACAUGUGUAAGCCGUGGGUAAUAAAUCUUUGUAAGCCGUGGGUAAGGAAUCUGUUUUCAGUUAUAGUCUUUUGUCUUAAGACUGAGCCGCAUGCUCUUAUUUGCCAUCCCCUAACGCCCUUCUUUAUACAUGCACCACCAACCCAUAUUCUCGGUCCAUUAGGGGAUGGCAUAAGUUUCUUUUAAGGCAGCAAGGGACAAUGUUUUCAGUUAUAGUCCUUGUCUUAGGACUUUCUCAAACUGUACCAUUCAAAUAACUGAAAACAGAAAAGUCUUUGGUCUUUAAGACUUGUAAGCCGUGGGUAAUAAAUCUUUGUCUUUGUCAAGACAUGUGUAAGCCGUGGGUAAUAAAUAUUUGUAAGCCGUGGGUAAAGAAUCUGUUUUCAGUUAUAGUCUUUUGUCUUAAGACUGAGCCGCAUGCUCUUCUUUGCCAUCCCCUAACGCCCUUCUUUAUACAUGCACCACCAACCCAUAUUCUCGGUCCAUUAGGGGAUGACAUAAGUUUCUUUUAGAGGCAGCAAGGGACAAUGUUUUCAGCUAUAGUCCUUGUCUUAAGACUUUCUGAAACUGUACCAUUCAAAUAACUGAAAACAGAAAAGUCUUUGCUCUUUAAGACUUUAAGCCGUGGGUAAUAAAUCUUUGUCUUUGUCAAGACAUGUGUAAGCCGUGGGUAAUAAAUCUUUGUAAGCCGUGGGCAAUAAAUCUUUGUAAGCCGUGGGUAAGGAAUCUGUUUUCAGUUAUAGUCUUUUGUCUUAAGACUGAGCCGCAUGCUCUUAUUUGCCAUCCCCUAACGCCCUUCUUUAUACAUGCACCACCAACCCAUAUUCUCGGUCCAUUAGGAGAUGGCAUAAGUUUCUUUUAGAGGCAGCAAGGGACAAUGUUUUCAGUUAUAGUCCUUGUCUUAGGACUUUCUCAAACUGUACCGUUCAAAUAACUGAAAACAGAAAAGUCUUUGGUCUUUAAGACUUGUAAGCCGUGGGUAAUAAAUAUUUGUCUUUGUCUAAGACAUGUGUAAGCCGAGGGUAAUAAAUCUAUGUAAGCCGUGGGUAAAGAAUCUGUUUUCAGUUAUAGUCUUUUGUCUUAAGACUGAGCCGCAUGCUCUUAUUUGCCAUCCCCUAACGCCCUUCUCAAUACAUGCACCACCAACCCAUAUUCUCGAUCCAUGAGGGGAUGGCAUAAGUUUUCUUUAGAGGCAGCAAGGGACAUUGUUUUCAGUUAUAAUCCUUGUCUUAGGACUUUCUCAAACUGUACCAUUCAAAUAACUGAAAACAGAAAAGUCUUUGGUCUUUAAGACUUGUAAGCCGUGGGUAAUAAAUAUUUGUCUUUGUCAAGACAUGUGUAAGCCGUGGGUAAUAAAUCUUUGUAAGCCGUGGGUAAGGAAUCUGUUUUCAGUUAUAGUCUUUUGUCUUAAGACUGAGCCGCAUGCUCUUAUUUGCCAUCCCCUAACGCCCUUUUUAUACAUGCACCACCAACCCAUAUUCUCGGUCCAUUAGAAGAUGGCAUAAGUUUCUUUUAGAGACCGCAAGGGACUGUUUUCAGUUAUAGUCCUUGUCUUGGGACUUUCUCAAACUGUACCAUUCAAAUAACUGAAAACAGAAAAAGCUUUGGUCUUUAAGACUUGUAAGCCAUGGGUAAUAAAUCUUUGUCUUUGUCAAGACAUGUGUAAGCCGUGGGUAAUAAAUCUUUGUAAGCCGUGGGUAAGGAAUCUGUUUUUAGUUAUAGUCUUUUGUCUUAAGACUGAGCCGCAUGCUCUUAUUUGCCAUCCCCUAACGCCCUUCUUUAUACAUGCACCACCAACCCAUAUUCUCGGUCCAUUAGGGGAUGGCAUAAGUUUCUUUUAAAGGCAGCAAGGGACAAUGUUUUCAGUUAUAGUCCUUGUCUUAGGACUUUCUCAAACUGUACCAUUCAAAUAACUGAAAACAGAAAAGUCUUUGGUCUUUAAGACUUGUAAGCCGUGGGUAAUAAAUCUUUGUCUUUGUCAAGACAUGUGUAAGCCGUGGGUAAUAAAUAUUUGUAAGCCGUGGGUAAAGAAUCUGUUUUCAGUUAUAGUCUUUUGUCUUAAGACUGAGCCGCAUGCUCUUCUUUGCCAUCCCCUAACGCCCUUCUUUAUACAUGCACCACCAACCCAUAUUCUCGGUCCAUUAGGGGAUGACAUAAGUUUCUUUUAGAGGCAGCAAGGGACAAUGUUUUCAGCUAUAGUCCUUGUCUUAGGACUUUCUGAAACUAUACCAUUCAAAUAACUGAAAACAGAAAAGUCUUUGCUCUUUAAGACUUUUAAGCCGUGGGUAAUAAAUCUUUGUCUUUGUCAAGACAUGUGUAAGCCGUGGGUAAUAAAUAUUUGUAAGCCGUGGGUAAAGAAUCUGUUUUCAGUUGUAGUCUUUUGUCUUAAGACUGAGCCGCAUGCUCUUCUUUGCCAUCCCCUAACGCCCUUCUUUAUACAUGCACCACCAACCCAUAUUCUCGGUCCAUUAGGGGAUGACAUAAGUUUCUUUUAGAGGCAGCAAGGGACAAUGUUUUCAGCUAUAGUCCUUGUCUUAAGACUUUCUGAAACUGUACCAUUCAAAUAACUGAAAACAGAAAAGUCUUUGCUCUUUAAGACUUUUAAGCCGUGGGUAAUAAAUCUUUGUCUUUGUCAAGACAUGUGUAAGCCGUGGGUAAUAAAUCUUUGUAAGCCGUGGGCAAUAAAUCUUUGUAAGCCGUGGGUAAGGAAUCUGUUUUCAGUUAUAGUCUUUUGUCUUAAGACUGAGCCGCAUGCUCUUAUUUGCCAUCCCCUAACGCCCUUCUUUAUACAUGCACCACCAACCCAUAUUCUCGGUCCAUUAGGAGAUGGCAUAAGUUUCUUUUAGAGGCAGCAAGGGACAAUGUUUUCAGUUAUAGUCCUUGUCUUAGGACUUUCUCAAACUGUACCGUUCAAAUAACUGAAAACAGAAAAGUCUUUGGUCUUUAAGACUUGUAAGCCGUGGGUAAUAAAUAUUUGUCUUUGUCUAAGACAUGUGUAAGCCGAGGGUAAUAAAUCUAUGUAAGCCGUGGGUAAAGAAUCUGUUUUCAGUUAUAGUCUUUUGUCUUAAGACUGAGCCGCAUGCUCUUAUUUGCCAUCCCCUAACGCCCUUCUCUAUACAUGCACCACCAACCCAUUUUCUCGAUCCAUUAGGGGAUGGCAUAAGUUUCUUUUAAAGGCAGCAAGGAACAUUGUUUUCAGUUAUAGUCCUUGUCUUGGGACUUUCUCAAACUGUACCGUUCAAAUAACUGAAAACAGAAAAGUUUUGGUCUUUAAGACUUGUAAGCCGUGGGUAAUAAAUCUUUGUCUUUGUCUAAGACAUGUGUAAGCCGAGGGUAAUAAAUCUUUGUAAGCCGUGGGUAAGGAAUCUGUUUUCAGUUAUAGUCUUUUGUCUUAAGACUGAGCCGCAUGCUCUUAUUUGCCAUCCCCUAACGCCCUUCUCAAUACAUGCACCACCAACCCAUAUUCUCGAUCCAUGAGGGGAUGGCAUAAGUUUUCUUUAGAGGCAGCAAGGGACAUUGUUUUCAGUUAUAAUCCUUGUCUUAGGACUUUCUCAAACUGUACCAUUCAAAUAACUGAAAACAGAAAAGUCUUUGGUCUUUAAGACUUGUAAGCCGUGGGUAAUAAAUAUUUGUCUUUGUCAAGACAUGUGUAAGCCGUGGGUAAUAAAUCUUUGUAAGCCGUGGGUAAGGAAUCUGUUUUCAGUUAUAGUCUUUUGUCUUAAGACUGAGCCGUAUGCUCUUAUUUGCCAUCCCCUAACGCCCUUUUUUAUACAUGCACCACCAACCCAUAUUCUCGGUCCAUUAGAAGAUGGCAUAAGUUUCUUUUAGAGACCGCAAGGGACUGUUUUCAGUUAUAGUCCUUGUCUUGGGACUUUCUCAAACUGUACCAUUCAAAUAACUGAAAACAGAAAAGUCUUUGGUUUUUAAGACUUGUAAGCCGUGGGUAAUAAAUCUUUGUCUUUGUCAAGACAUGUGUAAGCCGUGGGUAAUAAAUCUUUGUAAGCCGUGGGUAAGGAAUCUGUUUUCAGUUAUAGUCUUUUGUCUUAAGACUGAGUCGCAUGCUCUUAUUUGCCAUCCCCUAACGCCCUUCUUUAUACAUGCACCACCAACCCAUAUUCUCGGUCCAUAAGGGGAUGGCAUAAGUUUAUUUUAAAGGCAGCAAGGGACGAUGUUUUAGUUAUAGUCCUUGUCUUAGGACUUUCUCAAACUGUACCAUUCAAAUAACUGAAAACAGAAAAGUCUUUGGUCUUUAAGACUUGUAAGCCGUGGGCAAUAAAUCUUUGUCUUUGUCAAGACAUGUGUAAGCCGUGGGUAAUAAAUCUUUGUAAGCCAUGGGUAAGGAAUUUGUUUUCAGUUAUAGUAUUUUGUCUUAAGACUGAGCCGCAUGCUCUUAUUUGCCAUCCCCUAACGCCCUUCUUUAUACAUGCACCACCAACCCAUAUUCUCGGUCCAUUAGGGGAUGUCAUAAGUUUCUUUUAGAGGCAGCAAGGGACAAUGUUUUCAGUUAUAGUCAUUGUCUUAGGACUUUCUCAAACUGUACCAUUCAAAUAACUGAAAACAGAAAAGGCUUUGGUCUUUAAGACUUGUAAGCCAUGGGUAAUAAAUCUUUGUCUUUGUCAAGACAUGUGUAAGCCGUGGGUAAUAAAUCUUUGUAAGCCGUGGGUAAGGAAUCUGUUUUCAGUUAUAGUAUUUUGUCUUAAGACUGAGCCGCAUGCUCUUAUUUGCCAUCCCCUAACGCCCUUCUUUAUACAUGCACCACCAACCCAUAUUCUCGGUCCAUUAGGGGAUGGCAUAAGUUUCUUUUAAAGGCAGCAAGGGACAAUGUUUUCAGUUAUAGUCCUUGUCUUAGGACUUUCUCAAACUGUACCAUUCAAAUAACUGAAAACAGAAAAGUUUUUGCUCUUUAAGACUUGUAAGCCGUGGGUAAUAAAUCUUUGUCUUUGUCAAGACAUGUGUAAGCCGUGGGUAAUAAAUAUUUGUAAGCCGUGGGUAAAGAAUCUGUUUUCAGUUAUAGUCUUUUGUCUUAAGACUGAGCCGCAUGCUCUUCUUUGCCAUCCCCUAACGCCCUUCUUUAUACAUGUACCACCAACCCAUAUUCUCGGUCCAUUAGGGGAUGACAUAAGUUUCUUUUAGAGGCAGCAAGGGACAAUGUUUUCAGCUAUAGUCCUUGUCUUAGGACUUUCUUAAACUGUACCAUUCAAAAAUAACUGAAAACAGAAAAGUCUUUGCUCUUUAAGACUUUUAAGCCGUGGGUAAUAAAUCUUUGUCUUUGUCAAGACAUGUGUAAGCCGUGGGUAAUAAAUAUUUGUAAGCCGUGGGUAAAGAAUCUGUUUUCAGUUGUAGUCUUUUGUCUUAAGACUGAGCCGCAUGCUCUUCUUUGCCAUCCCCUAACGCCCUUCUUUAUACAUGCACCACCAACCCAUAUUCUCGGUCCAUUAGGGGAUGACAUAAGUUUCUUUUAGAGGCAGCAAGGGACAAUGUUUUCAGUUAUAGUUCUUGUCUUAAAACUUUUUCAAACUGUACCAUUCAAAUAACUGAAAACAGAAAAGUCUUUGGUCUUUAAGACUUGUAAGCCGUGGGUAACAAAUCUUUGCCAAGACAUGUAUAAGCUGUGGGUAAUAAAUCUUUGUAGGCCUGGGAUUUCGGGUAUUCGGAUCGGUUCCGGGUAAGAUCCAUUCGGGUCUGGAUAUUCGGUUAUUUAUAAAUUGUAUCCAAUGAGUACUUGGAACAGUUUGGUUCGGUUUCGGAUCGGUUUCCGGUCGGUUCCGGGUCGGUUCCGGGUAUUAAAUUAUUAAACCGAAACUAAUAUUUUUAUUUAUUUUCUAUUUUCUAUUUUUAUUUUUAAUUUUUUUAAAAAAAAGUUUAAUCCAAAUCGGGUAUAUAUGUAUAGUUUGAAAGUAGUUACAAGGAAAUAGAAGUGGUGCAGUGGUAAAAGUUGAUGUACUUUCAACUUUCCCACCCGGGUUCGAAACCCAUGAGGCGCAAAUCCAUAUUUUUUAAACAUUAUUUCGGUUUAAACGGGUACCCGAUCGGAUCCGGAUAAAAACCCGAACCGACCCGAUACCUGUGGAUAUUCAUAAACAUUACCCAUCGGUUAAAUAUGCCUUAUCCGAAACCGAUCCGAACCGGUCCAUUUCGGGUCGGAUCCGGUUCGGUAUUCGGAUCCGAUUAAAAAGUCCCACGCCUAAAUCUUUGUAAGAUGUGGAUAAGAAAUCUGUUUUCAAAUAGUCUUUUGUCUUAAGACUGAGCCGCAUGCUCUUAUUUGCCAUCCCCUAACGCCCUUCUUUAUACAUGCACCACCAACUCAUAUUCUCGGUCCAUUUAACAAUCUUGCUAUAGGGGAUGGCAUAAGUUUCUUUUAUUGGUAGCAAGGGACAAUGUUUUCAGUUAUAGUCCUUGUCUUAGGACUUUCUCAAACUGUACCUUCAAAUAACUGAAAACAAAAAAAUCUUUGGUCUUUAAGACUUGUAAGCCGUGGGUAUAAAUCUUUGUCUUUGUCAAGACAUGUGUAAGUCGUGGGUAAUAAAUCUUUGUAAGCCGUGGGUAAGGAAUCUGUUUUAUUUAUAGUUUUUUGUCUUAAGACUGAGCCGCAUGCUCUUAUUUGCCAUCCCAUAACGCCCUUCUUUAUACAUGCACCACCAACCCAUAUUCUCGGUCCAUUAGGGGAUGACAUAAGUUUCUUUUAGAGGUAGCAAGAGACAAUAUUUUCAGUUAUAGUCCUUGUCUUAGGACUUUUUCAAACUGUACCAUUCAAAUAACUGAAAACAGAAAAGUCUUUGGUCUUUAAGACAUGUAAGCCGUGGGCAAUAAAUCUUUGUCUUUGUCAAGACAUGUGUAAGCCGUGGGUAAUAAAUCUUUGUAAGCCGUGGGUAAGGAAUCUGUUUUCAGUUAUAAUCUUUUGUCUUAAGACUGAGCCGCAUGCUCUUAUUUGCCAUCCCCUAACGCCCUUCUUUAUACAUGCACCACCAACCCAUAUUCUCGGUCCAUUAGGGGAUGGCAUAAGUUUCUUUUAGAGACUGCAAGAGACAAUGUUUUCAGUUAUAGUCUUUUUUUAGGACUUUCUCAAACUGUACCAUUCAAAUAACUGUAAACAGAGAAAUCUUUGGUCUUUAAGACUUGUAAGCCGUAGGUAAAAAAUCUUUGUCUUUGUCAAAACAUGUGUAAGCCGUGGGUAAUAAAUCUUUGUAAGCCGUGGGUAAGGAAUCUGUUUUCAGUUAUAGUCUUUUGUCUUAAGACUGAGCCGCAUGCUCUUAUUUGCCAUCCCCUAACACCCUUCUUUAUACAUGCACCACCAACCCAUAUUCUCGGUCCAUUAGGGGAUGGCAUAAGUUUCUUUUAGAGAUAGCAAGGGACAAUGUUUUCAGUUAUAGUCUUUGUCUUAGGACUUUCUCAAAUUGUACCAUUCAAAUAACUGAAAACAGAAAAGUCUUUGGUCUUUAAGACUUGUAAGCCGUUGGUAAUAAAUCUCUGUCUUUGUCAAGACAUGUGUAAGCCGUAGGUAAUAAAUAUUUGUAAGCCGAGGAUAAGGAAUCUGUUUUCAGUUAUAGUCUUUUAUCUUAAGACUGAGCCGCAUGCUCUUAUUUGUGAUCCCCUAACGCCCUUCUUUAUACAUGCACCACCAAACCAUAUUCUCGGUCCAUUAGGGGAUGACAUAAGUUUCUUUUAGAGGCAGCAAAGGACAAUGUUUUCAGUUAUAGUCCUUGUUUUAGGACUUUCUUAAAUUGUACCAUUCAAAUAACUGAAAAUAGAAAAGUCUUUGGUCUUUAAGACUUGUAAGCCGUGGGUAAUAAAUUUUUAUCUUUGUCAAGACAUGUGUAAGCCGUGGGUAAAAUUUUUUUGUAAGCCGUGGUAAAGGAAUCAAUUUUCAGUUAUAGUCUUUUGUCUUAAGACUGAGCCGCAUGCUCUUAUUUGCCAUCCCCUAACGCCCUUCUUUAUACAUGCACCACCAACCCAUAUUCUCGGUCCAUUAGGGGAUGGCAUAAGUUUCUCUUAGAGGCAGCAAGGGACAAUGUUUUCAGUUAUAGUCUUUGUCUUAGGACUUUCUCAAAUUGUAACAUUCAAAUAACUGAAAACAGAAAAGUCUUUGGUCUUUAAGACUUGUAAGCCGUUGGUAAUAAAUCUUUGUCUUUGUCAAGAUAUGUGUAAGCCGUGGGUAAUAAAUCUUUUUAAGCCGUGGGUAAGGAAUCUGUUUUCAGUUAUAGUCUUUUGUCUUAAACUGAGCCGCAUGCUCUUUUUUGCCAUCCCCUAACGCCCUUUUUUAUACAUGCACCACCAACCCAUAUUCUCGGUCCAUUAGGGGAUGGAAUAAGUUUCUUUUAGAGGCAGCAAGGGACAAUGUUUUCAGUUAUAGUCCUUGUCUUAGGACUUUCUCAAACUGUACUAUUCAAAUAACUGAAAACAGAAAAGGCUUUGGUCUUUAAGACUUGUAAGCCGUGGGUAAUAAAUCUUUGUCUUUGUCAAGACAUGUGUAAGCCGUGGGUAAUAAAUCUUUGUAAGCGUGGGUAAGGAAUCUGUUUUCAGUUAUAGUCUUCUGUCUUAAGACUGAGCCGCAUGCUCUUAUUUGCCAUCCCCUAACGCCCUUCUUUAUACAUGCACCACCAACCCAUAUUCUCGGUCCAUUAGGGGAUGGCAUAAGUUUCUUUUAGAGACAGCAAGGGACAAUGUUUUCAGUUAUAGUCCUUGUCUUAGGACUUUCUCAAACUGUACCAUUCAAAUAACUGAAAACAGAAAAGGCUUUGGUCUUUAAGACUUGUAAGCCGUGGGUAAUAAAUCUUUGUCUUUGUCAAGACAUGUGUAAGCCGUGGAUAAUAAAUCUUUGUAAACCGUGGGUAAGGAAUCUGUUUUCAGUUAUAGUCUUUUGUCUUAAGACUGAGCCGCAUGCUCUUAUUUGUCAUCCCCUAACGCCCUUCUUUAUACAUGCACCACCAACCCAUAUUCUCGGUCCAUUAGAGGAUGGCAUAAGUUUCUUUUAGAGACCGCAAAGGACUGUUUUCAGUUAUAGUCCUUGUCUUAGGACUUUCUCAAACUGUACCAUUCAAAUAACUGAAAACAGAAUAGUCUUUGGUCUUUAAGACUUGUAAGCCGUGGGUAAUAAAUCUUUGUCUUUGUCAAGACAUGUGUAAGCCGUGGGUAAUAAAUCUUUGUAAGCCGUGGGUAAGGAAUCUGUUUUCAGUUAUAGUCUUUUGUUUUAAGACUGAGCCACAUGCUCUUAUUUGCCAUCCCCUAACGCCCUUCUUUAUACAUGCACCACCAACCCAUAUUCUCGGUCCAUUAGGGGAUGUCAUAAGUUUCUUUUAGAGGCAGCAAGGGACAAUGUUUUCAGUUAUAGUCCUUGUCUUAGGACUUUCUCAAACUGUACCAUUCAAAUAACUGAAAACAGAAAAUGCUUUGGUCUUUAAGACUUGUAAGCCAUGGGUAAUAAAUCUUUGUCUUUGUCAAGACAUGUGUAAGCCGUGGGUAAUAAAUCUUUGUAAGCCGUGGGUAAGGAAUCUGUUUUCAGUUAUAGUCUUGUCUUAAAACUGAGCCGUAUGCUCUUAUUUGCCAUCCCCUAACGCCCUUCUUUAUACAUGCACCACCAACCCAUAUUCUCGGUCCAUUAGAAGAUGGCAUAAGUUUCUUUUAGAGACCGCAAGGGACUGUUUUCAGUU
rnacentral:lncRNA from 1 species